GCAAAAGAUCUUGAGCAACUCCGAUUCCUUGGAAUUUUGGACUGUAAUAUGAUGGAACAAGUAAUAUUCACGGAUGGAUUGGUUGAGGAACAUCAAGGGAGGAAUCAGAUGUUUUUCUUUAAUCUACAUUCGCUGUGGCUAAACGACCUUCCCAAAACUCACAAGUUUGUGCUUUGAAAAUUACUUUGAAUUUCACUGUUUAGCAGAUUUAACACUAAGAAAUUGUCCAUUGCUAAAAACAUUCAUCUCUAAAUGUGUACCCGGAGAUGAACCUCAAAUUGGCCAACAUGUACAGGCAAGUAACUUGGAGGUUCAUAACUCAUCUCUCCUCAAUGAAAAGGUAAUUUCUUCAAGGAUCCUCCUUUUAAUUUAUGUUACUUCGAUUGAUUUUAUUCAUUUGAAGUUCUUUCUUUUUCAUACAUAUUUCAGUUAUUAGCCUAAUGAAAUGAUUUAUUAGAUUGUUUUCUCUAGUUUGAAGUACUUGUCGAUUCAGAAUUGUGAUUCGUUAGAAGAAAUUAUUGAGCUGGAAGGACUCAUUGCUGAUGAGUCACAGUCAACAUCAGCUGCUCAAUCUACUGUGGCUGAAACAGUGACGACCAAGUUUGUAUUUCCCAAACUAAUAAACCUUGGAUUGGAUAAGGUGCCAAGAUUGAAAAGUUUCUACUCUAGGAUGCAUACCACCCAGUGGCCUUCAUUGAAACGAAUGAGCAUUAUUGAAUGCCCCAAAGUACAGAUAUUUACUCGACAAUGUCCUGUGAGUCAGGUUGGAAUCUCAAACCAACAACCCUUGUUUUGCGUCAAUAAGGUAAGCUCACGAACAGUUUCAUAUUCCAUGAUCAUUACUUGAGAUUACCUAUAAAAUGCUUUUUGAAAAAACUAAUAUUCUCUCCUCUUUUAAUUUUAUGAGAGUCUAGUUCUUACUAAUUUAAAACUCUUUCAUCGAUGUCUAAUAUAUUCGUUGCCAUCCAGGACACUUUCCCUGUAUUAGAAGAACUAACACUGAAGACGAAUGAUAUGGGGAAGGGGAUAUGUGAUGGACAACUCUCAUUGCAGUGUUUCCAAAACCUUAAGCAUCUUAACCUCCAAUUCUUUCCUGAGACAUCCACUACUCUUCCGUAUUCCUUCAUUCGGUCACUACCAAUGCUUCAUAAGCUUGUUAUAGACAAUGCUUCCAUUUGUCAAAUAGUACAAUCUGAAGGACUCAGCGACCAGGAAUGGCAUACAGCAGCAUUCUAUCAGCUAAAGGAAUUAAGUUUGUCUCAACUUCCAGAGUUGACGUUAAAGACUUUUGAACCAUCAUUGCUGUCUUUCAAAAAUCUAACAACACUGAAAGUUUCAAGAUGCCAUGGGUUCAUCAAUUUAAUCGCAUGCUCAACAGCUAAGUGCCUGAGGCUACUGGAAAGUUUGAGCAUAGAUGAUUGUGAGAUGAUAGAGGAAAUCUUAGCGUGUGAGGCUGAAGAAAUACAAGGCGGCAUUGUAUUUCCCAAACUGAAGUAUUUGCAACUAAGCUGUCUGCCAUGUCUAGCAAGCUUUUCCUCGGCCCAUCACUCGUUGGAAUUCCCAGUCUUGCUAAUGGUGAAGGUGACAAAGUGCCCCAAAAUGAGGAAUUUCUGCCAAGGAGAUUUAAGCACACCAAGGCUGGAACAAAUGCACUUAACAAGAGAUGAGGAAGGUGAGCUGCAGUGGGAAGGCGACCUUAACACUACCAUAAAACAUAUGUUCGAUGAAAUGGUACAAAUCAUUUAAAGGAUUUAAAUUCAUGGGUUUUUACAUACAUACAUACAUACAUACAUAGUUAAUUGAACAAUUCUUGGUUUGUUAUGAUCAUGCACAGAAUGUGCAAAAUUCUGAGGUGACGGAGGUUACUGAUCAAUUGCCCAAGCUGGAAUAAGGAAAUAUGUAUGGGUGCUUAUGCGAAAAGCUCAAUUUCGUUUGAAUUCAAAACAAAUGGUAAUUGACUCUUCUAUUUUCAUCAUGGCUUAACUAAUGCUUUAUAAAGUGACCAUAGAGACGCCCUUUUCAUUGUAGGUUGAGUUGCUCUACUGAAGUACGAGGCUGCAACUUUUGGUAAAAUGUGAAAGGUUAUUUCAGUUUUGGUAAAACUACUAUUUGAACUGUUCCAUUUCACAUUAUACCCUCAAAAUUGAACUUCAUUGGGCUACAAACAUGUAAACUUUUACUAGUAAGGUUGAGCCCUGUUUUAAGUAUUUGCCAACUUUUGAUGGUUGCCAUAUCAAUGUCAGCUUAAAGCUAUCAAGUAUCUUUACAAAUAUAAGAUAUAUAUAUAUUAUUCCUUAAUGAGGGAUAAAAGUAGGCAGCUAUGUACUAAUGAUACGGUUGAUUCUGAAAAGACGGCCGAAAUUGAAUCAAUGGGUUGUUGGUAUUUGCCUGAUGGAAGAACAGGGCCUAAUGUUGCGUGGAUUCUGGUCAAGUUUUAAAUUUUCAGUUGUGGGCAUUACUGAUUGUUGUCAUUUGGUUGUUGAUCCUCUGAUUUUACGAUUGACUGUCUUGCUUAUUCGUUGCAAGGUUGGCGGGUCUCAAGUAUGAAUUUCCAAACCGGCUUUCAUCCAUAAUUAACUAAGUGUUCCAAUCCAUGGAGUUUAUGGUUUAUUAGCGUAACUGUCCAUUUUAUUUGUUGAGGAAAAAAAAUAUGAGGAUUAAUCUGAUAUUUAAUGUUUGGGUUUUUGAAUAUUUUUGUGCCUUUAAUGAAAGAAAGCAAAUAAAAUAGAGACGUACAAGAUCACAUCCAUAGAUCAACAAAAGGGUUUAAUAUUUCUAUAAAAAAUUGUCCCAAAAAGGCCUUAUGGGAAUUGAUCAUAUAAACUAAUGAAGGCCAUUGAAAAUAAAGCUUGUAAAAGUUUACAGAAGGAAUUGAUGAGAAUCUGAUACACUAUUCAUUUUGUUGCGAUAAGAGUUUAUGGCCUUGUAGGAGCCUCUCCCCAAAUUGCUAGCAAAAGAAACAAAAGGAUUAAUGCACGUCGAUAAUGGCAGAUUUAUAUUUGCUACAAAAGGUGAAGAGCCCAAGACCCUCCAACCUCCUCGGAACAGUUUGAAAUCGUUCCAAAAUAUGCUCUAGCAAAUGUUCCAAGCCAUCUCAUGCGACAGUUUUCCCUUAAAAGCAUUAGUGGCUGAGUCUAGUCUUAAUUUUUAUUUGUAUCUUUUAUAUCCGUUUUAUAAUUCAUAUUUAGGAUUUGUAUUAUUUAAAAAAGGAAAAUCUUUGAAAUAAAAAAAAACAGUAUGUUUUAUAUAAUUAUUUAAAGUUACUCUCACAUUAUUUUUACCCAUUCAAAGCUAGCAAGUCUUUUAUGUACAAAAUCGUAUAGCUCUGCAAUUUGGAAUAACAUUUUGGUCACCUCCAUGUGAAGUGAGAGAAAAUUGAGAAUGUCACACAAUUAUUAUUUUUCCCUCCAUACCCCUAUGCCACCAAAGAAACUUGAAUUAUUAAGGCACAAAAGCACUAAGGAGUAGGAGCUAGAAAAAGAGGGGCAUGAAAAUAAAGAGAGUUACAUUUAUUAUUUGCAUAAUACAAAAUUAGUCUUUAAUAUUUACACAUUUUAUUAUUUUUAUUUUUUAUUAAUUAAAUUUGGCUUUAAACUCUUUAAAAAGAGUUGAAUUUGAACAUCAACCUUUUAAAAAGAGUUAUAUUAUUAUUUAACGGAAAUGUUAAAUUUUGAAAUACAUAUAAGAAUAUAAUUUUAUUAAAUUAUAUAUUUUUAUUAAAUUAUAUUAAAUUAUAUUUAAUAAUAAUUAUUUUAAAUUAUAUUUUAUAGUAUUAUAUAUUAUGAUUUUAGUAAAUUCAUAUAUUUUAUUAAAUUAUAUAUUUUUAUUAAAUUAUAUUUAAUAAUAAUUAUGUUAAAAUAUGAUUAAAUUAUUUAUUAUUUAUAUUAAUAACCUUAUUAAAAUUUAAUAACAAUAACAAUAAUCAUCGACCUAAAAAAAAUUCUACUAAGGGUAUUCUCGUCAUUUUAGCUUUUUUCCUUAUGCUAUUACACCAUCAUUCCCUUCAACCAAACACAAGAAUAUUAUUACGCCUCUAUUCCAUUCCAUUCAACCAAACAAAAGGAUUACCUAUUACGCCUUUAUUCCAUUACGCCUCUAUUCCAUUACGCCUCUAUUCCAUUACAGCGAACCAAACGUGCCCUAAAGGUUCAAAGAUUUCUGCUUAAAUUUGGACUUCACUCCUUAAGCUUCAAGUUCAAGUUUUUUGGUAUAUAAAUUUUGGACCUUAAUUUGGUAUGUAUUUAAGCUUAUUAGUAAUAAUGUGAAUUAUGUACGAAAGAUAAUGUUUUGUGUUAUAAAGUAUCUCGGUUAUAAUGAAAUAAGAAUAAAUUGAAGUGAUGAGUUUAGUGUUAAAUGUAGCAUCUCUUACUCAAAUUUGUUAUCGAAUCGGGUGAGAGGUGUUACUACUAGAAUAUAAAUUACCCUUUCUUUUUUCUUAAGAUAAAUGUAUUUUUUUUAAUUAAAUUCGUACAUAAAAUGAUAUUUUUACUAAAAUAUUAAAUUCGAAAAAGAAAUUUAAGACAAAAACAUUUUAGCCAACAACAUAUUCAUUGUAGGAUCAAAAACAUUAAUGCAAGAAACUUAAAACAAGGAAUCAAAAGUCUAGAACAAGCAAUCAAACUUAUUUUAUAUGAUCCACCAUUAAAAUUUUAGAAUAUGAUAAACAAGCAAUCAAAUAUUAAGUGCACAAUUUUAGAUUCACUAUACAAGAGCUGAGAACGAGAAAGCUAUCACAUCAGAUGGCUUGGUACAAUUAAUUAGACCGUGUUGCAGUACCUCUCUGGCAUCAACUUCGCUUGUAAAUUUCUAUAAGCUGUCACUUCAAUGGCCUUCAUCAACUUGCAGCUCUAAUCUAAAUUGUACAAAACCAAUUGAUAACAAAUUCACAAUCCACAGAUUGUGGGCUCAUAAUGCUAAUGACAAAUCAAUGUCUCGUUAUGAUUCAAGUAAUCCAUACACCGUUGGAUAGGUGCAAGGAUUGUUUGGAUCAUAAGAGAGCAUUGGUUUGUUCUUAGAAUUAUGUGUCCAUAUACCAUGGAUCUUGAACUCAUUAAGGAUUGGUGGUGUACAACUCAGACUAAAGCUAUAGGCUAAUAAAGGCCAUUGAAGAAAAAGCUUACGAAAAUUACAAGCGAAGUUGAUGCCGGUAGGGGUGCUGCAAAUGCUGCUCAAAAUGAAAAGAGAAGAACAAGAGGAGUACUCUCUCUCUCUCUCUAUAUAUAUAAGUAUAUACUCUUCUCCAUGCUGCACAUUAUUGCAAAAAAAGAAAACACACAAGGGACCAAUCUUAGAUCUUCACAAAGGUCAUUUGAGAUCAAAGGAGAAGAACAAGAAAAACAAAGGUGAGGGGUUUGAAGAAAGAGCCAAAUAUAUAAAGGAAAAAUUAAGUGAGAGAGAGGAUGGGUUUAAUUUAAAGAUUAAAUGUUUCUUUUUUGGUAAACACAUUUCUUUGGUCCCUCUCAAUUUUGAUGUUGAGCAAAUUAGCCCAUUUCUAAAAAUUUUGGAGAAAUUUGAUCAUUGUUGAUUUUGAAAGUGAGCAACUAAAUACAAUUAAUCAUAACGUUUAUGUUUUUCAUCAGUUCUACAAUUUUUUUCUUGGUAUAAUAAAAAAUAUAACUUUCAAAGUUUACACAUUUUGUCAAUUUGAUCUUGAUAUAACAAAUAUAACUCAUAACAUUUUCACAAUAUUCCAUCAAUUUGGUCCUAAUUUAACAAAUUUAGCCCGUAAUAUUUACACUUUUUGUCAAUAGUUACGCAGAAUAUAUAAACAUCAAUGGCUAAAUUUAUUAUUAUACCAAUCAAAAUUAUGUAGAAUCGAUGGAAAACAUUAAAGCUAUAAUUAAUUGUCCGUAGUUACUCACAUUUAAAAUUGACAGGAAUUAAAUUGUUCUGAUUUUUUAAAAAGAUCGAUUUACUUAAUAUCAAAAUUGAGAGAAAUCAUAAAGAUAAUUUUACUUUUCUUAAUUUAAUAGGUAAGAAAAUUUAAAAUCAUUGAAAAAAAAAAGUAAGUUGUAUAGAUUUAUUUAAAGUCACACUCACAUUAUUAUUUUUCCCAUUCAAAGUUGAAAAGUCUUUUAUGUAAAAAAUAGUAUAGCUCUUCAAUUUGGGUUAACAUUUUGGUCCCCGCCAUGUGAUGUGAAGGAAAAUUGACAACAUCACAACAAUCAAAUCUAUUUUUUCUGCCAUACCCCUGUGCCUCCGAAGAAAGUUAAAUUAUUAAGGCACAAAAGUACCAAGGAGUAGAAGCUACCAAAAGAGGAGCAUGAAAAUAAAGAGAGAUACAUAUAUUACUGGCAUGGAAUAUUUACAUCUUUUAUUAAUUUAGAUUUUUUUAGUUAAUUUUAAUUUUAAAUCCUUUAAAAAAAAGUUGAAUUUGAUCAUCAACGUUUAAAAAGAGUUGAAUUAUUAUUUUUUAAUAAAAAUAUUAACCAAAAUGUUAAAUUUUGAAACAUGGCAAUCCGUAAAACAAUCCAAGUGUAGUUCAUGCUUGUUUUUAUUUGAUUUUUUAUGAACUCUUUUUGUGGGAAAUUUUUAUUUUUUUAAUAUUUUUAUAAUUUUUAAUUUAUUGGCGUGACAUAUAAGAUAAAUAAUACUAUGUCAACAUAAAUGACAUGUAGACUGCCACAUGGGUUGCCAUGCCAACUUCGUUAAAAAUUAAUAUUUUAGUCAACAUUUAAAAAAACACGAUUUGACUCUUUUUUAAAGGUUAAUUGUCAAAUUUAAAUUAAGAAAUAAUAAUAAUCAAAUUGACAAAAGAUGUAAAUAUUAAGUGUUGAAUUUAUUAUUAUACUUUUAAGUAAAAUUUUUGGAUUUGAAUUUGAAUUAUUUUGGGAAAUUUAAAUAGUUUUGAGCUCAGAACAUUUCAAGAGAAAAUUAGCAAGUCAAAUUACAAUUAUAAAAUAAUAUAUGUCAUUUAUAUGUUUGUCUAUAUAAGUUUAAAUUACAAAUUAAUUACUAAAAGUGAUUAGGGCAUUAGUAUUUGUGUUGUCACAUGGGAGUUUAGGUUCAAUCUCUUGAUUGAAAUAAUAUUUUUAAAAUAUUUAUUUAAUAUUUCUAUAUACAUCAAAAUCCUUGUUAAAUUUUAAUUUUGUUUUUGUUAUUAGAAUACUUGAAUCAAUAAAAUUUUAAGGCACAUAUCAAACCCAACAAUCAAAAUUAAAUCACACCAAAAUAAGGCCAAGAAAUUCUUAAACAGCUCACCAAGCAACAUUCAAAUAUCAUAACUUAACCCCCUUGCAAAUAAUAAGAGCAUAGACGCUUGCUGCAGACAAAAGGUCCCAUGCCCAUUACAAGCUCUGCCCAUCAGUUCCUGCCAGAGGAGCCAUGGCCAAGAAAACUAUUAGUCUUAAUGCAAUCCACAAAACGUGUGGGACUUUUCCUUAAGGUCAGCUCUUUUGAGUUCAAGUCCUUUUCGCUGGCAAAUUUGUUGAUAUAGGAGCAACAUUGGUCAUCACAAUCAACAAAGGUCUUGUGAAAAAAAAUAGAAUGUCGGUAAUGAUAAUAUACCGCAAAGAAAAGAGAAAUAAAAAUAAAGAACAUAGAUUUUACGUGGAAACCCUUUCGGGAAAAAACCACGGGUAGAGGAGAAGUAAAUUCACUAUGUCGAAUUCGAAUGAUUACAAGAGGAGCUUCGACUACAUCUAUUUAUAGGUUGAAAAAAACCUAAUUCUAAUCAAAGUCGAAUAUAUUAUGCUAAUAAAUGCUAAAUAUAUUAUACUCAUAAAUACUAAAUAUUCUAGAAAGAAGAUAUAUUUUGUUCAACUUGACUUGCAAGCAAUCUCUUAGAAUUUGGGUUACACAACUCUAACAAUCUCCACCUUGACACAAAUUCUCAAUGAAUAAGUUCUUCAUCGCGAACUCUCAACGAACAAGUUCUCUAGCUCUUCCAUAAAACCCCUUAAGGGUUUAACUUCAACAAUGAACACCAAUCAAGUCUAAGAAAUGCUUAAACUUGGUUAUAGGAAGUGACUUAGUCAUCAUAUCUGCAGGAUAUUCAUGAGUACUAAUUUUACUCACAACAAUAUCUCCACGGGCAAUAGUAUCACGAACAAAAUAAUACCGAACAUCAAUGUGUUUUGUUUUCUCAUGAAACAUUUGAUAUUUUGUAAGGAAGAUGACACUCUGACUGUCACAAAUACUGUACUGAUUUGAAGGUUUUCAUUGAGUUCACUAAAGAGUCCCUUCAACCAAAUAGCUUCUUUACAAGCCUCAGUAAUUACCAUGUACUCAGCUUCAGUGGUAGACAAAUCGAUUGUAGUUUGCAAAGUGGCUUUCCAACUUAUUGCACAACCUCUGAUUGUAAAGACAUAACCUAUGAGAGAUCUUCUUCUAUCAAGGUCUCCAGCAAAAUCAGCACCAACAUACCCAAUGACUCUAUCUCUAGUUCUUUCAAACUGUAAGCAAACAUCAGUAGUACCUUGUAAGUAUCUUAAAAUCCACUGAAUUGCUUUAUAAUGUUCUUUACCGGGAUUCGCCAUGUAUCUGCUAACUGCACUGACUGUAUAUGAUAAAUUUGAACGAGAACAAACCAUAGCAUACAUAAAAGAUCCCACUGCACUAGAGUAUGAAGCAUGUGACAUGUACUCAAUCUCAUCAUCUGAUUGUGGAGACAAAGCUGAUGAAAGUCUGAAAUAGGCUGCUAAAAGAGUACUAACAGACUUAGCAUUCUGCAUAUUAAAUCUGCAAAGAACUUUCUCAUGUACCCUUUCUGACUUAGGUACAAUUUACUUGCUUUUCUAUCUCUGAGAAUCUUCAUACUUUUUUGCUGGUCCCAAAUAUUUUAUCUCAAAUUUUUCACUUAGUUAGGCUUUGACCUUUCUCAUCUCUCCUUUAUCUUUCGCUGCUAUCAACAUGUCAUCAACAUAAAGGAGUAGAUACAUAAAAGAACCAUCAUUGUUUUUCUUAAAGUAAACACAACUGUCAAAACUACUUCGUUUAAAAUCAUGAGAAGUUAUAAAGGAAUCAAAUCUCUUGUACCACUAUCUUGGUGACUAUUUCAAACCGUAAAUGGACUUUUUCAACAAGCAAACAUAGUCCUCUUUUUCUGAAACUAUAAAAUCCUCUGGUUGUUGCAUGUAAAUAUCCUCCUCAAGUUCUCCAUGUAAAAAAGCAGCUUUUACAUCUAACUGCUCAAGCUCCAAAUCAUGCAUGGCCACAAUACCAAGCAAAGCUCGAAUCGAGGUAUGCUUCACAGCUAGGGAGAAUACAUAUGUGAAGUCUACUCUUGGAAUUUGACUGUAACCCUUUGCAAUAAGCCUUACUUUAUAUCUAGGUUAUUGAACUCCUUGAGUCCCCUCUUUCUUUUUAAACAUCCAUUUACAACGAACAACCUUUUUACCUUUAGAAAGUUUCACAAGAUCCCAUAUUUUAUUUUUGUGGAGUGAUUCCAUCUCCUCUUGCAUAGCAAACAUCCACUUUUCUAAGUCUUCAUGGUUAACUGCAUCAGAAUAAUUAGAUGGCUCUUGGUUUGCAUUUAUAUCUUCAGCCACGUUUAAAGCAUAAGCAACUAGAUCAGCCUUGGCAUACUUCUUUAGAGGUUUAAUUUCUCUUGUAGUUCUGUUUUUGGCGAUAGAGUAUUGUGGUGAAGAAGCAACUCUAUUUUGAAUUUUUGUACUGGCUUGAGGAGUUGACUCCAUUGUAGAUUCUGGAUUAAUCUGAUGCUCUACUUGCUUUUGAUUUUUCUUUAUUAGAAGAGUCUUUAAGAUAUAAGUUAGGUAGCAUAACAAUUUCAUCAAAAACAACAUCUCUUCUAAUCACAACUUUUCUAAUUUCAGGACACCAUAACUUAUACCCUUUUACACCAGCUUUAUAACCAAGAAAAACACAUUUAAUGUAUCUCGGUUCCAAUUUUCAUGAUCAAUAUGAGCAUACGCAGGUCACUCAAAAAUCUUUAAAUCAGAAUAGUCAACAGGAUUACCAGACCAUACCUCUUGUGGAGUCUUUUUCUCAAUGGCAAUGGAUAGAGAUCGGUUGAUUAAAAACAUGCAGUAGAGGCUGUUUCGGCCAAAAUAACUUUGGUAAGUUGGCAUUUGACAACAUACAUCGAACCUUCUCCAUGAUCGUUCUGUUCAUUCGUUCUACAACGCCGUUUUACUGUGGAGUAUGACGAACUGUCAAGUGUCUCACGAUUCCUUCUGACUUGCACAGUUUAUUAAACUCAUCAGAACAGAAAUCUAAGCCAUUGUCUGUACGGAGAUAUUUUAUUUGUUUUCCCGUCUAUUUUUCAAUCAUAGUUUUCCAAGAAGCUGCUUGCCACCAAUGCAGCUCAGUUGAAAUAUUUAGAGUCACGAGCGGAAAAUGUAGAGCAGAAGGCCAAGGAUGCUGAAAAAAAAAUAGUUGAACUCGAAAGGUAGCUUAAGGCUAAGGUAAAGGAAGCUACACAAUGGAGCAAUAAGCUUGAGGAGGUUGGUAACUCAUUGAUGGACUAGAUGAUAAAAAUUCAGAAAACACUAGGAUCCUUUGACUCAACAGGUAUCAACUUUGAUAGAGCAAAGAUAUCUAAGGCUUGUUCUGUGUGCCUUUUUGAUACUAUGAUACUUCUAUAUUGGUUUUAGAUCGUUGAGAAUCGAAAAUAUGGCUGGGCUAUGGAUUACGCAGGAAGAGGAACUUCAAGGUAAGAUAAUGAAGGAUUGAAGGAAUUGAGAAAUGAAUGGGGUGAAAUGAUCUACAGGGCCGUUGUUGUUGCAUUACUGGAAAUGGAAGAGUACAAUCCAAGUGGGAGAUACAUAGUUUUUGAACUUUGGAAUUUCAAAGAUGAUGAAAAGCCAGCUUAAAAGAAGCUAUUGAGAUCUUCAUCUACCAUUUACAGAACAAAUUGAGUCAAUCCCUGUACUCAUUGAACUGAUGGUAAGCUGAGUUGUUCCUGGUACUAGACUAUGUAACAGCCCGAUUCUGGGCCUAGUCGGAAUAGUGGUUUCGGGACCACAAAUCCGACGAGAGAAAAUAUUAUUAUCAUUAUAUUUUUAUGGUCUACAAUUUCACGGAAUGAUUUCGUGAAAAUUUCGUUCGAAAAUUUCAACGUUUGAGCACUCAAUUUAGUCAAAAAGGACUAAAUUGUAAAAAGUGCAAAAGUUGAGUUCUAGAAGCUAGAGGUGUUAAAUUGCUAUGAAAUUUUAAAUUGGAGGUCCUUAAAUGGUAAUUAAACCAUUAGUUAUUUAUGGACAAAAAUAGACAUGGUUAGUAAGUAAGCUAUUUAAGGGCAUUUUGAUAAAAUGCCUUAAUUAAUGAAUAAAGACAAAAUAACAUGAAAUAAGUUAUCAUCUUCUUCAAUUCUUUUCUCCAUGGCCGAAUGUAGCAAGGAAAUACCAUGGCUAGGGUUUUUUCAUCUUCCAAGCUUCAUGGUAAGUCCGUUCUAGCCCCAUUUUUCUUGUUAUUUAUAUUUUUAGAAUCCCGGUAACUUGCUUAAUCUAAUUCUACUAUUAAUUUGAGCUAGAAUUUAUGUUUGAAAAAUUACCCAUAGGUGAAAAGUGUGAACUUUGAUGUUUCAUGAUAGAAUAUGAAGCUUAGAAUUAUGUUAAACGAUUUUUGCUAAUCGAUUUUCAGUAAAAACGAGUAAAACGACAUAAUCAGUAAAAAUAUCUAAUGUUCAUAAGUAAGUGUUGAGUGGGAAUUUGAUGUUUCCAUAGAAGAGAAAAAUGUUCAGAAUGUCAUAAAAAAUAAGAAUAAGAGAUGAAAUUUAAUUUCCGAGCUUUGGGGCAAAAGUGUAAAUAUGCAAAAGUUUAGGGGCAAAAAUGUAAUUUUGUAAAAAUAUGAUUUUUGGACUGAAUUGAAUAAUGUGAGUGUUAAAUAAGUUAAAUGUGUUAUUAUAAGUCAAGAAAGACAAGGAAUUGACUUUGAUUAGUAAAAAAAUGAGAAAAAGUGAGAAAUUUCUCGAUUGAACAUUCAGAAUAAAAAGGGAUACGAAUGAAAUGACAGAAAUGAUCACAUAUGUGGCAUGGACUGUGUGUAGGCCACUAUGUGAAAGUGAAAGUGAUGGUCACAUGUGUAGUACUAUGUGAAGGCUACUACGUGUACCAGAAUGAUAGGUCGCAUGUGUAGUACUAUGUACAGGCUACUAUGCGUAUCGGAUAGCUUCGAUCACGUGUGUAGUACUAUGUGCAGGCUACUACGUGUAUCGGAUAGUGAUGGUCACAUGUGUAGUACUAUGUGCAGGCUACUAUGUGAACCCAUAUCAUUGAUUAUAAGGUGGUUGCUAAGUGCUGAUUCCACCAUAUCUUAAAUGUGAAAGGGGUUGCUAAGUGCUGAUUCCCCGAAUCACUGGUGGUUGCUAAGUGCUGAUUCCACUGUAUCCUUGAUUGUGAAAGGGGUUGCUAUGUGCUGAUUCCCCGUAUCAUUGAUUAUAAGGUGGUUGCUAAGUGAUGAUUCCACCGGGAUCCUUUGAACAUGAGGUGGUUGCUAAGUGCUGAUUCCACCAUGUAACGGUUAAUAUUCCGAAGUGUUCAUCGGGGAAAUUGGAUAAGUGAAAAUAUAUGUGAAUCGAAUAAGGUUACGGGAUGAAUAUUGGAUUCGAUAUUUAAUCGACCCUUGAGUAAGAUGAAAAGAAGUAAUGAAAUUGUGAAAAAGAAAAAUGUGCAACAAAACAGUUUUGGACAGUAACAAUAAUGUGACUUUGAAAAAUCACCAAAAAUGGUGGAAAUUGAAUUAGAGAGUUAAUAAGAUAUUAAAUGAAAGCUUAAGGAGUCUAUUUUUAUGUAAAAGAAACAGAGCAAGUAAAAGAGUUAGACAUUCUGAGAUAUUUGAAUUUUAGUGAGGCAGGGUAGGAUUGAUUUCGGAAUCCCCUGUUCUGAAUUUGGAAAAUAAUUAAAAAUUGUAAAAAAAUAAUUACUAGAUAUAAUUUAUACGAUUAGAAUCCUUAAUGAGUCUAUUUUUAAGGGAAACAAACAGAAAAAUCAUCCAAAUUCUGUACAAUGAGAUAAUUCAUUUUUAGUGAAGAGAGGUCAGAGAUGUUGAGCAGUGAAACAGGGGUGACUUUAAAGAAUAAACUGUACUAAUUGGAAAAGUCAAAAAUUCUGAAAAUUUUAUGGUAAGAAGAUAUGUGAGUCUAGAUUCGGGGAAAAUUAACGGAUCUUAAUUUGGAGCUCUGUAGCUUUGGAUAAAUAUAAUUUAGUGACUCUGACUCGAAUAGACAGCUUUGGAUAUACAUGUGAAUGAAUAGUGAAAUUAUGUAUAAUGCUAUUUAAGCAUGUUUUAUACAUAAAGGAUGUGGAAUGGAGAGGGGGAGGAGGAAAAUUAAUUAUAUAUAUGAAUGAUUUGUGUAUAAAUGGUUAUAUGCUCAAUUAUAAUCGAUAAACGUUAAAAUAGAAAUGAUGCUUACAUUUGCGUAUUAUUGAUCAUGGUUUAAGCUCAUAUGGGAAAAUAAAGUUUCAUAGUAUGUGAGUGUGGUUUAUUUGAUAUAUGGGUUGGUAUGAAGUAAGGCCAUGAAUGGUUUAUGGAUUAAUUCAUGUUGGUAGGUUUGGUACAUGAAUAAAUGUUGAACUUGGCCAUACUUAUAAUGCUUAUGCUAUAUGUUUAUUUGGCUAACAUGUGUAGUGUACAUGCUUAAGCUUUGGCCAAUUGGUGGCUGAAUUAUGCCACGUUAAAUUUAUAAGUUAUGCAUUGAAAUGGUAAGUGCCUAGAUGGGAAUAUGCUUAUGAUCAUGGAAAGGGUGGUAACGUUUAAAUUAUGUAAACUUACUUGGAAUGGUUUAUCAUGUGGUUAAUUCCAAAAAAGAAUUAUGUUUAAUGUACUAGCUUGUGACUAUGGUUGAAUGAUAUGUUAUUGUUUUGUGUGAUAUUUGUAGGAAAUGGGUGUGGAAAGGAAAUGAAAUACUAAGUUCAUACUUGAAGAAUAAAAUGACGAAAAAGGGAAUGAUGAGUUGAUUUGAUGUUGUUAUUUAAGCUUAAGUGAUGUUUUCAUUGUAAUACUAAGAAUUUUAUAAAUGUGUUAAUGAAUGGUAUAAUUGAUAAACGUUGAGUUAAAUGAUGAACACGUAUUAGUAUUGAACUUAACAAUAUUGAAUUGUACAUGAAUUAAAUGGAAGUUUUUAGUGAUAUGAUUUGAAUUAAAAGAAUUGUUGUGGUAUUGAAAUAUAUAUAUUGGAUUGAGAAAUUGAUUUGAAUUGUGAACAUGAAAGAUUUUGAAAUGAAUAAAAUAGAAAUGAAGCAUUGAAUUACAUGAGUAAGUAUCGGGUCUUGUAGGCCCAAUUUGUUAUGAAUAUAAUAUUUCAAGGAUAUGUUAUAAAGAAUUAUAAAAUCAUGUUAAAAAUUUGAAAAGUUUAAAUUUGAAUGAAAUUUUGUAACUCGGUUUAAUACGUUUACAUGUGUAAGUGUUCUAGUAAUGCCUCAUUCCCUAUUCCGGAGUUGAAUACGGGUAAGGGGUGUUACAGACUAUCAACAAGCCAAGUUAAUCCCAGUAUUCUGCGUAACAUUUCCAUGUAGUUAAUCUUAUUUUGCUAAUAUAUAAUCAAAUGACCAGUAUUUUGUUUAACCCUCAAACAUCCUGCGUGGAAGCAAGUUAUUCAUAUGAAUUGCUUGAAUUGCUCAUAUGUCCAAUGAAUUAUAAAGGAAUGCUGUUGAAUUCCCAUCGAUACAUACAUGCAUACAUAUUAGUGAAGUAUAUUCCAAUAUAAUAUCAAUAUUGGGAUUUACGUUUUAUAGAGCAGCAUUAAUGAUUGGUAAUAUACAUUCGUUCCAAGGCAAACCCAAAUAUUGUAACCUACAACUGUGGCAAAUCAAAUUUUACAGUAACCCAAUUAUAAUGUGAAGUCAAAUAUGAAAGUAACAUUGGUUUAUAUUUUUUUUUCUCAAAAUUCUAAUAAUCAAGUUGGGAUAAGUGAUAAACACUGAGCUUGCCACGUGUGUUAAACCACAUUUUUGUUAUGUGCCACUCCAAAGAUAUCGGGCCUCUAUUCAGGCUGGCAUAGUCAGGACGUGGUAGCAUACUUCAGGACCCUGGUUAGAAAAUAUCCCACAUCCGAUAAAAUUGGAACGAUACAGAGAAGAUUAGCAUGGCCCUGCGCAAGGAUGACAUGCACAAAUCGAGAAGUCCAAUUUUUUUCCCUUUUUUUCCCCACAUUUUAACAGCUCUGCUUCUUCUUCUUUUUUUCCCCUGGGUUUGAUGUUCAUAUUCAUGGGUUUUUGUGCACUUAAGAUUGCAAUUAGAGUUUUCUUUCUUUCUUUUACUGGGUUCGGUCUGUUUUACUCUCUUGAACUGUGAAUUUGAUUUUUUUUUCCAUUUUUUCAGCUUUGUUGCUUUUUUCCCCCUGGGUUUAGUUUUCAUGUUCAUGGGUUCCGCCCACUUAAGAUUGCAUUGGAGUUUUUUUUUUCCUUUUUACUGGGUUUUGGCCAGUUUUACUCUGUUGAACCGUGAAUACCUCUGGGAAAAAAAUUGUUGCUUAUAUAUUUGCUAGUCAACAGUGCUAAUUUUCUGAUAUAUUGGCCAGAAUUGAGGGAAGAAGGUCCAAUUUUGCUUUUGAUUCUUCUACUACUAUCUUAAGAUUUAAAAGAAAUUCAAUUAAACAAUUUCUUCCAAUAAAAUUAAACAAGAAGGGACCUGCACACUUAGACAUGUUUCUCUUUGAAAAAAAUUCAAACAGGGUUUUAAAAUUUGCAAUGUGUUUUAUGUAAAUCAAAUGAUACCCUGAAUUUUGCUAAGGGUGUUUCAUAUCCUUGAAUCCUUUUUUUGCUUGGCAAGUGAUUCAUUGAGUUUUUGUGAUAAAUUUCAUGUUUCUUUUUUUAGUAUGGGAAUUUGUGGGAAAAUGCUUGGCAAUAUGGAAAUGAAACCAGUUUCCAUUUCCAAAGGCAACAGCAAAGUGGUGAAGCUUAUUGUUGAAAAAUUCUUCAAUAAUGUCAAUAAUGAAAAAGUAGAAAAUGGAAAAACUGAUAAGUACAUGCCUUUCUUGAAUAAAGGAAUGUGAAUCUGUGUGAACUUCCAUUUCCCUUGAAUUAUGCCUAAGUAAACCUUGACUAAGGAAACAAAUAAGCAGAGACCUUACAAGAAGAAAUUUGUGUUUAAUUCAGUCACACACAAUUUUCAAAGAAUCUUACUUCAUUUUCUUCAUAAAUUGUUGCGUAAGAUACUAACACUUGAAAAACUAAUAACAUUAGACCCAACCAUUUUAAACAGGAUGUAAUAGCACCAUACAAAUACAAAACCAAAAUGAAACAACGACCAACACUAUAUAAAUAUACACCAUUGAUCAAAAUAUACACUAACAACAAUUAUGAUAAGAUAACAUAGAUGAACAUGAUACAAUUUGUUAAAUCUAAGGUACUGACCAAUCAUUUUAUUGGAGCAUUACUUAAUGUAUAAGGCUCAAUCCCCCCCCGAUGCUAGAUACUGAUACACUCAAACGAAUAUGAUUUUCUUCCAUUCAUUUCAAUAUGGUAAUGUUGUUUUUACCCUAAGUUAAAAUCCUUUUUUUUUACUGCACAGAAAUCUGAAUUCACCAACCCUGAUGGAAGGCUUGUGAUUGUGACCAACUUUACAGGCAAAAAUGAAAAAGGAUCUACAACCUUUGUUAACUGUUUUGUAAAAUACAAGAAAAUCCCAUACCCAAGCAUGAUUUUAUAUACACCCUGCUACAAAAACACGUUUUUUCCUGCAAAAACAUCAUUCAUGGCAAGAUGUCAAGAGAUUGGUGAAAAAGAAAAACAUCCAACAUUUGGGGUUUUAAUCUCAAUAUAUGAACUUGGCUUUAUUUCUUAGUGUUAUUGUUGAACUUUUUAGGAUGCCUCUGUCUUAAUCCAUUUAUGUGAUUUGAUAAUGAUAUUUGCAGGCACUUAAAUCUGUUGGAACAAUGGCAGCAGCAAACAUCAAACAAAGUUACAACACAGUGUUUGCAAGACUGAAGCAAGAAGAAUCGAAGCAAAGAAAGAGCAAAGCAAAGCAAAAAUUUGAUCAAAUUGAAUACUCAGCAAAGUUGUAACUGAAUAUUACAUUUUUCAUUCAAGAUUAGAAUAUAUAAAAGUACUACAAUUUUGGUUCAUUUGACAGAUACCUAAUGACAUAACUACUCCCACUUAAACUAAACUAAUACAAGCUUAAGUCAAAUACAAAUAAGCUGACAUAUCAACUUUUACAUCACCAAUCCAAUCACAAACUUAAUCCAACUAACUAUUAAAGCUAGUUACAAUCAAACUGAACUAAGUUACAUCAAAACAAAACAGCAAUAUCAGUUGCUUCAUUUGGUCUGAAAACCAUUCGUGCACACCAAGCAAAAUGAGCUGAGCUCGAUAGCUGCUGGUCUCGAUAGUAGCAUGCUUCCGGCUCCAUGUUGCAUUGCAGUCCAUCUUUCAACACUCCUCCUUGGACUGUAUGCAACACAUUCCAAUUGCACUUCUCAAAGAUUCAAAUCGAACAGCCCCUAAGGGCUUUGUCAUUAUGUCAGCCAAUUGAGCUCUUGAGCUGCAAUGCACAAGGCUGACUUACUUUGCUUGUUCAGCUUUUCUAACAAAAUGCAGUUUGAUUUUAAAAUGCUUAGUCUUACCAUGGAACACAGGGUUCUUGGCUAUUGCAACUGCAGACUGAUUAUCUACCCAAAUUUUAGUUGCUUCAUCUUGAGUUUCAUUAAGGUCAUAAAGCAGCUUCCUUAGCCAAAUGGCCUGAUUAACUGCUCCUGCUGCAGCAAUGUACUCUGCUUCAGCUGUGGAUUGAGCAACAGUUUGUUGCUUCUUUGAACUCCAGCAAAACAUGCCCGAUCCAAGUGUGAAGAAGUAUCCAGAGGUACUCUUCAUGUCAUCGAGAGAUCCUGCCCAGUCACUGUCAGAGUAGCCUUCUAGUUUCAGUUGAUUCCUACUUUCAAACAUUACACCAAAACUAGCAGUGCCCUUGAUGUAUCUAAGGAUCCUCUUUCCUGCCUUCAAAUGUGCCUCACUACAACAAUGCAUAAAUCUCGAUAACAGGCUGACACCAAACAUGAUGCCUGGCCUGGUUGCUGUUAGAUACAACAGACAACCAACUAGGCUUCGAUAGUGCCUCUCAUCAACCCUCUGCUGAUCACCACUGCUAGUCAGCUUUUCUCCUUGGGCCACAGGUGUGCUGACUGCUUUACAGUUAUGCAUGCAGAAUUUGUCUAGGAUCUUCAAAGCAAAUGAGUGUUGGCUGAUGAAGAUACCUCGAUUAGACUGGUGCACUUCCAUGCCAAGGAAGUAAGUCAUGAUCCCCAAAUCUGUCAUCUCAAACACUUGCUGCAUUUGGACCUUGAACUGAUCAAUGAGCUCAAUUUUGCUCCCUGUCACAAGCAAAUCAUCCACAUACAAGGAGACAAUCAGCAAGGUUUCAUGUUCUGACCUUUUAACAUACAGAGUAGGCUCACUAAGGCUCUUUACAAAUCCAAGUUUGGUCAGGUAAGCAUCAACUCUGUCAUACCAGGCCCUUGGUGCUUGUUUCAGGCCAUAGAGGGCCUUUCUCAACUUAUACACUUUGUCUUCAUGUCCAACAACUUCAAAACCUUCAGGUUGCUCGAUAAAGAUCUCCUCCUUGAGAAAACCAUUUAGGAAUGCUGAUUUGACAUCCAAUUGGUGAACUCUCCACUGCUUCUGAGCUGCUAAAGCAAAUAGCAGCUUAAUUGUAUCCAGUCUUGCCACUGGAGCAAAAGUUUCUAGGUAGUCAACACCAUACUGCUGACUGUAGCCCUUCACCACAAGCCUGGCCUUGUGCUUGUUCAGUGAGCCAUCAGCAUUGUACUUGGCUCGGUACACCCAUUUAACUCCUAUGACCCUCUUAUGUUCUGGUCUGCUCACCAACUCCCAAGUCUGAUUUUUGUUGAUCAUUUCCAACUCAGCUUCCAUAGCUUUCAUCCAGCUUCUGUUCUUAGCAGCCUCUUCAAAGUCUGAGGGCUCAAUCACAGCAACAUUGCACCUCUGAUAGACAUCAGCCAAAGUUCUGGUCCCCCUCACUGGUAUAUCAUCGACAGCAUCAUUACUUGGUCCUUCUUCUGCAGGUUCAGCAACCAAGUCUAACUGGUCCAAUUCAGACAAGUCAGCCUCAACACCAUUCCAAUUCCACACAUUUUCCUCAUUAAACUUUACAUCCCUGCUGACUAAAACUUUCUUUGCUGUAGGAUCAUACACUCUAUAGCCCUUCUUGUUGCUGCUGUAGCCAACAAAGAUUCCUGGAGUUGCUCUACUCUCAAGCUUGGUCCUUUUCUCUACUGGAAUAAGUGCAUAACAUACACAGCCAAACACUUUUAAGUGUGUUACCAUAGGUUUGACUCCAUGCCAAGCCUCAAAAGGAGUCUUAUCCUUGACUGCUCUAGUUGGCAGUCUGUUGAGCAGAUACACUGAGGUGUUGACUGCCUCAGCCCAAAACUAACUUGGAAGCUUGCCUUGAAACAAGAGGCACCUGGCCAUGUUCAGUACAGUCCUAUUCUUUCUCUCACAGACUCCAUUCUGUUGAGGAGUAUAGACUGUUGUGAGCUGAUGGUGAAUCCCAGCACUGUCACAAAGCUUCUGAAAUCUCUCAGACACAUAUUCAGAGCCAUUAUCAGUCCUCAAGGCUCUAAUUUUACAGCCUGACUGAUUUUCAGCAUAAGCCUUGAAUUUGCAGAAGGCUUCAAACACUUCUGACUUUUGCUUCAAGAAGUAGACCCAGCACAACCUUGUUAAAUCAUCUAUAAACAGGGCAAAGUACCUGUUCUCACUGAUUGAAGGUGUUCUCAUAGGGCCACAAACAUCAGAGUGCACCAAUUCGAGCUUGUUUUGAGCUCUCCAAGCACUGUCAGCAGGAAAAGGCAGUCUAGCCUGCUUACCAAGCUGACAAACCUCACAAACAUUCCCACUAACUUCAAUUUUUGAAAUGUCAUCAACCAAAUUCAGCCUAUGUAACUGAUCGAUGGAUCUAAAAUUUGCAUGGCCUAGUCUCCUAUGCCACAAGUCAGUGCUUUCAACAAGGCUGGUGUAUGCCUUUCUUUCUAUUUGGCUAACAUCCAGCAUGAAGCACCUAUCAGUCAUAGAGACUGUGACUAACUCCAGACCAUUCAUGUCUUGAACAAUACAGCAACCAUCCUUAAAAACCAAUGUAUAGCCCUUUUCAACUAAUUGGCCUACACUAAGCAAAUUCUGGUCUAAGUCAGGUACAAAAAACACAUCUGAGAUCAGCUUGUUACCUGAACCAGUGCUAAUCAACACACUGCCCUUGCCUUUAGCCUCAAUCAGCCUACCAUCUCCAAUUCUAAUCUUCGAGUGGAAGCUUCUGUCUAGACCUUUGAACAGCUUCUCAUCUGCUGCCAUAUGGUGUGAGCAGCCACUAUCUAGUAGCCAAUCAUUGCUGGCCUUGGUUGUGCCAGCAAAACAAGUUGCUGUGAACACUUGCUCCUUCUGAGCUUGGAUGUCCUCAGCAGGUCUAGCUUGUUGUAGAGCAGCCUCCCUUGGUUUGCCCUUGCACACCUUCUCCACAUGGCCAAACUGCUUGCAUUUUCUACACUGAAUAUCUGGCCUAAACCAGCAAUACUUUUCUGAAUGUGUUAUCUUCUUGCAAUGAACACAUGGUGCGAACACCCUUUUUGCAUCAUCUCUUCCUGACUUGACCCUUCUAUUGUGCCAAGGCUUCUUGCCUUUUGCACUCACACUCGAGCCUUCACUGGCUUUAGCCUGGAAAGUAGCUUCAGGAUUCUCCUCCUGCCUAUUUGCCCUCCUUUGCUCAAGUGCAUACAGGGAGUUUAUCAGCUCAGACAAUGAAAUGGCUGAUAAGUCCCUCGAGUCCUCAAGUGAAGAGAUUUUAGACUCAAAUUUCUCAGGGAGAGUUGUAAUAACCUUUUCAACAACUCUGCUCUCUGUGAAGUCCACUCUCAGAAGCCUAAUGCUGUUGACAAUGGCCAUUAUCCUGUCUGAGUACUGCUUGAUGGUCUCAGACUUCUUCAUCCUCAAAUUUUCAAAGUCUCUCCUGAGGUUGAUCACUUGCUGUUGCCUUGUCUUAUCAGUCCCCAUGAACUCCUCCUUCAGCUUCUCCCAAGCCUGCUUUGGUGAGUCACAGGCCAUGAUGCGAGUAAAUAUCACAUCAGAGACUCCAUUUUGUAAGCAGGCCAUAGCCUUAUGCUUCUUGGCUCGCUCCUCAGUAUGUUGCCUCAUCUGUGCAAUGGUGGGAUUGGCUCUCAAUGGAGGUGGUUCAGCAUCAUUCUCGAUCACACUCCAAAGAUCAUGUGCCUGGAGAUAAGUCUUCAUUUUAACUAUCCAAAUGUGAUAGUUUUCUCCAGUGAACACUGGUGGAGGUGGUGGAGUGAAACUCAUUCUGCUAAACUGAUUUUAAGUGCUUCAAUCUUACCAAAUUUUGAACUUGCUGUUGGUUUUGAUUCGAACACAACAGAUUGCAUACAAAGGCCCCUCAAAGACUCGGGCUCAUGAUACCAUUUGUUGGAACAAUGGCAGCAGCAAACAUCAAACAAAGUUACAACACAGUGUUUGCAAGACUGAAGCAAGAAGAAUCGAAGCAAAGAAAGAGCAAAGCAAAGCAAAAAUUUGAUCAAGUUGAAUACUCAGCAAAGUUGUAACUGAAUAUUACAUUUUUCAUUCAAGAUUAGAAUAUAUAAAAGUACUACAAUUUUGGUUCAUUUGACAGAUACCUAAUGACAUAACUACUCCCACUUAAACUAAACUAAUACAAGCUUAAGUCAAAUACAAAAUAAGCUGACAUAUCAGCUCUUACAUCACCAAUCCAAUCACAAACUUAAUCCAACUAACUAUUAAAGCUAGUUACAAUCAAACUGAACUAAGUUACAUCAAAACAAAACAGCAAUAUCAGUUGCUUCAUUUGGUCUGAAAACCAUUCGUGCACACCAAGCAAAAUGAGCUGAGCUCGAUAGCUGCUGGUCUCGAUAGUAGCAUGCUUCUGGCUCCAUGUUGCAUUACAGUCCAUCUUUCAACAAAAUCUUCCAUUGAAAUGGAGAACACCAACUACGAGGAGGAGCUGAAGAAUGAUCGCAGGCUUGUUUGCAGUCUCAUAUACGAGAUUAAUUGCAAAAAAGAACAGUUGUCCCAAAUGGAACGUGAAUAUAACGAGAUGACCGCAACUCUUCGAGGACUCAUCAAUGGCCUCAUAGCAAAAAUUAACUCCAAGGACAGUAAUCUGUGGGGUUGGGUGCUUCAAUAUAAUGUAACCGUGAGCAGUUGAAUGGCAAGAAUGCUGCGUUGCGCCUUGCGUUUGCUCAAGGUACUUUAGAUUAUAUAUGCGUAUGUAGUGAGCAGAAUACUAUGUGCUAAUUGAAUCGUUUGGUACCCUUUGAUUGAUCUUAGGGAAGGGGAUAUAAAUGUCAGGAUUUGAACCCCAAACUUAGCUUUUAUUACGGGAACUGGAUCAAUUUAGGCUCGGAUAAGCUUAAUGUGUUCAGAACCAGAUAAGAACAUAAUAUAUGGGAACACUUUGGCCAUACGAGGCUAAUGCUUAUAUGAUUCGCAUUAAAGACUACAUGCUCCUAGUGAUAACUCUUCUGUAAGUACUAUUAGUUGAAUAGCUUUAUGAUGUAUUAAUCUAUAAAAUCUGGGUGUCAUAUUAUGAGUUCCAUUGCUAUGUUAAUCUAUGUACUAACAAUAUUAUGAAGUAAGGCAAUUUUGUGUACAUUAUAUAUAUAUAUAUGAAGUUAAGAACGUAAGUGCUGUUAAAUGGUACAUUACUCAGAUUGGUAAUAUAUUGGUGCCGAAUGUUCUAAAAUUUAACCAGCAUUACUGGUAAUAUAUUAGUGCCAAAUUUGACUAAUUAUUGUUGAUAUAUCUUCAAAAUUUUCAGAUUUGAUAAAGAUAAAAUGGCAAUAAUGAAUAAAAAUACUGACUUUUUAAGAUCGUAUUUAAUGAAGGGAAGUUGAAUGUAGAAACUAAAACGACCUAAGGGAAAUAAAAGCAAAAUAUGGAGAAGUUUUCUCGGGAAAACAAGUGUUAUCCUUCAUUUAUCUUGAUGAUUCUCUAACGCCGCCAAUUUCCCCCCUAAGUUUACAGCAAGAAGAAGAAAAAAAAGAAGACAAACGGCAACGUUAAGCCAUUUUGUUACCUAUUUAUUUUAUGUUUUUGUAAAUUAAACAUUUUUUGUAUACAUUUUGUUACCUAUUUAUUUUAUGUUUUUGAAGUUUCCAUUGCCAUUUCUACCUUUCCAAAAUGGUGUCUUUUUACUUGUUUUUUACUGGGUUAUUUCUUUGAUUUUAGGGUUCUAUAUGUAUUUUUUUUAUGAAUUUGAACUUGAGUUAGCCAUAAAAAUUCCACCUUUAAUCUCAAUAUAUGAACUUGGCUUUGCUUCUUAUGGUUAUUAUUUGUUUAAUUUUUUAAGAUAACUUCUUGAGAUCUGAUUAUUUAAUCCAUUUAUGUGAUUGAUAAUGAUAUUUUCAGGCACUUAAUCUUCCAUUAAAAUGGAGAAAGCCAACUACGAGCUGGAGCUGAAGAACGAGCGAAGGCGUGUUUGCAGUCUCUUAUACGAGAUUGAUUGUAGAAAACAACAGUCGUUCGAAAUGGAACGUAAAUAUUGUUGGAUUGCUGGCACCCCUACGGCGCAGCGGAAAAAAAUAAAAUCGGCGACCCUAACCAUGGAUCCAUGUGUGAGGAACGAAUCGGGGUGAUCAAGGUUACGAAAUUACCUAAUGUUUAUUCAGAGUAGACAGCAACACCUCUACAACGAAUAGUCUGAUCUGCUGUCGAACCAAGCCGCAAUCAAUCGUGAUCCCGGCCUCUACGUAAUCCACCCAGUUGACUACGAACGAAAGGAAUCCCCAAAAUAGUUUUGAGAGUUAUUUUUCUUUGACGGUUGCUAGACCAAAAAUAAAGAAAAACGGGAUUCUUAUAUCCUAUUAUUAUAGGGUUUUUAGGAAUUAAAUAAAUAUAAUAAUAUUUUAAAUCGAAAAUUAUAAUUACAAUAAUUAUAAUAUAAUUUCGGUAAACCAUAUAUUUAUUUGAAUUCAUAUGCUAACCAAAUUCAUGUCCUCAUUAUGCGUACAACAAACUUGUACAUAAUGUGUUGGAAAUUUGAUUACCGAGCGAAACCCAAAAAUAAUACCAACUAUGGUUUAUUCCGUUCAUUUCAACUAUAGGGUGUGACCCUGUAGGUUCUUGUAACGUUAGCAGUAAUACUAGAACGAUUCCAAUGUUACAAACAAUGAGUGACAUCUAGCAAUGCAUCAUUGCUACCUAAGUCACAAGAGAUCAUGAUUCGACACAACCUUUUAUGAUUAACCUUUUAUGCAAUAAUCCUUAAGUCCUUUAUCUCUGGAUUGGACACAAGUCAUGGAAUAGUCACACUUGUAUAGUCCAUUCCAUGUUCCUUGAUAUUUUAAGUAGACUACGAUAUACAAAUAAGUAUGACAUCUCAUAUCAACUUAUUUGAGCAUGCAUGGCCAUGCAUUUCUAGUCUCACUUAAUCAAGUGGCCUAAGCUAUUACUCCUAUUAUGUAGGAGGGACUUAUUCUAUAUCGACCAACCAUAUCCCUCUACAUCGAUUGUGGUAUAUCCAACACCAGCCUUUAUAGAACAACCAGUUACGGUGUACGUUUGACUGUAUCAAAAUAUACUACUCACGAUGUUGGGAUUAUGAUGAUCUCAAGUCUGAGGAUCAUAUACAUAUUAAUCACUAUGAGUAAUGUCGUGACAAUUACAUAAUAAUCCAAGAAACAUACUCAUAAUGGGUCAGUCCAAUAUGUUGUUCUCUAACACACAUAUUCAUGCGUCGAUUCUGAUAUUCCAUAUCAAUGAUAACUCUUUAUCAUCACUCAACUACAUGUUAGUUUUAAUGCAUUAUCGUUGUCCUAUCCAACAAUAAUACUUGACUAAGGAUCUUUUAAGAAUAAUCAUAUUAUUCUUAGGACAUUAUUAGAAAACAGUUUAUUUAUACACACAGAAAAGAAACUGAAAUAAUAAUGGUAAUGCCUUAUAUUAAUAAACAUGAUAAAUCAAGUAUGUUAUUACAACCAUCUCAUGAUUGAUCUUUGGGCAUACUCUAACAAAUAUAACAAGACGACAGCGACUCUUCAAGGACUCGUUGAUGGCCUCAUAGCGAAAAUUAACUCCAAGGACAGUUGUUUGUGGGAUUGGGAGCUUCGAUAUAACGAAACCGUGAGACAGUUGAAGAGCGAGAACGCGGUGUUGCGCUGUGUGUUUGCCGAAGGUACUUUAGAUUAUAUAUGCAUACAGUAGUGAGCAUAAUACUAUGUAUUAAUCGAAUCAGGUGGUACAAUGAACGACUUCUUGUCUUUUGAUGUUACACGAUUUGCAUCUAGAGCUUUGAUUGAUCUUAGGGUCGUUCUUUCGGUACGAAAGAAGUCACGGAUUAAGGAUUGGGAAGGGGAUACAAUUUUCGGGAUUCGAAUCCCAAACUUAGCUUUUAUUACUGGAACUAGAUAAAUUUAGGCUUGGAUAAGCUUUAAUGUGUUCGGCACCUUUCCAACUUGUUUUCUUUUAUGCAGAAAAUCGAAAGGAAAAGGCUGAAAACUUUAAGCUGAGGUGUGAACUUAGACGGCGAACCAAGGAACUCGAAGAUUAUAAAUCUCGGGAUGAUAACAAUAUGGAACGAAGAAGCUUGUUGAAUGAAAUUGAAGCGGUUAGCAUACUCAGUCUUAAUUUUCGUUUUUGAUAUAUGAACUAUCUUUUAUCGAGAUUCGCUGGGAAAACCUGCAGUUAAAUUGUUGAUGGUUAUGAUCUACCGAGUGGACAUUUAACAAUGGGAUUGUAUCUGAUACAGCCGAAGGAGAAUGUGCCUUGUCGAGAUCUUGUUGAACUCGAGAAAACUACAAGCGAUUAGAUUGCUGCUCUAAAGGAACAAUUGGAGGAAACAUUAGAGGCACUGAAAGAUAUGGAAAGCCGAUACAGUUGUACGGUGAAACAAAUCUUAACUAAUCAAGAACUUUAAGAUGCUUGAAAAGAAUCGAUAAUUGUAUUUCCUCGUUUUCCUUUGUUUUCUUGGAUGUUUUAUUUCUUUAGGUGCAAGAAACACCUCUUCGAAAUCAGGUAUGAAAGUGUUAAACCGAAGACUUCUCUAGUUCUUGAUAUGAAGGGUCUAAAUGAUGUAUUGACAAGCCAAACAACUCUUGUAGUAAAAAGAAUGGGAGAGAUCGAUCAAAAAGCUUUUGAAGUUGCUAGCUCUGGGAAGUUCCCGAACGAAGAUUGGCAAGAAACAUGUGCUAAAUUAUGUUCAUUAUGGCAACAAAACGUGCAGGAUCCGAAAUGGCACCCGUUUAAAAUGAUCAAUAUCCGAGGCAACUUGCAGGUAUAGUGCAUACACCAACUAUUCUGUUAUCCGGUUAUCGAAAAUCCGUUUUUUUACUAAACGUGCUAAACAUGUAUGUCAGAAUUGAGCCAGUUUAUUACUCAAACUUACAUAUAUUAAAGGGAUGGCUACUCGGUAGUGUAGGAAAUAGUAGACGAAGACGACGAGAAGCUGAAGGAGUUGAGAAAUGAAUACGGUGAUGUCAUGUACGAGGCUGUUAGCACCGCAUUGAUGGAAAUGAACGAAUAUAAUGUGAGCGGAAGGUAUGCAGUCAUUUAAGCUAGUUGAGUGACCUGCAAUCUAGUUUAUCAUUUUUUAAAUAUUUAUAGUCUAUGAAUUUUGACUUUUCUUCCAAUAAUAUAUCUCCAAAAUUCUAACUUAACCUUUUUAAACUUUCUCAUGUCAUUAUUGUUAGAGUUAAUUGCACCAAAUAUCUCCAAACUAUAGCCCUUAUUCUAAAAUAGUCCUCAAACUCAAAAUAUUGUAAGUUACAUUUCCAAAUUAUCAAUAAUAUUCUUCUGAUGCUAAAAUCAUUAAAUGAGACGUCAAAUCUUAUGAGACAUAAUUUAAAAUAAAAAACUUAAAAGAAAAAUGAAUAUUAUAAAAAUAUUGAUUUCAAGGUUGAAGUUAUUACAAAAACUAUCAUUCAUUUUCUCUUUUACUUUAUUUUUAAUUUUUAUUUUUAAAAGUUGUAUCAACUACAUUUUACUUUUCUUUAAAAAUAUCAUUUUAAAUUAUUAGUGUCAAUAAUAAAAGGAUGAGAUAAAUAGUUUAAAAUAUUUUAAAGUUGGGAGAAUAAUUUAAAAUAAAGAUGCAAUAUUGUUAAUCUAGUACUAUUUCAUAAUAUCAUUUUAUCGUUUCAACUUUUGAAGACAACAUUUUUAUUUUUGAAAUAUUUUAAAGACAACAUUUAAAGAUUGAUUAUAAUAAUAUUGUUGCAUGGAAAAAGAAUUUCCACGUCAGCGAAAAGGCUUACGUCUGACGUGUGCUUAAUGUUAUUCGAAAAGUCAAAGGUCGAGAAAGUUUAGGGCGGGUCACACAUAUCACACGCCAUGCACAGGUUUUCUUAUUUCGAGGCUAAAAUACCAAAAUACCAUCACAUUUCUCGUUAAACUUACCACUUAAUCAACGAUCCUCUAAAACGAUGUAAGGACAUAUUAGAAAUUUUAAUCACAAUAAUAUCACCAAAUCUGAAAAGUUACAAAUGAGGCAAAAAAAAAUACGAGUAAUAUUUGGCCAUAAAAUGUAUAUAUUCAUUCCCUCUAAACCAGUCGGUUAAGCCUCACAAUCCAACGUAACUGUAAAUCUUUCUUGGCAGCCAUGAAAUCAGUUCUAAAAUCCCUUGCAAACUCAAUCUUCCUUGUUCUUUUCAUCAUCUUUUCAUCUUCUACUCCACUUGUAUUGGCUCAAUGUGAAGCAGAGACCAAGACUAAUGGAUGCCAUAACUACAGAGAAUCCAUGAAGCUAAAAAUCAUUGCCAUUGUCGCAAUUUUACUAUCCAGCAUGAUUGGCUUGUGUGUACCAUUGUUUUCUGGUCAGGUUCCGUUACUUAAACCCGACAGGGACUUGUUCACCAUUGUCAAGGCAUUUUCCUCCGGUGUUAUUCUAGCGACUGGGUACAUGCACGUGCUACCGAAUUCUUUCAACGACCUUAUGUCCGGGUGUUUGCCUAAAAACCCAUGGAGGAAGUUCCCUUUCACAACCUUCAUCGCAAUACUGUCGGCUGUGUGGACCCUUAUGGUGGAUUCAUUUGCAAUGAGUGUAUACAAGAAACGUUGCGGUAAAGCUUUAAUGGCGGAUGCUAACAAUGGUGGUGGAUUGGAAAAUACGAACGUUGUACCAAUCGAUAAUUUUGAACACGGCCAUAGCCAUUCACUUGAGAUGAAUGACGACGUAUCAUCACAAUUGUUAAGGCAUCGAGUUAUAGCUCAGGAAUAUAUACAUGUUUGAAUCCUCAAAUUCGAUGAUUUUGCUUUUCAAGUCUUUACAUUAUAUAUUUCCUAAAUGUAGGUAUUAGAGUUGGGAAUUGUAGUUCAUUCAGUGGUGAUUGGUCUUGCAAUGGGAGCCUCUGGCAACCAAUGCACCAUUCGAUCACUCAUUGCUGCCCUUUGCUUCCAUCAAAUGUUUGAGGGGAUGGGACUUGGUGGAUGCAUACUGCAGGUAACCCCCAACAUUGCACUAUUUUCUCAUUCAAACAUCCAUUUAGUGUACACUAUUGAUUAACAUUAUGUUUGAUAUGUGCAGGCUGAAUAUGAUAUAAAAAUGAAAGCAAUCAUGGUAUUCUUCUUUUCAGCCACAACACCACUUGGAAUAGUUCUGGGAAUUGGUUUGUCCAAGGUUUACAGUGAGACGAGUCCAACUUCACUUACGGUGGUGGGACUACUUAAUGCUUGCUUAGCAGGGUUGCUGAAUUACAUGGCACUGGUUGAUCUCCUUGCAGCUGAUUUUCUGGGCCCUAAGCUUCAAACAAAUAUGAAGCUCCAGGCUUGGUCAUAUGUUGCAGUUUUACUUGGUGCUGGAUUUAUGUCUUUGAUGGCAAAAUGGGCUUAGUCAUUUCAACAUAUACAUGUCUUUUUGUAGUUUUUUAAUCUUUUUUUUUUUUUGCUUCAACAGAUGAGUUUAUAGUGAAUCAACAGUUAUUCAAUCAAUUAUAAAAUUUAGGCAAAGAAUUUAGGCAACAAGGCUUGAACAUUGACCUUUAAGAUCGUUUACUCCAUAUUGCAGGGCUCAUCACAAAGUAUAUAACUAUAUAUAUCAGAGAAGUAUGCAAACUUCAAUUUUGUGUCAGUAUCAUUAUAAUUUAAACUGUUUAAUGUUAAAUCAGAUGUAGAUGUCUUUAAGCCAAUGCUUAUAGCCACAAAGUCUCUUUGGUGCAAGCUAUAAGGACAGAGUUAUGCUAUAAAUAAACAAAUAAAUGUUGUAUAAAACCCUUCUCCUCAAAAACAAAACGAUAGCGACAGCCUGCUUUCGGUAGAUGGAAGAUUUUCUAUUUCCUCCAUUUACCAUCUCUGGUUUGCUUAUCUGCCUUGUUGCCCUAUGUUGGUUGGGCCAAACAAAUAGCUUGAAAUCUUUAAGUAGCACUUUCAUCCCUCCAGUUAUAUAUGCAAUUUUAUAUGUUGAACCAUCAUACCAUGCCAAUUCACUGCACAUUAAUUGACUAGUACCUAACAGGAUUAAUUUACAGCUUACUAGAAUCAUCCACAAGACUUUGAGGGAUUAAUUGGGGGUCAAAAGACAGUUUUAAAUAUCAAAAAGGCUUCUACUGUUUCUGUUUUUUUCCAGAAGUUUCAAAUGGAUCAAUAGUUAAAGUUGAUCAUAUAGGAUGAGCAAGUGACUGUGUUACGUUCUCACAAUAUAAGAAAUAAAAAUACCAAUAGAACAGUAAUUUUGGGAAGAAAAUGGACUGGUAUUUGAUGGAAUUAUAACGAAUUACAAGGAAAAUUUGCAGAAAAGAGAUGAGAGAAGAAAGUUACAGACUUAGGGGAUGAGAAAAGAACAGAAACAUAUUGCUGCAAUGAUGAUAUUUUUCUGGUAUUUUUCCUCCUUAAAACCAGGAUAGCUGCAUAGAGGAGUGUGAACCGUUAUUCCCUUCCACGUGCAACUAGCUGAGGUGUCACUUGACAAAAUCCUUCAGCCAUUUGGAAGCCAUUCUGGGCCGAGUGCUCCCUCUAGUAGCCUGUGUAGUGGCUAUUCCAGUAGCCUUCUGCGGCCUUGGUGGGUCGUUCACAACAUUACCCCCCACAUCGAGACACACCUUGUCCUCAAGGUUGAGAUCAGGAAAUAACUUCAACAUGUGAGCCUUAUCUUCCCAAGUUGCUUCAUCAAUAGAUGAACCGUCCCAUUGUACCAGCCAUUGCUCAAUCAAUGAAUUAGCCCGCUGAAUAGACCUCAUCUCCAGUAUAGCAGUUGGUUGCAAUAUAAGGGCAGACGUAGAAUCAGCGAGGUAGAGAGGUGUUACCUGUUGAUCUGGUUGUCCGAGGCAUUUCUUGAGCAAGGAAACAUGAAAUACAGGAUGGAUAUGCGCGAAUUCCAGCAGCUCCAAUCUGUAAGCAACCUCGCCAACACGGCCAAUUACCUUAUGAGGACCAAAAUAACGUCUACUCAGCUUGUGGUGGCGUUGCAAACGAAUAGAAUGUUGGCGAAACGGUUGGAGCUUGACAUAGACCCAAUCUCCCUCGACAAAAGUCACCUCACGACGGCUCCUAUCAGCUAGUAACUUCAUCUGAUUCUGUGCUCGCUGUAAAUUCUCCUUUAGCACCCGAAGAACUUGAUCACGUUCCACGAGCUGAGCUUCCACCAAAGCAUUACCAGAAGUAUCUCGCACAUAACGAGCAACAGUAGGAGGAGGACGACCAUAUAGAACCUCAAAGGGUGUCAUUUUGGCAGCCGUUUGAUAAGCCGUAUUAUACCAAAAUUCAGCCCAUGGCAACAUGUUUGUCCAAGUCGAGGGAUGAUUCGAAGUAUAGCAUCGAAGAUACAUUUCAACGCAUUUAUUCAAUGCCUCAGUUUGGCCGUCGGAUUGUGGAUGGUAGGUAGUACUCAUACUCAGAGUUGUACCCUGCAAAUGAUGGAUUUCCUUCCAAAAGUCACUGAGAAAUCGAGGAUCGCGGUCUGAAACAAUCUCUACUGGUACGCCAUGGAAACGAAUAAUCUCCUGAACGAAAACAGCAGCCACUAAAAUGCUAGUAAAAUUAGUGGGCAAUCCGAUGAAAUGGCCGUAUUUGGAUAAUCUAUCAAUGACAACGAAGAUAACGGUUUUGCCUUUGGAAGAAGGUAAUGCCGUGAUAAAAUCCAUAGAGAUGCUCUCAAAAACCAAAUUGGGAAUCGGUAAUGGCUACAGCAAACCACUAGGACUUAAGGAUGAGGCUUUCAUUUGCUGACAAAUUUGGCACUCUUUGACAUAUUGCUUAACAUCCCGACGCAUAGAAGUCCAAAAGAAAUUUGAUGAAAGACGAUGAAAGGUGCGUGUAAUACCAGAAUGGCCACCGAUAGGAGAUGCGUGAAACUCAUGAAUAAGCUGUAAACGGAUAGGAGAAUCAGCUAGAAUCAUUAGGCGACCCCGAAAUAGUAACAGCCCCUCAUGGAAACUAAAGUCGGGAAAUUGUGCUGGGUCAGCGCACACUCGUUGCUGCAUACUCAAAAGUUAAGGGUGUUGUAAGUUGGCUGCACGAAGAUCAGCAAUAAGAUCAAAUUGCACAGUAGAUAAAGCAAGCAAUUAAGAGGAAGGGAUGCGAGAAAGAGAGUCAGCAGCAGCAUUCAACUUCCCAGGGCGAUAGAUAAUGUCAAAGUCAUAACCAAUAAGCUUGCUCAACCAUUUCUGUUGCUCGGGGGUUUGUAUAACUUGUUGCAUGAGAUUCUUAAGUGGCUGUUGAUCAGUGAUAAUUGUAAAUCUCCUCCCCAACAAAUAUUGCCGCCAUUUCGAAACAGCUUGGGUGACCGCAUACAUUUCACGUUGGUACGUUGAGGAUUGUUGCAUGCGAAGACUCAGUUGCUGGCUGAAAAAUGCUAUUGGAUGCUUAUCUUGGGACAAAACGGCUCCGACCCCGGUACCGGAAGCAUCUGUUUCAACUGUAAAUGAUUUCGUGAAGUCCGGCAAAGCUAAGACAGUGGCUGAACUCAAAACUUCUUUCAACUUGAUAAAAACAUUGGUAGCAGAUUCAGUCCAAAGAAAGUUAUCUUUGCGAAGAAGAUUAGUAAGGGGUCCUGCAAUAGAGGCAAAAUGUUGAACAAAGCGUUGAUAGUAUCCCGCGAUACCAAGAAAUCCGCGAAUCUCCUUAAUUGAACGUGGCAAUGACCAUUUUUGAAUUGCAACAAUUUUAUCAGGAUCGACGGAUACACCUUGGCUAGAGAUGAUAUGCCCCAAAUAUCCAAUAGAAGUUUGGCCAAAAAUACAUUUGGAUUGCUUUGCCACUAAUUGAUGGUGUCGUAAAACCGAGAGCACAAGAAGAAUGUGCUCCAAGUGAGUCUCCCAAGAAGGGCUGUAAAUUAAGAUAUCGUCGAAGAAAACGAGUACAAAAUCCCGCAAGUAAGGUUGAAAAAUGUUGUUCAUGAGACUUUGAAAGGAGGAUGGCGCAUUGGACAAGCCAAAUGGCAUUACGAGGAAUUCGUAAUGCCCCUCAUGAGUUCGAAAGGCAGUUUUGUACUCAUCGCCAAUACGAAUUCGCAGUUGAUGAUAGCCGGCCAACAAAUCCAAUUUAGAAAAAUACACCGCACCAUGUAACUCAUCAAAAAGUUCAUCAAUGGAUGGAAUAGGAAAUCGAUCCUUAAUGGUAAUGGCAUUUAGGGUGCGAUAGUCAACACAAAAUCGCCACGUACCAUCCUUCUUGCUCAUAAGUAGUACUGGAGAAGAGAAAGGGCUAGUGCUUGGUCGAAUAAUUCCAUCCCGAAGCAUUUCAGCAACUAGUUUUUCAAUCUCAUACUUCUGAAAAUAUGGAUAACGGUAAGGUUUAACAUUGAUUGGCUCAUGGUCAGGCAACAAAUGUAUCGCAUGAUCACAAGCGCGAAUAGGAGGGAGACCUUGCGGUUUGAGGAACACAUCAGAAAAUGAAGCAAGUAGCUGUUCUAAUUCCAAGGGGAGGGGCGUGGAAUUAACAGGAUGAGAGGAAACCAAUUCCAAAUGAAAAUAUUCUGCAAUAGCAUUGAUUUGUUGAAGGCGGCGUAACCAAUUAAAUUGUACCGAUUGAACCGAGGAUGAGGCUUCUCCUGUCCAUCGAAUAGACUGACCGUGAUGCUUGAACUCAAAAACAGAUGACCCAUAAUCCAUCAUAACUGGUCCGAGGGUGGAUAACCAAGUAACACCAAGGACCAUGUCCCAUCCCUUUAAUGGUAAGACAUAAAAAUCAAUGCAUAUUUCACAGCCUUGAAUUACCAAUGGUACUUGUUUGACAAUGCCAGUGCCAAUUAAACGCUCUCUACUGCCGACCAAUACAGAGAAACUAGGAGAGGCAGUUAUUGGAAGAUUCAAAUACUUGGCCACACGGGUUUGCACAAAGUAAUGUGUGCUCCCACCAUCGAGUAACACCCGGACUUGUUUGCCAUAAACUGUACCCUCAAAUUGAAGAGUAGAAGAAGAGCAACCUUCAGCAAGGGCAUUAUAAGAAAUCGAAGAAUGGAGCUGUAACGUGGUGUCAGGUGUGGUGGAAUCAGGAACAGCAGGUGAAGAUGGCGAUAAAAAUUCAGGCGCGAGAGCAUCAGGUGGCUCGGACUCUUCUUUCAAGAGUAACAGGUGGGAUUUUGCUUUGCAUUUGUGACCCCACUCAUACUUCUCAUUACAAUGAUAACAGAGGCCUUGUGAACGGCGGUGAGCAGCCUCAGUAGGAGUAAGGCGGCGAAACGAAACACGGUUACCUCCGGGCAAGGUUGCGCUUGCUGUUGGGAUGGAAGGAGAAAAUACUGAAGUACCAGGAGAUUGUUUGGGAGUUGGUAACAAUGGUUUAGAACCACUCAGGCUGGGCUUAAGUACCCCACGUUCCAGCUGAAUGCGUUGUUCAUGGAGCUGGGCUAGAUGCAUGGCUUCGGACAAGGUGGCUGGUUUGUGAACCAAAACGGAGUGUUUAAUGUCAGCGUAGAGCCCUGAAAUAAAGCAAUGAGUCAAGAACUGAGUCAGAAGAUGCACCGUGUGAUUUGUAAUGGCUUCAAACUCAGAGCGAUAAUGAGCCACGGUAGAGUUCUGCUGCAACUUUGCCAAAAUUCCCUCGGGUUCCUCCAGGUCAUGAGAACGAAAUCGCUGCAAUACAGCAGCUGUGAACGCUGGCCAGCCCGUAAGUUGCCUGUUUCUAUGCAUCCAGUCAUACCAAUCUGAAGCGGCACCAUCAAAAUAAAACGAAGAAAUAGUUACCCGAUCGUCUAGUUUGAUUUGAUAAAAAUCAAAGUAACGCUCUGCCUGCAUUACCCAACGUUUAGGAUGAUCGCUGGCAAAUCGAGCCAUCUGUACCGGAGCGGGUUUAUGACGGCCCAAAGGAGUGAAACUGAUGAAGUUGGUUCAGCAUGCAGCAAACUCGACAGCAUGCAGGCCAUGAAGACCAAGUCAUGCAGGAGCUGCUGAUGCAAGCUUAUUUUGUUUAUUUUGUAAUUCCUAGUCAAUGAAAUGUAAUCUUAGUUCAUUUCUAACUAAGUUAGAUUGUUGACUGAUGUAAUUAGCUUAUGUAUAAGCUGUAAACACAACUUUGUGUAAGUUUACAAGCCAAAAUUUCAAGUUUCCAUGUCAUUAAUGGAGGUAGGUGAUGUUUAGGUAAUUACUUACUGUUUUUGACAAGCUUAGUGCCUGUUUUAUGUAUUGGCAUUGUGCCAUUAUGCAUUUUAUGAAUGAAGUUUAGUUUGUUCAUCAAUUUCUCUAUUCAUUUUUCUUAGCUUUUCUUCCUUUCUCUUGCUCGAAUUCUCUUGUUUGCUCAGCAAGUCUCGAGACUUGCUUAACAAGUCUGCACUGAAUCUGUUAGUUUUAGUUACAGCACCAACAAUUAGUAUCUAGAGCCUAUUUCUUAAGGGAUCUGUUACACAAAUCCAUGGCUUCAUCAAGCUUUUCACCAGUUGCACCUCAAGUCUUCAAUGGAGAAGGCUAUCACAUAUGAGUGGUCAAAAUGAAGACCUACCUGCAGGCUUUCGAUCUGUGGGAGGUGGUCAACUCUGAUGUUGAACCAGAGCCACUUAGAGCUAAUCCAACAGUGGCUCAGAUCAGGCAGCAUGCUGAUGAAAGGACCAAGAGGCACAAGGCUAUGUCUUGCAUCCAAAACUCAGUGUCUGAUGUGAUUUUCACAAGGAUUAUGGCCUGUGAAUCACCAAAACAGGCCUGGGACAAGUUGCAGGAAGAGUUUCAAGGGACAGAGAGGACAAGGCAGCAACAGUUGUUAAACUUGAGGAGAGAUUUUGAGAAUUUGAAGAUAAAGGAAGAAGAAACUGUCAAGCAAUAUUCUGACAGGAUUAUGGUUGUGGUUAACAGCAUCAGGCUCCUUGGAGAGCAGUUCAAUGAAGCUAGGAUAGUGGAGAAGGUUAUAGCAACUCUGCCUGAGAGGUAUGAGGAAAAAAUCUCAUCUCUCGAGGACUCAAGGGACCUGUCCACCAUCUUCCUGACAGAGUUGAUCAAUGCUCUAUAUGCUCAAGAGCAUAUGAGAGCAAGCAGACUGGAGGAGCACCAAGAAUGUGCCUUUCAGGCAAGAACAAAUACUGCCUACAAAGGCAAGAAGGCCUGGAGAGACAAGCCAAAGAAUGAUGCUGCAAGGAAAGAAGGUCAGACUUGCAAGCACUGCAGAAAGGCUGGUCAUUCAGAAGAAAAAUGCUGGUUCAAUCCAGAUGCUGUGUGUCAGCAUUGUAAGAAGAAAGGUCAUGUUGAGAGAGUCUGUAAGAGCAAGGCCAAAUCAAUGCACAAUCAGUUUCAACAGAUGAAAGCUGAGGCUCGAGUAGCUAAGGAGGACAGUGACCAAGAGGAGCAAGUUUUUGCUGUGUCAUGCUCAGCUGCUCAGGAAAGGUCCUCAUCUGGUUGGCUCCUAGACAGUGGAUGCACCAACCACAUGACACCGGAUGCUGCAAUCUUCAAGUCUUUAGACAGAAGCUGCAGAACUAAAGUCAAGAUAGGAAAUAGUCAUUUUAUUCAAGCUGAAGGCAAGGGUGAUGUGCUGAUAUGCACCCUUACAGGUACCAAAGUGAUUUCAAAUGUGCUGUUGGUGCCUGAAAUUGACAGAAACCUGCUCAGCAUAGCUCAGUUGCUGGAAAAAGGUUAUUCAGUUGUGUUUAAAGACCACCAGUGCCAAAUCAGUGAUCCAAGUGGAUCCAAACUGAUGGCAGUCCCUAUGGCUGAUAAGAGCUUUGUGGUUGACUGGACAAAGAAGUCAGACAUUGCCUACACAACCACUUCAGAUGAAUCCAAGCUGUGGCAUCAAAGACUGGGACAUGCCAACUUCAUAUCGAUGGCCCGAAUGAUCAGAGAAGACCUGGCUGAAAACUUCAUCAACUCAGUGGACCAUGAUGAUGUAUGUGAAGUAUGUCAGCUAGGAAAGCAGGCCAGACUCCCAUUUCCCUCGAAUCAAGCCUGGAGAGCCUCUGAAAAACUCUAACUGGUGCAUACUGAUGUGUGUGGCCCUAUGAAGACUGAGUCAUUAAGUGGAAACAGAUAUUUCAUACUGUUCAUUGAUGAUUUCUCGAGAUAUUGCUGGAUUUACUUCUUAAAACAGAAAUCAGAGGUGGCCACUGUGUUUUGGAAGUUCAAAACUUCUGCUGAGACUGAAACAGGCUGCAAGGUGAAGACCAUAAGGUCUGAUAAUGGGACUAAGUACACCUCAGCUCAGUUCCAAGCCUUCUGUGAUAAGGCAGGCAUCAAACAUCAACUUACCAACACAUAUACACCUCAGCAGAAUAGGGUAAGUGAAAGGAAGAAUAGGAGUUUGAUGGAUAUGGCCAGGUGCUUGAUGAUUCAGAAGAAUCUGCCUAAAGCACUAUGGGCAGAAGCAGUUAACACUGCAACAUACAUUCAAAAUAGACUUCCAACCAAGGCUUUGGAUCAAAAGACCCCAUUCGAGGCCUGGUUUAGCUUCAAGCCAUCACUGGCUCAUCUGAAGGUCUUUGGAUGCAUCUGUUAUGCACAUGUACCUGCUGUUAAAAGGGACAAAUUGUCUGAAAGGGCUCGACCUGGUGUUUUGGUGGGCUAUAGCACUGUUAAGAAGGGCUAUAAGAUUUUAGAUCCUUCAACAAACAAAGUGUCAAUAAGCAGAGAUGUGGUAUUUGAUGAGAGGUCAUGUUGGAACUGAGAAAGACAUGAACCUGAAGAAGUUUCUGAAGAACUUGCAACAGACCAAGCUGAGCCAGACCAAAAUGUCCCUGAAAUGGAUAUUGAUGAUGAACCAGUCAGAGGAACAAGGCCAUUGGCUGAAAUUUAUGAAAGGGCUCAUGUAGCCAUAGCUGAACCAAGCAACUUUGAAGAGGCUGAGGCUCAGUAAGGGUGGAAGCAGGCAAUGGCUGAGGAGAUCAGCAUGAUUGAGAAGAACCAGACCUGGGAAUUGGUUGAAAGGCCAGUCAAAAGAAAGGUGAUUGGGGUGAAAUGGGUGUACAAAGCCAAGCAGAAUGCUGAUGGUACCUUGAACAAGCUGAAAGCAAGGCUAGUUGUCAAGGGGUUCAGUCAGAGGUAUGGCUUGGACUACCUGGAGACCUUUGCACCAGUGGCCAGGCUCGACACCAUCAGACUGCUGAUUGCCUUAGCAGCACAUCUUGAAUGGAAGAUCCAUCAACUUGAUGUGAAAUCAGCCUUUCUGAAUGGUUUCUUAGAUGAAGACAUCUAUGUUGAACAACCAAAAGGGUUUGAAAUAGCUGGCAGAGAGCAUAUGGUCUACAAACUGAAGAAGGCCCUAUAUGGAUUAAAACAGGCUCCAAGGGCUUGGUAUAGCAGAAUCGAUGGCUACUUGACUGAUCUGGGAUUCGAUCGAAGCAAGAGUGAGCCAACACUGUAUGUCAAGAAACAAGGGACACAAAUACAACUUAUUGUGUCCCUGUAUGUUGAUGAUCUUCUGGUGACAGGAGGAGAUCGAGUAGUGCUGGCUGAUUUCAAGACCAAGAUGCAGGAAGUGUUUGAUAUGUCUGAUCUUGGGGAGAUGUCAUACUUUCUUGGAAUGGAAGUGUCUCAAGUACAGAAUGAGAUAUUUCUAAGCCAGAGAAGCUUUGCCACAAAGAUUCUGACCAAGUUCUCCAUGCAAAACAGCAAGGCAACUAAAACACCUGUUGCUGUUGGAGAAAAACUAUCGAGCCAAGGUGAUUUUAAGAAAGUUUGUGAAACAACCUACAGGAGUCUAGUUGGUUGCUUGCUAUACUUGACUGCCACUAGACCAGACAUCAUGUAUGCUGUAGGAUUACUCUCAAGGUUCUUGCAUUGCUGCAAUGAGAAGCAUUUCCAAGCUGCAAAGGGAGUGCUGAGAUAUGUCAAAGGCACUUUAAACUAUGGUUUGAAGUACAGCAAAGAAGGAAAUCUGAAGCUGGUUGGCUACACUGAUAGUGACUGGGCUGGCUCGAUAGAUGACAUGAAAAGCACCUCAGGGUAUGCUUUUAACCUUGGUUCAGCCAUGUUUUGCUGGAGCUCAAAGAAGCAAAGCCUAGUAGCUCAAUCUACUGCUGAAGCAGAGUAUGUGGCAACAGCAAGUGCUGUCAACCAAGCCAUAUGGCUAAGGAAAAUAUUGGCUGACUUGAAUGUGCAUCAAGAGGAAGCUACUGAGAUCUUCUGUGACAACCAAUCUGCAGUAGCAAUUGCUAAAAAUCCAGUGUUCCAUGGAAGAACAAAACAUUUCAGCAUCAAGUUGCAUGUUGUUCGAGAAAUGGAGCAAGCUCAGGAAGUAAAGCUGAUCCACUGUAAUUCAGAGGAUCAACUUGCAGACAUUUUAACCAAAGCCCUUAGUGUCACAAGGUUCGAAUGUCUAAGAAAGAAGCUAGGUGUUUGCUCCAUGCAAACCAAGGAGGAGUAAUGAAGUUGGUUCAGCAUGCAGCAAACUCGACAGCAUGCAGGCCAUGAAGACCAAGUCAUGCAGGAGCUGCUGAUGCAAGCUUAUUUUGUUUAUUUUGUAAUUCCUAGUCAAUGAAAUGUAAUCUUAGUUCAUUUCUAACUAAGUUAGAUUGUUGACUGAUGUAAUUAGCUUAUGUAUGAGUUGUAAACACAACUUUGUGUAAGUUUACAAGCCAAAAUUUCAAGUUUCCAUGUCAUUAGUGGAGGUAGGUGAUGUUUAGGUAAUUGCUUACUGUUUUUGACAAGCUUAGUGCCUGUUUUAUGUAUUGGCAUUGUGCCAUUAUGCAUUUUAUGAAUGAAGUUUAGUUUGUUCAUCAAUUUCUCUAUUCAUUUUUCUUAGCUUUUCUUCCUUUCUCUUGCUCGAAUUCUCUUGUUUGCUCAGCAAGUCUCGAGACUUGCUUAACAAGUCUGCACUGAAUCUGUUAGUUUCAGUUACAGCACCAACAGAAACCAACAAAAUCCGUCGAAGGAGAAGCUCCUGGAGAAUCCACAAUGGAUGUCCCCUUGAGUUUAGCCAAAACCUCCUGAAGAAGACGCCUCUGAUCUUCCACUGAAGAAGCUAACAGGUCAAAAUCACGACGCAUUGUUGCUUGAGAAUCGGCAAUUGCCUUGGUGGGUCGUUCACAACAGACUGACAUUAAUAGUGACCACAUAUCAAAAGAAAUAUAAAGAAAGAAGGAAGAGCAGAAUUAUUGAAAAAGUUUGAUCAUGUGGCUAUACUAUAUAUAUUUCAAUGUGCAAGAAAGGAGAUAUAUGAGUCAAAUAAUUUUGUCCUAUUCAAAUAAAAAAAAUGGGGAGGCCACAAUAGACCAAAGUGUCCCCUCAUGCAAUAAAAGGCUUUUUGUGAGUGGCUUUGGUAUAGUAUUCCAUGUGAAUGAGCACUUAUUUGCCUCCACACUCUUUUAUAGGCCCUAUGAGGAUUUAGCUAUAUCGCAGAAGUGAGGUUAAUUUUAAUGAGACUAAUGAUAAAAUGAAACAAUAUUUUGAGGGUUAAAUUAAAUUGAAUAUUUUUAUGAUAGCGAAAAUGUAAUUUUACCAUUUUAAUAGUCUAUAUAUAAAAAGAUCAAAUAAAUUUUUUAGCCUUAAUUUGAUCUUUACUUUUUAAAAUUACAUAAAAGUUCAGAAUUAAAAAGAACACAUAUUUUCAGUAAAAUCCAUUAAAAAAUUGUGGAAAACACUCUUUAAAGUUCGUGGAAAAAAGGGAUAAGAAGGGGUGACUAUUAGGAAAGCUGCAUAAGCACUUUUGUUUGUGAUCUAUCAACAACUUGUGGCUUCAUAUUGUGAAGUUAUAAAAUAUAAAGUUAUAAACAUUCAAGAAAUUAAUUUCACUAAAUAGAUUCAAAUUAUAGCAGCGACCAAAUUGGUGUCCACGCAUUUCUUUGUAAAAGCGUGUUCUCACUGACCUAUAUGAUUCCACACGUAAUGAAUUAAUUGGCCAACAACCUCAAAGUUUCUAUUUAUGAUCUAUCAUGUAAACAUAGGGGAAGACUUAACAAGAAAAAUUUGUCAAGUCGCCAGAAAAGGAAAAGAACUGAAAUGGCGGAGAUAGCUGUGGGUAUAGUUAUUGAUAGAUUAAUUUCAUUCCUUGGUGCGGAGGUGAAACUAUUUGGACGGCUUAAGAAAGAAGUUGAAGACAUCCGGAUCGAGCUCGACUACAUUGCUUGUUUCCUUAGACAAGCAGAUCCAAUGGUAGACAAAGAGGAUUCCAAUGGUGGCUUCAAACUAUGGGUGCAACAUGUAAGGGAGGUGGCUUUCCAGAUAGAAGAUGUUAUGGAUGAAUACAAGCUUUAUCAUGUUCCAGUUGCACAACAUCAGCAGCAGCAAGGUUUAAUGGCUUCCCUGAGCAGAAUAGCUCAUAUGGUCCAGACCGUGAAAAGGCAUCUCCAGGCAGCAUCAAAGAUCAGAGAUAUCAAAACAUCUGUUAAUGAAAUCAAGGAAAGAAGUGAAAGAUACAGGUUCAACACCCUGCAACAUGUUCCAGGUGAGAACUGUAACGAGCCGAUUGACCCUCGAAUGGGACUUCAUUUUGUCAACAGUGAAGCACUCGUGGGCAUUGAUUCUUCUCGACAAGAGUUGGCCCGUAGAUUGGCAGAUGCAGAGCUGAAACGCACAAUUGUUUCAGUGGUGGGGAUGGGAGGGGUUGGGAAGACGACCCUUGUUAAGAAAGCUUUUGAUGAUGAAAUCAUGGCAGGACACUUCGACUGCCAUGCUUGGAUCACCGUCUCUCAAUCAUACAGGGUGGAGGUGUUGCUAAGGACCAUGAUGAAGCAGAUGUAUGAGUCUCGAAAGCAGUCCCCACCUGUUAGGGUCGACGCAAUGGAUGGUGUAGAAUUGAUAAGCAUAUGCAGAGACUAUAUAUAUGAUAAAAGUUACAUCGUGGUGUUUGAUGAUGUAUGGAAGGAAGAUUUUUGGCGACAUAUAGAACAUGCUUUAUUGGAUAACAACAAAGGAAGCAGAAUUUUAAUGACAACAAGAAGUAUGAAUACUGCUGAGUUUUGCAAGAAAUCUUCACUAGUUCAUGUCCAUAAUUUGGAACCUCUUCCACUAGAACAGGCACAGGAGCUCUUACGCAGAACUGCUUUUCAGUAUGAUGAAGAUAAACAAUGCCCUGAAGAGUUGAAUGGUUUAACUUUUGAAUUAGUCAAAAGAUGUGAAGGACUUCCCCUUGCAGUUGUGGCCAUUGCUGGACUUUUGGCAACCAAAGGCAAGGAUGUUGGUCAAUGGAAACGCUUACUUGAUAGCCUUAGUGCUGAGCUAGACAGUAGUCCACAUCUUUCAUAUGUAAAACAGAUACUUUCUUUUAGUUAUUAUGAUCUGCCUUACCAUCUCAAGGGUUGUUUCUUGUUCAUGGGCAUGUUUCCUGAAGAUUAUCCCAUAAGUUGCAAGAGACUGAUUCGGCUGUGGAUCGCAGAGGGGUUCGUAAAAGGGAAACACAAUAUGACCUUAGAAGAAGUUGCGAUGACGUACCUAUCCGAAUUGAUUAACAGAAGCUUGGUUCAAGUAUCAGUGAUUGAUUCUAUUGGCAAUGUCAGAAACUGCCAGCUCCAUGAUUUGAUGCGCGAAGUUGUUGUUUCCAAGUCCAAAGAACUGAGUUUCAUUCAAACAUGUCCAGAAAAUUUGUCCAACCAUUAUCGUGUAGCUCGACAUCUUUCCAUCUGCAACAAAUCAAACAAUUUCCCAAUGGUUGUUGGUAAUUAUCAAACUCAUUCAGCAAUUUUCUUUGACAUAGAAGAGUUACCUAAAUCAUUCUGCUUCUUACAGUUCACAAAGUCCAAAUUGUUGAAAGAACUGGACUUUGAAGGAGCCCCAUUGACUUAUAUUCCAGAGGAACUGGGAAAUCUGUUCAAUUUGAAAUACUUGAGCAUAAGGGACACAAAGGUGAAAAAGCUCCCAAGAUCUAUAGGUAAAUUGCAUAAGCUUCAAACUUUGGAUCUAAAACGUUCUUUUGUAAGCGAGUUACCAGUUGAAAUCAACAUGCUCUUCAAUCUUCAAUAUCUUGUAGCUUACUACAAAGAUAAACAAAGCAUCUACAGUAUCAAUACUCGAAGAGGGAUGAAGUUAUAUUCCAACUUUGGGAGCUUAGAGUCCUUAGAAAAGCUGUAUGAGGUGGACUUGGAGGCCUACAGUGGUGGUAACUUCUUUCGCGAGUUAGCAAGAUUGAAGCGGUUGAGAAAACUAUGCAUCACUAAACUAAAAUCAGAAAGUGUGAAUGCUUUAUGUGAUGCAAUACAGCAGAUGAUCCACCUUCAGUCAUUGAGAAUUUCUUCUAUAAAAGAGGAAGAGCUUCUUCACCUACAUAAAAUGUCAUCCCCUCCGGUUUUUCUCCGUUGCCUCAGGCUACGAGGAAGAUUAAUGAAGUUACCUGGUUGGAUUUAUGAACUGAGGAACCUCACAAAACUUACCUUAGAAUGGUCAAGAAUAUCAGAUGAUUCACUUCAAAUCCUUGGUGUUCUACCAAAUUUACUCUUCUUUUGGAUUUUUGAGGGAUACAGUGGAGCUCAACUGCAUUUUCACAAGAAUCACUUUAAGAAACUCAAGGACUUGAGGCUUUGCUGGUUAAAUGAUUUAAAGAGACUGAUAAUAGAUGAAGGAUCAUUAACACUUGUAGAACAUCUAGAACUUGGACCUAGCCCCCAAUUGGAGGAGUUGCCUGCUACCAUUUCUCAUCUAAAAUGUCUGAAGACUCUUUCAUUUAACAAUAUGCCCAUGGAGUCGGUUCGAAAAUUGUUGCCUGAUGGAGGCUCUGAUCAUUGGAAAGUCAGGCAUAUUCCAAAUAUCUAUUUCCUUUACUUCACGGUUAAAGGAACACAGCAUGAAACCUACAAGCUUGGUGAUUCACGCUUGUUAGAACUCCUUAGUUGAAGCACUUGGAUGGAUCUCCUUCCAUGUCUUAAAAUUCCGAUGUUGGUACUGUGUCAGACACAGUUGAGUGGCCAAUAAAGAGGUAUGUUCAAUCUUUUUCUAAGUCUUAACAUGCAUUUGAGUGGUCCUUAGAGGAUCAUAUCUCCAUAACCAUAUUAUUUCAAGAAAAAAGAGCGAGAGCAACAUAGAUUUUACAUUGUUCUGGUUUGCUAUUUCUUUUAUUUUAUGUUUUUUGGAUGAUUUUACUUGUAGGACAGGGCAGGGACUCAAUGGUUUUCAGAUGGAUCAAUUCAACUGAAUGUAGAAUAACCAUAUAGGAAGAGACUAAAUUUGAAUCUACCAGUCUAACUGGUUAUAAUUACUUACCAGAUCAAUGUGGUUGAUUGAUGUAUGUUUCCUUCCCGGCCCCCAAUCUCAUAAAUAGCUCCUUGUACCUUAUGUCGUUUUUGCUUGUUAUAUUAUACUCAUUGUUUCACUUCACGUCAAUAGCUUCCACCUCAAAACCUAGAAAAUAUCAUCUUACAUGCAAUGGUAAAUUACAGGUUGCGUACAUGGAAGACAGUUUUCCAAAUAAAAAGGUAAUAAGUUAAGCAACGAAGUAUAUAAAAAAGGACUAAAUGAGAGGAAAUAAAUAAAUGAACUAAAGAGGGUUAAGCCUUUAAAAUACAAUGAACUACAAGAAGUACAUUCAGAAGUUGCAAUCAACAAAGCUAUGUUACCUGGACUCUUUAAUUUCCUAAAGUACUUAUUUGGACAUAGGAACGUGGUAUGAUCCUCCAAACAUAUUAAAGUCUUCAAAAAAAAAAAAGAAGAAAAAGCAUACUCAUAUCAUACACAUACAAUACUCAAGCCAAAUUUAGGUAACAGAGCUCCACAGGAAGAAAGUGUGGAGUUUCUUAAUCUAUUAUACAAACAGGGGCAACUGAAGCAACUUGAAAUUCCAAUAAACCAAAUACAUAGAGCAACUAAAACAUCAAGUUCCAAUGAACCAAACAUCCAUAUACGCAAGAAAAUGCAUAGCCAACAAAAGAGGGAGAAUCCAUAUAAAACUUCAUGCAAACUGAUAAAACAAAAGAUAAAAAAUAUCAAAUUUACAAUGAAAGCGCAUAAAGAGAGGACUGUGAAAGAGUUAAUAGCCAAAAAGUUGAGAGAAAGUGAUUCAAGGCAGAAAAAUUGAAACUCAAAGCUACUGCCUCAGCCAGUAUCAUACAUCUACAGCUUAAUUGAAGUUGAUUUCAGCUUCCAUUAUUACCCAUUUUAUUCUUUCCAUAAGAGAUUGAAGCAGAAAAAGGCUUAAACCAGAGUCAGCAAAUUUCAACAUCUCACCUUUGAUUUUAUUAAACUAUUGAUCCCGAAAAGAAACAUUGUUCAGGAACUGAUAACAAAAAGCAUUGAAGUUUGUAGCAAUGCAUUCAUAACUCCAAUAAAUAGAAGAGCUACAAUAUUAAAACUAACAAAAAGGGAGAGUAGGCUAUAGUUUAACUGGUGAUCAUUGUGCCAGCGCCCUCAUCGGUCAUAAUCUCAUGAAGCAACGAGUGCUCAACACGACCGUCAAUAAUGCUAGCAGUGGUAACCCCUUGAGCAAGCGAUCGAAUACAACAAUUCACUUUGGGAAUCAUCCCACCGCCUACCUUCCCUUCCUCAACCAUUUUCUUCACUCCCUUUAUAUCAAUCUCUUUCACCAAGCUUCCAGGGUCCUCUCGGUUUCUCAGAAUCCCUGCGACGUCGGUCAACAGAAUCAGUUUCUCACCCCCCAAUGCCGCCGCCACCUCACCAGCUACCGUGUCUGCAUUGAUGUUGUAAGGCUGACCAUACUCAUCCGCCGCCACUGAAGCAAUCACCGGGAUGCUUCCGUUGUCCACGAUCGUUUGGAGGACUGUGGGGUCCACUCUCGCAACCUCUCCGACAAACCCCAACUGUGCAGCGUUUGGGCUGGGCCUGGCAACUAAAAGGCGGCCGUCCAUGCCAGAAAGGCCCACGGCGGUGGCUCCAGCGUAAUUGAUACGAGAAACCAGGUCUUUGUUAACUUUUCCAACAAGGACCAUAGAAACAACUUCCAUGGUCCUGGCGUCGGUUACACGGAGCCCAUCGCGGAACUGAGCGGGGAUAUUGAGCUGAUUGAGAAGGACGUUGAUUUCAGGACCACCGCCAUGGACGAGGACGGGACGGAGGCCAACGCAGGAGAGGAGGACGAGGUCCCUGACAACAGAGGCCUUGAGCUCCGCAGAUUUCAUGGCGGCGCCUCCGUAUUUGACGACAAUGGUUUUUCCCCUAAAUUUCUGAAUGUAGGGGAGUGAUUCAGAGAGGAUUCGAACUCGAAGUUGAAGAUCGGAAUUGGUGAGAGAGGGAAGAGGCGGGUCAUUGAGGGCGGUGGAGGAGGGUGAAGAAGCUCUAAUGGAAAGACGAAGGCGACGAGAAUUGGGGGUUUGGAGAAUCUGAAGUUGAGGUUUAGGGUUUCUGCUUUUGAUUUUGUCUUUGUUAGGGAGAGAAAUGAAAGGGGGUCCUGUGAAGAGCAAAAAUGGAGAGAUUUGCCGGUGGCUGUUGCGCCCAUUUUUCUAUCUUCCUCUCCUCUUCUCUGCUGCUUUGGCUCUGGCUUAGAAGGAGCUAAUGGUGCACCCACUCAUUCACGACCCAGGAGUGUAAGCAAAUUAUUACAUUCUAUUUUCAAAAGAAUUUAUAAUAAUUAAAAAGAUAAAAUAAGAAACUAAAAUGAAAUUUUAUUAAAAUCCAACAGUGUGAUAUUAUCCUUCAUCCUUAUUAUUAUAUUAAAAAAAUUAUAAAAAAAAGUAUGUAAAAACAGGAUAAUAUCAUUUGUUUUGGACGAAAGACUUCAAUUUAACUUUAUUUUCGAUCUCAACCAUAUUGACACAAUUAUCUCCUUUUCUUUCUUAUCAAACAAUUGAAAAGGUCACAUUAAUUAUAUAUAUUAUUGACAUCUAAGUAAUAUUUAAAUUAUUAUGAGAAAAUAUUGUUUUAAUAUAAAAUUUAAUAAAUUAUGAUCUGUCAUGUCAAAUAAUCAAUAACAAGACUAUGUAUAGAAGUGUAUCUGAAUCCAUUGUUGAAGAUUGCGAAAGUUUUGAUCUUUCAAGAAAAUAGUUUUUCUUCUAGUAUAUCUCUGAAAUGGGGAUGGAAAAGAUAUAUGAGAUAACUCUAUUUCUUGGGAAUAAUUGAUUAUUAAAUUAGUUUUGAGUAUUUAUAAUUUGACCCCUCAUCAAGUUAUAAAUACAACUUACAACUUAUGAUAUCUACAUAUUAUUUUCAUGACACUUUGAUACCUAUGACACUUAUAACAUAAUUGGUCACUUAAUUUUGAUCAUAUUUUAUAAUAGCAUUAUACAUUAUAUAUAUGUGUCCAUAAUUGGGGAUUUUAAUCCAACAAUCUCCCACUUGGGCAACAUAUAUUUCCUGAUAAAUGUACAACUUUAUGGGCUCAAAAUUUUCUAUAAUAUAACAAGUAUUCUAUAACAGUCUUGUCCAUCAACUAUAUCCAUAUAGGAUCAAAUUAGUCUUUGUCAUAUUAAUCAUGACUAAACUCAUCAAUAGUCAGAUAUACAAAUAUAGUCAAAUGAUAUGGAUCAAUCAUAGAUGUGUAGCAUGGAAAUUACAUGCAAUGUGAACCAAACAUGCAUAUUUCCAACUGGUCAUCCUUAAACUUAAGCGAUGUCAAUAUCAAACAGAGUGAAUAAAUUAAAUAUUUCAUUUCUGAUCAGAAAAUAACCAAAUACAUAAAUGUCUGAAAACAAACAUAAAACAAAUAAAGCACAAACCCUCACUAAACCAUGAUGCCCUCAAAUAAUAUAACAUGCUGGGGAAUGUGCCCAUCUUGUAUUAAACAUGUAACUGUUUUCUAUUUAUUUGAACGAUGAAUAAAUAAAUAAAGUUAAUUUCACAUUCCACUAUUAUGUCAUUGUAUUUUCUGUUUUUUAUAUUUUGCAUGCAUAGCGAAAUUAUGACAAACAAAUAUUAGCUCAUUGAUUGUCUAAAGUUCAAAUUGAAGAUAAGUGACAUUGUAAAUAACGUUUACAUUGCGAGAAAGAAAACUUACUUCAGUAGAUAAUCUAAAUGAGUUUGUAAUUUUGUAAAAUAAUCAAAGUGAGCAUUUGAUUCAAAUACUGAGAAGGAUUAUUAUGUCGUCUACAAUUCCAAUUGGGGAGAUGACUAGUCUUGGCUAUUGGAGCAGUUGACUCCACAGGUAGAAACAUAGAUGUAUUCAUUGGUAGAAUGAUAUAUUGGACUAGACUCAAGAUGAAUUAAUUCUGAAUUUGUUUGUGAAUUAAUUCACUUGUGACGUUCAUGGUGUGAUUUACCUAAAUCCUAAGUUAGUCACUGACCAUGCGUAUGUAACUCAUGUGCUUUAAUAUAAUUGGAGGCUUAUGCUAUAAAGAUGAUCGAGCCCAUAGCCGAUAUGUUGGGUACAUGAUUUGUGUAUGGCAUGGCUUUACUAGAAAUAGUGGAAUUCAUAACUCAAUUAAAGAAUUAAUGAUAUCCUAUUAUUGGCAUUGUUUGGAUUGAUAAAUAUGGAACGUGGUGACGGAUCGCUAGUUCUCGAAUGAGUAAUUUAUCAUAAUCAUUUGUUGACAGUGACCAUAUUAAUCAUUAAGAAGACACAAUGGUGACAAUGAGAUAAAAUAUGAUUGUAUUAAGUGAACGGAUUUAACUCAAAGGAAUCAAAGAUAUCAUAUGAGGAUAACAACACUUGAUGAGGUCAUUGGACAAAGUAGUUGAAUGAAUUGCUUUCACAAACAGUAUACAAUAAGGAGUUUUCAAUCAUGGUAUUUCUUGUGGACUGACUCUAUGAUUAAGUAAUUGUGAAUUAUCGAAACGAUGCUUCUGGACAUAAUUGCAAUCAUUAGAGAAUAAUUGUAUAUGUUUGAUUGGUCCCUCCGUUAGCUCAACAAAAGCUUGAUCGAACUGCAUUUGAAUCAAAAAUAAAUUCUACGACUUUGGGAAUAAUUUAAUUGAGUUAAUUUAUUCAAUGUGGAAAUAAAUUAGGUGGUCGUAAGAAAUAUUCAACUAGAGAAUUUGAUUAAAGAAUUAUCUUGAAAAAUUAAUUUGGAAAAUCUAAGUGAUUUUUGGAAAAAUUAAUUUUGAUCAAGUAAAAUUAAAUUAAUCAAAUCAAUUAAAAUUAAUUUGAUAUUAUUGGAAAUUAAUUUUCAAGUUAGACAAUUGGACCAAUGAGUAAUUGAACUUGAAAAUUAGACCUGAGAUCGUAAAUUGGGCCUGGGAGCCCAAAAUCGAGACCAAGACCCAAAAACUGGUCAAAUCGAGCCCAAUAUGUUAAACCGGGCUGACAAUCCAACAAGUGGCUAGAUUGGACCGGUCGGGUCGUCAUUGACCUGGACCGAAUCGACAGUAGUCGAACUGGCUCAGGGUGCCAUAUGGAUGUCUGUAAUGACCCAAAUUCAAAGUUAUCGGAACAGUGGUUUUGAGACCACAAAUCCGAUGAGGAAAAAUUUAUUUUUCUUAUAUUUUUAUGGUCUACGAUUUUAUAAAAUGAUUUGGUGAAAAUUUCGUUCAAAAAUUUCAACGUUUGGGCACUUAAUUUAGUUAAAAUGACUAAAUUGUAAAAAGUGCAAAAGUUGAGUUCUACAUGUUAGAGGUGCCCAAUUGUUAUGAAACUUUAAAUUGGAGGUCCUUAUAUGGUAAUUAGACCCUUGGUUAAGUUGGUAGACAAAAAUAGACAUGAGAUAAGUGAAAUAUAAUAUUUUUAAGUUAGGGGUAAUUUGGUAAUCUAGUAAUUAAAAUGAAUUAAAAGGGAAAAAGAUGGCAAAUUGUGCUCAUCUUCUUCAUUUGGACGAAAUCAGCAAGGGGGGAAGCCAUAGUUAGGGUUUUGAAGCUUCCAAGCUCCAUAGUAAGUGAUCCCAAGCCCCGUUUUUAAUGUUCUAUUCGUUUUUGAGAUCCCGGUAGCUUAAUUUAGCUUAUUCUAGCAAUAAUUUAACCUAGGGUUUAUAUUUGGAAAAAUACCUGUACAGCCCAAUUAUUGCCCGGGCCCAAUUAACAGAGCCCAAACACCAACCCACAAGCCCAAUUACAACCCAAACCUGAGGCCCAAAUUCGGAGCCCAAUUCCCCCCAAAAAUCCAACUAGGGUUUCAGAAAAAUGAAACCCUAGCCAAACCUAGCGCCGCACCCAUCCCUCUGCCCUUCGCCUUGUCCCAUCGUCACCCACCGUGCCUAGCUUCAUCAACACCUGCAAAAUGGCAGAAAAAGCCGGAGCACGCAACAGAUAGUGCAAAGCAAUAGAAUACAACCAAAAAAUACAAUGUAAAUUGGCUAUAAAAGCCAAACAAUAUCUCUGUACAUUUUUUAGAGACAGCAUUUUGAAUUCAAGAAAAAGAAAAAGCAAAUCAAAAAAGGUUGACUCUAGUUAUUUCUACUCUGUUCUCGUGUUCUUAUUCAUUUUAUUUCUUUUAUUUUUGUUUAUUUUUCUGCAAUCGUUUAAUAAAUAAAGCGGGACUAAAAGGGAAAGGGGAAGAUACCUUACUGCUUCGGUGGGCUGGUGUCGGAACUCCGCCUUUGCCGUCGUCGGAGCCGAGCAAAAAGGGGCGUUUCAUCCCUUUUCCUUUUGGUCUCGCGGUUGAGAAGGCAUAGCCUUCGGGGACGCCGCAAAAGGGGGAGGCCUAGGGGCCGUUCUCGUGCAGCUCCGGCCACUGGCCAUGGAGGCGGAGAUGGUGGCCUGAGCUUUAAGGCCGAGGGGGGCGCAGAGAGGAGAGCAUUCGAGCUCUCUGUUCUCUUUUCCUGUUUCUUUUUUUUUAUUUUUUUUAUUUUUUCUCUUUUCAUUAGAAAAUGAAAUGGAGGCUACCAGAUUAGGGUUCUUUUUGGCCCUUACAUGAUGUGUGAAACGAUGCCGUUUGGAGUCUGAUCAGUGGCUCCAAAACGGCGUCGUAUUGAGCUCUGACCCGCGCGGUGACCCGACCCAAGGGAAGGAUCCGCGUGUUUUUUUCUUUAAAUGGGAUAUUUGUGCGCGUAGUCCCUCCGACUUUGUAGCGCGUUGCAAUUUGGUCCUGUUUCGCUAUUUCCUAUUUUUCAAUUUCGCCCCAGAAUUCUGUUUUUGUUCUAUUUUGACCUUCUGCUGCACUGCGUUUUGGGGCUUCGGGGUAUUUAUGAUUUUGGUCCCCCCCUUUUUCGCGCAUAUUACAUUUUGAUCCUUUAUUCCAUUUUAUUUUUUAUUUCAGCCCUGAGAUUUCGUUCCCGUUUUGAAUUAGUCCUAUUAUUAUUAUUAUUAUUAUUAUUAUUAUUAUUACCUAUUUAUUUAUAUUAAUUUUAUUUAAACUUGUGGUACAUAUAUAUAUUUAUAUAUUUUACAACUUAUGUACCUAUCUAUAUAUCUAUAUACAUAUUUUCAUUUUCAUAAAUACAUACAUAUUUAUAUAUAAUCUUUAUAGUCUAAAAUACACCUUUUUUAUAUUUUUUUAAAUCCGCAUAUACAUACACAUUUUCAAUAUAUUUUUAGUAUGUAUAUAAAUUAACGUAUUUAUUUGUAUACAUAUGUAUAUUUUCAUUAGUUUUAAACUUUAGUUUGUACAUAUAUACUUUUUCUUUUAUUUUACAAUAUAUAUAUACACUUACUUUUUAUAUGUAUUUCUUUAUCUUCGUAUUCCAUAGUUUUAUACACCUAUAUAUGUACAUAUUUUUUUAUACAUACGCGUAUUUAUUUAUUUUAUAUAAAAUAUACUUUAUAUAUUUUGUUAAUUCAUGUAUACACAUAUUUUAGUUCAUGUCUAUAUAUAUCUUUUUAUACUUAAUUGUAUUUGCUAUUUAUUUAUUUCAUUUUGUUAUUAUUUUGAAUGAAUGAUUUAACUUUAUUCGUUUUUUUUUAUUUUGUUAUUUUGUAUGUUGUAAGUUUGAUCGUUCAUAUUGAUUGCUAUAGCUUGCAUCGUUUUUAUAUUUUCAUGUUCAUUAUGAUUUUGCCAUGCAUAAAUAAUGUAAUUUGCUUUCACUAUAAUUUUUUGCUUUAUUUUUACUCGAUAUAACAAAAUUUAUUUUUUUAAAAAUGGCAUUUCGUGUUUGGAUUCGAGAAAAUCGUGCCCUAACUUACUGGGUUUCGAUUUUCUCGAUAAAUCUAAAUGUACGAAUCUUUCUAAACUCAAAUUUUAGAUGACCUCGGGAUUAAAAAAAUCACGUCCUAACUUACUGGUCGUGAUCUCAUUUUUAAAUCCGAGAUGGCUAAAAUAUCUUUUAAAUAAGCAUUUUUCAUUCGCGUAUCGAGAAUUUGAGAUAUUGUAUUCUAACUUACUGGAUAUGAUUCUCUUCCUCGAUUAACGUGAAAUAUAUUUCUUUUUCCAAAAAUUUUCAUUUUAAUACAAGGAUCGUAUUUUUAAUUCUUUCAAGUUCUCAAUUUUCGACAUCGAGACAUUAGAUAAUCAACUAGGUACCAAUUUCUGGGCGUUACGAGGGUGCUAAUCCUUCCUCGUACGUAACCGACUCCCGAACCCAUUUUCUAAAUUUCGUAGACCAAAACCGUUGUUUUAAUAAAAUCAAAUUAUUUAUUAAAAACAACCUUUUUCCAAGGUGACCCAAUCACACCUCAAAAAGGAUUGGUGGCGACUCCCUUUUUCAUUUUCAAAACCCAAGUCGACCCCGUUUUUCAAUAAAAAAAAUGGUGUCAACAGCUUGGCGACUCCGCUGGGGACUCAAAAAAUUGAGAGUCAAGCCACGAGUUGAUUAUCUCUUGUCCUUUUGUCAAAAGUUGAAAAUUUGAGUUAAAUAUCCGAUCCUCUCAUUGCAUUUUAUUUUGAGUUAUAGUUUUUAUCAUGUUUGGUAUUUUAAGUUUUUAUAUACCUCUGCACAUUGCAUUGCAAGACCGUUGGUCACACCUCUUAAGUGGGAGUGAGAAGCUACGCCUUCGUGAGGUUUUCACCUCCGCAUGGGAUAGUGAAUCGCUUCCGGGAUACAUCCGUACCUAUGUCUUCGUGAGAUUUUCAUCUCCGCAUGGCCACAGGGAAAUGUAUUCCCCUGAACUGAACUCGGUUCGUAUGACCCUAUAAUGGGUGAGGAUUGAGGAAUCUGCUGGUUCAGGUACCCUGCUUAGAACCAAACCACAUGUAAUGACCCAUAAGAACCGACCUAGGUAGAGCUACGCCAAACCUCAGUGCUUACCUAAAUGGAUGUUAUAUUUAUCGUCAUUUACGUUAAAUCUUGUUCUGCGUAAUAUUAUCUUUGCUUUAUUUGAUUGUAUAGCAUUGUCAUUCUAAAAGAGGUGUCGAUUCAUGUUCAGUGUCUAAAACGAAAGCUUAUCAUGGAAAAGGGAUUUCUUGAUAAAGUAGAAGAUAAUGCGGCUGUGCGAGUUUGGGCUGAAACGACACAACGGGAGAAAGGCGAUAGUCUUACCGAGGGGCACGUGUCAGAAUUAUGGGAUUUCACCCGUAUCAGUGUAAUCCAGAAUGACCUUCGAGAAAUGAAAGAAGUCUGGGAUCAGUGGGAUGUCAGGACCAAGCAGCUGUUCUAUUGUAACUACGGUGACCUACCUUAUCUACUCAGUGUCAAAGUGGACAAGUAUUUAUUCCGAGCCCUUGCUCAAUUUUGGAAUCCUGCCUACAGUUGUUUCACUUUUGGGAAAGUCGAUUUGACGCCUACUGUGGAGGAGUAUACGACCUUGCUGCGGUGCCCAAAGUUUCAAGUCGAUAGAGUUUAUUCUAGAGCUGCUUGUGUCCCUUCAUUGUUAAGGAAAUUAAUGAACAUUACCGGGAUGAGCGAGCAGUGGGUCGCUGCUCGAAUCCAACAGAAGGGCGACAGUAAAUGUGUCCCUUGGAAAAGCUUACGAGAUUUGGUGCUUGUACAUCCUGACGUAAAGAAAAGGGUCGAUGUCUUCGCUUUAGGUAUCUACGGGCUAGUGGUCUUCCCCAAGGCUUUAGGGCACAUCGACGAUGCUGUAUCUGAUUUGUUUGAUCGGCUUAGUAAAGGGGUUACACCGGUUCUGGCAAUACUGGCGGAAACUUUCAGAUCCCUGAGUGCAUGUCGGAAAACAGGUGAGGGAAGGUUUAUUGGAUGCGCACAACUUUUAUUGGCAUGGUUUCAUAGUCAUUUCUGGAAAAUGGAAAAGGUCUCUUAUCGAGUGUUCUCUAACGGUUACUCCCCUCUAGAGGAAUUGGUGGCCACACCAAGACGGGAUGAUCUUUCAGAAGAAAGAUGGAGGGAGAUACUCCAGAAUCUCCAGGAUGAAGAUAUUGAAUGAAGGGCUCCUUGGUUAAUUCCUGAUGAGAUAUUGUACCGGUGUGGAGAUUUCGACUAGGUUCCUCUGCUCGGGAUGUGGGGAGCUAUCGGAUAUGCUCCCCUACUCGUAUCUAGACAGUAUAGAUCACGACAAUUCGUACCAGCAACGCUGGGGUUGGCCUAUUCUGAUUUUUCUUAUAGGGAGGACAAUUACAAGAAAAAGGUUCGAGAGGUGUCUAAUGCCUGGAACCAAACUCGCCGAAUGAGAAUUUUAGCCGUGGGUCCGACGAUGACCCCCGAGUAUAGCCAGUGGCGUGAUCAAAGGGUCAACGAUAAUAUCCCGGCGUCUAAUCCAGAAACUGCUCGAUCUUUAGAGGAACACCUACAGGUACUGCCCUCUGAGAUAGAGAUUAUCAAGCAAGAAUUUGAAAAGAGGAGUUUGGAGAUAGGAAAGAAAGUAGAGAAGUUAGAGGAAGAGAAAAUGUAGUUAGGACUAGAUUUGGACAUUCAAAGAUUAGAGGCCGACAAAUUAAGGAAAGGGAAGAACAAGGCAGAAGAAGAUUUAGACAGCCUGAAGACUGAUUACAAGAAGUUGCGCAGGUCGAUAAGAACUGUUGGCUUGGGUAAAACGUCAGAACAAUGGCGGCAGGAAAUUCAGAAGGAAAGAAUGAAAGCUAAUCAGUGGGAAAAGAAAUUUCAGGAUGCUCAAACUCGAGAGUUACUUUGGGAGAAAGUCUGCUAGUCUGCCAAAAUGAGAAGACGAAGUUGAAUGCCCGAAUAACUGAACUGGAAAGGCUACUUCACCAAUACCGUAGUCGUAAUUCUGUGAUUGAAUUAAAGGCAGGCUUGAAAAAAAUUGAAGAAUUAAAGGGACAAGUAAGAGAGCUCGAGGACGCAUUGCAAAGCAGCGAAUUCCGAAUAGAGCUUCUGGAAAGAAGUAGUGAGCAGUGGCAAGGGCGAUUCCAGCGGUCUCAAGAUCAGAUUAGAGACAGAGAUUAUGUUAUGGGUGAGGCAGUGGUUCAAGUACGCGAGGUAGCUGAUCACCUGCAAACCUUAGCGGUUCAAGCUGAUCUAUUAAGUUUAAAGUUUGAGGUGGAAUCGGACCGGGGCCGAGAAUUAGCUUGGCUCCUUAAAAAGGUUAAGGCUUUGGGCAUAAGGGCAAAGCCGUAUAUGUAAUCUAUUUUAUGUAAAGAAAUUUCUUCUCUAGUAAAGCUCUCUAAUGAAGUUGAAUUAGAAUCAGUGCCUCUUUUUUGCAUUCAUGCAUUUACAUAUCAUCAUAUGCAUUAAGUUUUAAAAAGGGAGCCUAAUUAAUUUAAAAUUAUGACAGAACUACCCUGGAAACUAACAAAAAUUCGCCAAUCGUUUAUCACUACGGUACCCGUCGCAAAACAAAAGCCAUGGAUCAAAGACUCGAAAGACUCGAACAGCUCCAAAGGGAGAUACAAGAACAAAUGCAAGAGCGGUUAGAGAAGAUUCAACAAGAUAUGAAGAACGAAAUGAUAGAGUCUCAAAAAAGCAUGAUAGCUGAAUUAACGCAAUUGUUCAAAGGGGGAAGCGACAAAGGAAAAGACCCCGUGGUUAAUACAGAAGAAGAAAAUAAUGAUAGCCCUCUCUAUCCCCCAGGUUUCACUCCUCCUCAUGCGCAAACCCAAGCUGAGGUGCAACCACGCAGAUCAUCUAUUACUAUCAGGCCUCAGCAAUUUCAAAUUGGUGCCUCAAUACCAGUAAAUUUCCAAACUGGAAUAGGUUCUCAUCUCGGAGAAGCCCCUACUAAUCCCAUAGUACCCGAUUUUGACGAAAUGAUGGGAAAAGAGAAAACAAAGGAAGAACUACCGAGUCGAUUGGAGGAAAGAUGUAAAUGGCUCGAAGAGAAAUUCAAAGCCAUGGAAAGUAGAGAGAAUUAUCAUGGGAUGGAUGCUAAAGAUCUAAGCUUGGUACCAAAUUUGGUCCUUCCUCCUAAAUUUAAGAUACCGGAGUUUGAAAAAUAUGACGGGACAAGUUGUCCUCAGGCUCAUAUCACUAUGUUUUACCGAAGAAUGACCGGGUACAUCAACAAUGAGCAACUGUUGGUUUACUAUUUUCAGGAUAGUUUGAUCGGGUCAGCAGCUAGAUGGUACAAUCAAUUGAGUCGAACCGAAAUCCACUCCUGGAAAGAUUUGGCGCAGGCCUUUAUAAAGCAGUAUAGACAUGUGAUGGAUAUAGCACCCGAUCGAAUUGUAUUGCAAAACAUGGAAAAGAAAACUAAUGAGAACUUUCGCCAGUAUGCUCGGAGAUGGAGGGAGGUAGCAGCACAAGUUCAACCACCACUUUUAGAGAAAGAGAUAACCAUGCUUUUUAUCAAUACCUUGAAAGCUCCAUUUCUCAAUCACAUGUUGGGCAGUGCCACUAAAAGCUUUCCAGACAUAGUGAUGUCUGGAGAAAUGGUAGAGAACGCCAUAAGAUGUGGCAAGAUAGAAGCAGGAGAAAGUAAUAAAAGGUCGGCUCCAAGGAAAAAGGAACAUGAGAUAAAUAAUACAAGCACGUUUAAUAAGGACCAUUCUAAAUCAAUCACGGUGGGGCAAGCCAGAGCAGUAACCGCUAAUCUGCAAAUUUUUUCGACACAGGAAUCCAAUCCAAGGCCAAAGGUAGAGAAACUUCAAUUCACACCCAUCCCAGUGACGUAUAGGGAAUUGUACCAGAACUUAUUCGAUGCACGUGUGAUAUCUCUAUUUUACCUCAAACCUAUGCAACCUCCAUACCCUAUGUGGUAUGACGCAAGCGUUCAAUGCGAGUAUCACGCGGGGACCAAGGGGCACUCAAUUGAAAACUGCACUGCAUUCAAUAAGUUAGUUGAAAGACUUAUCAAUUUGGGGAUCGUAAAGAUAGGCGACUCAUCAGGACCGAAUGUAGCAGAGAAUCCGUUGCCCAACCAUGAUAAUAAAGGGGUGAAUGCGAUAAUUGAAUAUGGAGGAAGGAGAGUCAAAGCCAACAUAGCAGAGAUAAAGACCCCCCUUGAAUGGGUUUGGAAACAAAUGAUGAAAAGAGGUCUCAUCAAGCAAGUUUCAAUAGAAAGGCCUGAAGGAACAAGGAAAUUUUGCGAGUUCCAUGCAGAAGAAAGCCAUGACAUCCAAGAUUGCACCGAGUUCAGAACCAUGAUGCAAAACUUAAUGGAUAGCAAAGAGUUGGAGUUUUAUGAAGAGAUUAAGGGAUUAGAAGGAGGAGAGGUUUAUGCUGCAGAAGAAGGAUCCACGGGGAAAGCCCAAAAGGCUAAUUACCCGGUGGUGAUUAUUGCAAAACCAAUGAGCAGAGAAUCUGGAAUACAAAUAGCACCAAAGGUCGUAAUCCAAAAACCUGUAUCCUUUCCCUACAAGGAUAGCAAAAAGGUUCCUUGGAAUUACAACUGCAAUGUAACAAUCCCAGGAGAGGAGAGCUUGAUAAAUGCUUCAGGAGAGGAUGAAGGAUUCUAUACACGAAGUGGAAAACGCUAUGAUCCGGCAAACGCAAGAGUGGAGUCUGGAAAAGGAAAAGCCUUAGCGGUUGAAUUGGGAAAAGUAAAGACAGACAAAAUCGAGCCGCGCAUCAAUCAGCUGGUAACUGAAAAUGAGGCUAGUGAAUUUCUAAAAUUUUUAAAACAUAGCGAGUACAGCGUGGUAAAGCAAUUACAUAAGCAACCGGCUCGUAUCUCGAUGCUUGAAUUGCUUCUAAGUUCAGAGAUACAUCGUAAUGCGCUGAUUAAGGUGCUAAAUGAAACUUACGUCGCUGAUGAUAUCUCAGUGAAUAAGUUGGACCGUUUGGUUAAUAAUAUCAGUGCUGACAAUUUUAUCUUCUUUAAUGAUGAUGAAAUACCACCCAGGGGAAGAGGAACCACCAAAGCCUUACAUGUUUCUACUUACUGCGGGAAACAUAUGUUGUCAAGAGUGCUAAUUGAUAAUGGAUCAGCCUUGAAUGUUUUACCCCUAUCCACCUUAAAUAGGUUACCGGUGGACAGCUCUCACAUGAAAUCAUGCCAGAACAUAGUGAGAACAUUUGAUGGUACCGAAAGAAAGGUGAUGGGAAGAAUAGAAAUACCUCUCUUGAUUGGCCCAAAUACGUACGAAGUGGAUUUCUUAGUGAUGGAUAUCAAGCCUUCGUAUAAUUGCUUACUGGGGAGACCAUGGAUUCAUUCAGUAGGGGUGGUGCCUUCAUCAUUGCACCAGAAGUUGAAAUUAGUGACAGAAGGCCGGUUAAUUACGAUUGACGCUGAGGAAGACAUCAUUGCAUCGGUAACCAGCGACGCACCAUAUUUGGGAGUAGAUGACGAUGCGGUCAAAUGUUCUUUUCGAUCCUUAGAGUUAGUAAAUGCAACUUUUGUCACUGAAGGAAAGAAAAUCCCAAUGCCCAGCAUAUCUAGAGCCACAAGGAUGGGACUACAAAUGACAGUUGGGAAAGGAGCUGUGCCUGGAAGAGGACUGGGAAGAUGCCUUCAAGGAAAGAUUGAGGCACCAGUGGUGAAAGACAAACAGGACCAUUUUGGUUUAGGAUUUAAACCAAAUGCCAAGCAGAGAAAGAAAGAGUUAGAGAAAAGACAAGACAGGAGGAAAGCGCGUUUGAACGGAAAAGAAGUUGAUUGGGAACCUAUGGCUUUCCCCCACAUAUCCAGGACAUUCAUAUCAGGAGGAACCAUGUAUUCUGGACUGAGGACUCCAAGAAAGAAGACCGCAGAGGAAAUGUUAGGAAACUUAAGCAUCAAUGCCAUAUUUGAAGAAGAAUCUGAAGAGGGAAGUACAUCAGGCAUCUAUCCCGUUGAACCUGGGAGUGUUGUAAACAAUUGGACUGCAGAAGAAAUGCCUGAAGUUUUUAGAGCUUUUCCAGAGUAAUAUUCAAAACAUAUUAAUUGUUCUAAGCCUAGAGAAAAUAAAAACUUUUGUGAACUAAAAUAGGCUUAUAUGUGGACAUUGUGAUUUCAAUGAAAUAUAUCUUCGCAUUUUGAGUAUAUAUAUUCUUUUAAAACUCUUUCCAUUCUUUCAUACGAAUAGUCAUCCCGAAUGCUUUUAUUCUGAAUCAUUCUUUUAUUCAUGGUCAUACUAAAUAAGAAUCCUUAAAUUCAUACGUUCCCUGUACAUUCUUUGAUACCUAUAACAGGUCCCAAGAUAUCAAUGAUAUGAGUGACUCUACUAUGGACUUAGAAAAUCCUUUUGAACGAGAUAUGUGUUUAGAGGAAUCUCAAGAUUUUGAAGAUAACACGGAUUACAACCUACCUCCGGACUUGUUGAGGAUGGUAGAGCAGGAAGAGAAACAGGUUCUUCCUCACGAGGAGACGAUAGAGACAGUGAUCCUGGAGGAGGGAAAGAUGGUAAAGAUUGGCACGUGCAUAGCUGAUGAAGUGAAAUGAAACCUCGUUAAAUUGCUUCGAGAGUUCAAAGAUGUCUUCGCAUGGUCAUACCAAGAUAUGCCGGGGUUAAGUACUGACAUCGUAGUUCACCGACUUCCUAUAAAGGAAGAUUACAAACCAGUUCGGCAAAAGCUCCGAAGGAUGAGGCCUGAUGUUGUGUUAAAAAUAAAAGAGGAGGUACAAAAACAAUUCGACGCUGGAUUCCUGCAGGUGGUCAAAUACUCCGAGUGGGUAGCCAAUAUCGUUCCUGUCCCUAAAAAAGAUGGGAAGGUCCGAAUGUGUGUAGAUUAUAGAAAUUUAAAUAAGGCCAGCCCCAAAGAUAACUUUCCCUUGCCGCACAUCGAUGCCUUGGUGGACAACACAGCAGGACAUUCGCUGUUUUCUUUCGUGGAUGGUUUCUCUGGAUAUAACCAAAUUAAGAUGCAUCCUGAGGAUAUGAAGAAAACUACAUUCAUAACCCUAUGGGGAACCUUUUGUUAUAAGGUGAUGCCAUUUGGGUUGAAAAACGCAGGGGCAACGUAUCAGAGGGCCAUGGUAACAUUGUUCCAUGAUAUGAUGCAUAAUGAGUUAGAGGUCUAUGUUGAUGACAUGAUUGCAAAAUCUAAAACAGAAGAGGACCACGUGCAGGUCCUUAAGAAAUUAUUUAUGAGGUUGAGAAAAUUUCAGCUAAAGCUAAAUCCAGUAAAAUGCACAUUUGGGGUCAGAUCAGGAAAAUUGCUUGGGUUCAUGGUCAGUGAGAAAGGAAUUGAGAUUGAUCCUGACAAAGUAAGAGCAAUACAAGAAUUACCCCCGCCGCGUACUCAAAAGGAGGUUCGAGGUUUUCUAGGAAGGCUGAACUAUAUUGCUCGGUUCAUCUCACAGCUAACUGAGAAAUGCGACCCCAUUUUUUGCCUCCUCAAGAAACAUAAUCCUGGUGUAUGGGAUGAGGAAUGUCAAAAAACUUUUGAAAAAGUCAAACAUUACUUAUCCAACGCCCCAGUGCUGAUGCCACCCUGCCCAGACAAACCACUCAUACUGUAUUUGGCAGUAUUUGGAAAUUCCAUGGGAUGCGUGCUUGGUCAACAUGAUGAAUCAGGACGAAAGGAAAGAGCAAUCUACUAUCUCAGUAAGAAGUUCACUGAAUGCAAAACAAGAUAUUCGCCAAUCGAGAAAUUAUGUUGUGCCCUAAUCUGGACCACUCGGAGACUGAGACAGUACAUGUUGUACCAUACGACCUGGUUAAUCUCCAAAUUAGACCCUUUGAAAUACUUAAUGGAGUCAACCGCUCUGAAUGGAAGAAUGGCCCGAUGGCAAAUUCUUCUAUCUGAAUUUGACAUAGUCUAUGUAAACCAGAAAGCGGUCAAAGGAAGUGCAAUAGCGGAAUUCCUAGCAAGUAGGGCUCUGGAUGAUUAUGAGCCAUUGAACUUCGAUUUCCCAAAUGAAGAUUUGAUGUAUAUCGCAACUGUAGAGAAAGAUUUCUAAGAAGGUGGUUCUUGGAAGUUGAGUUUUGACGGAGCUUAAAAUGCUAUAGGCAACGGAAUUGGGGCAGUACUCGUGUCUCCCAGUGGAGACUAUUAUCCUUUCACUAGCAAAUUAGACUUCGACUGCACAAAUAAUAUGGCUGAGUAUGAAGCUUGCAUUAUGGGCAUCCGGGCAGCCAUAGAGCGGAAAAUUAAGGUGCUAGAAGUAUACAGGGACUCUGCAUUAGUAAUUUAUCAGCUCAAAGGGGAAUGGGAAACAAGAGACCCGAAGUUGGUCCGCUAUCGAAAAUUGGCUAUGGAAUUGAUUGAGGAAUUUGAUAGUGUCACCUUUAGUUACCUCCCGCGAGAUGAAAACCAGAUGGCAGAUGUUUUGGCCACUUUAGCCUCCAUGUUUAAAGUGAACAAAUUAGAAGAUAUGAAGCCUAUCUAGAUCAGCAUCUACGAGGCUCCAGCUCAUUGUUGCAACAUUGACAGUGAAGAGGGAAAGGAUGAUCACCCUUGGUACCAUGACAUAUUGCAAUAUGUGAAGAGUCGUGAAUACCCUGACCAUGCGACAGAAAAUGAUAAGAAGACAUUAAGGAGAUUAGCCAUUGACUAUGUCCUAGAUGGGGAAAUUUUGUAUAAAAAGGGAAAAGAUCAAGUAUUGUUGAGGUGUGUGGAUGCUGUCGAGGCAAAAGAAAUUUUGGAAGAAGUGCAUGAAGGUAUCUGUGGAAUGCAUGCCAACGGCUUCACGAUGGCCAGACAAAUUAUGAGAUUUGGGUACUAUUGGUCCACCAUGGAAGGGGAUUGCAUUAAUUAUGCCAAAAGGUGCUAUAAGUGUCAAAUCUACAGUAACAAAAUGCACGCACCACCUUCACCCCUUCAUGUUAUGGUUUCUCCAUGGCCUUUCUCCAUGUGGGGAAUGGACGUUAUCGGGCCAAUAUCUCCAAAAGCUUCUAAUGGGCAUCGUUUUAUCUUUGUGGUUAUUGAUUACUUCACUAAAUGGGUGGAGGCUGCUUCAUAUGCAAAUAUCACGAAGUCGGCAGUUAGCAAGUUUCUGAAAAAGGAGAUCAUAUGUCGAUACGGGAUGCCUGAAAGGAUCAUAUCCGAUAAUGCGAUGAACUUAAACAACAACUUAAUAGCGGAAGUUUGUAGUCAGUUCAAGAUCAGACACCACAAUUCGUCACCGUAUCGUCCAAAAAUGAAUGGUGCCGUGGAAGCAGCUAACAAAAACAUCAAGAAAAUUGUAGGAAAAAUGACUGAAACCUACAAAGACUAGCACGAGAAAUUAUCUUUUGCUCUCCUGGCAUAUCGCACUUCCGUUAGAACCUCUAUUGGGGCAACACCGUUUUCUUUAGUCUAUGGGAUGGAAGCAGUUUUACCCAUAGAAGUUGAAAUUCCUUCCCUCCGAGUAUUAGCUGAACUAAAGUUGGAUGAGGCUGAAUGGAUUCAAUCUCGAUAUGACCAGCUAAACUUGGUAGAAGAAAAGAGGUUAAAAGCUAUUCGUCAUGGUCAGAUGUAUCAGAAACGAAUGACGCGAGCCUAUAACAAAAAAGUUCGUCCCAGAGAAUUUUACGAGGGGGACUUGGUUUUGAAAAAGAUUCUUCCUCUACAAAAGGAUUUUAGAGGAAAAUGGAUGCCAAAUUGGGAAGGUCUUUAUGUGGUAAAAAAGGCCUUUUCAGGAGGAGCUUUGAUCUUGAGCGAGAUGGAUGGUAAAAGCUUGCCAAAUCCUGUGAACUCAGAUUCAGUCAAGAAAUACUUCACCUGAAGGAGGAGGACCAAAGUGAAAACCCGUAAAGGGAAUUCAAAAAAAAAAAAGGGAGAGGCCAAGGUGAAAACCCGUAAAGGGCGCAUUGAGACCAAAGGGGAUUUGAGUUGAAAACCUGAAAAGGCGGCUCAAAUUUUGAAGAAGCGUGAGGUGAACGAAACAGCUCAAAUUUUGAUCAGGAUCUGAGGCAUGUGGUGGUCUUACUAUACCUGAAUCACAAGAAGGAAUAGGUGACAUCUUGGGGUAUCGACAGAAUACUGUAGAUUCCCUAAACACAUAUUAAAUGGUCUUUAGAAAACUUAUGCAGAGAAGCUCGUGCUGCGAUAUCUGGGGCACCUGUCGUUAUCUUAUAUUUUGAAUCUUGGCAAAAUUUGUUGUCUUGAUUAAUGUAUUCAUUUCAAGCUUUGCUCCCCAGUAAAAUUUCAUUUUGUCUAUUGUCUUAUUUCAUUUUUAUCUUGGCAAAAUUUGCUAUCUUGAUUAACUCAUUCAUUUCGAGAUUUGUUCUCAAUAACAUUUGUUUGAUCGUUGUGGUAAUCUUUUCGAAAAACAUUUAGAAUAACUAUUAAUGAACUGAAUGUUCAAGCAAAUUGAGUUUUGCAUAUUACUCUAGAAAUUUCUAAAUAAUGAAGGAACCUGAAACAGGACUGUUGUUUAGAGCACACUAAAUUCAAAGUGUCUAAAAGGGAAAAGUCCAAGUCAGGACUAUCUUUUCAAAUUUUGUUCUCCAAACAUUGAACAAAAUGACAAGAUGUCGUGUUAGUGGCAAAGCUUCAAUGAACAAACAAGUGAUGUUCACCAAGCAAUAAGAAAAUGUCUUCUGGGAGAAGAAAACUCUUCAUUGUGCAUGAGCAUUUGGUAUGACACCUUGGGAAUGGGGUAAAGGACCAAAGAGCUUCACAUUCUGUAUCAUUGAAUUGUGAUAGCAGAGGAUCGAGAAAAGGCCAGAUCUUCCUACCUUUGGGUUACAGCGGGAGAAAGAUGGUUCAAAUUUUGCAUCCAGUGGAUUGAACCUGGAGGUUUACAGUGGGGGGCAGUCUGGUUAAAUUUUUCUUUGGAUUUGCCAGUCGAGCAAGAAGGCGUUGUAGCACGUCAACGAUAAACCUUAAUAAGCUUUUGCGUGAUGAUAACCUAAGCAUCAAGAAAUCACUUUCAUAACAUUUCGACAUUCAUUCAAAUGUCAUUCAUACACGUCUAGUUAGGACCAUUUGAUUCAUUCUGGUCAUCCUAAUUACUAGACAUAAAUAGGUCCAUCAAAUGGAUUAUACAGGUCAUGUUCCCCAGAGAACAGAUCAAUGAAGAUAGCAGAUCUUGCCUUCCUGUAUUGACAGCGAAGCAGAUCGAAUAAACCAUAGUUUGCAAUUUAAAAGAUCAAAGCCACAACGGCGAAUCUUACUUCCAGGCGAUGCAGUGGAACAGAUUGAAGCUACAACAGCGAAUCUCACUUCCCCGACAUUGCAAUUUAAAAGAUCGAAGCCACAACGGCGAAUCUUACUUCCAGGCGAUGCAGUGGAACAGAUUGAAGCUACAACAGCGAAUCUCACUUCCCCGACAUUGCAAUUUAAAAGAUUGAAGCCACAACGGCGAAUCUUACUUCCAGGCGAUGCAGCGGAGCAGAUUGAAGCUACAACAGCGAAUCUCAUUUCCCCGACAUUGCAAUUUAAAAGAUCGAAGCCACAACAGUGAAUCUUACUUCUGGCAAUGCAGUGGAACAGAUUGAAGCUACAACGGUGAAUCUCACUUCCCCGACAUUGCAAUUUAAAAGAUCGAAGCCACAACGGCGAAUCUUACUUCCAGGCGAUGCAGCGGAGCAGAUUGAAGCUACAACAGCGAAUCUUAUUUCCCCGACAUUGUAAUUUAAAAGAUCGAAGCCACAACAGUGAAUCUUACUUCUGGCAAUGCAGUGGAACAGAUUGAAGCUACAACAGCGAAUCUCACUUCUCCGACAUUGCAAUUUAAAAGAUCGAAGCCACAACGGCGAAUCUUAUUUCCUCGGCAAGACUGGGCAAAAAUUGGUCUUUCUUAGUCUUUGCUCUGUUAUCGUUACACGACAACGAGCAAAGAGGGGCAGCUGUACAGCCCAAUUAUUGCCCGGGCCCAAUUAACAGAGCCCAAACACCAACCCACAAGCCCAAUUACAACCUAAACCCGAGGCCCAAAUUCGGAGCCCAAUUCCCCCCAAAAAUCCAACUAGGGUUUCAAAAAAAUGAAACCCUAGCCAAACCUAGCGCCGCACCCAUCCCUCUGUCGUUUGCCUUGUCCCAUCGCCACCCACCGUGCCUAGCUUCAUCAACACCUGCAAAAUGGCAGAAAAAGCCAGAGCACGCAACAGAUAGUGCAAAGCAAUAGAAUACAACCAAAAAAUACAAUGUAAAUUGGCUAUAAAAGCCAAACAAUAUCUCUGUACAUUUUUUAGAGACAACAUUUUGAAUUCAAGAAAAAGAAAAAGCAAAUCAAAAAAGGUUGACUCCAGUUAUUUCUACUCUGUUCUCGUGUUCUUAUUCAUUUUAUUUCUUUUAUUUUUGUUUAUUUUUCUGCAAUCGUUUAAUAAAUAAAGCGGGACUAAAAGGGAAAGGGGAAGAUACCUUACUGCUUCGGUGGGCUGGUGUCGGAACUCCGCCUUUGCCGUCGUCGGAGCCGAGCAAAAAGGGGCGUUUCAUCCCUUUUCCUUUUGGUCUCGCGGUUGAGAAGGCAUAGCCUUCGGGGACGCAGCAAAAGGGGGAGGCCUAGGGGCCGUUCUCGCGCAGCUCCGGCCACUGGCCAUGGAGGCGGAGAUGGUGGCCUGAGCUUUAAGGCCGAGAGGGGCGCAGAGAGGAGAGCAUUCGAGCUCUCUGUUCUCUUUUCCUGUUUCUUUUUUUUUUUAUUUUUUUUAUUUUUUCUCUUUUCAUUAGAAAAUGAAAUGGAGGCUACCAGAUUAGGGUUCUUUUUGGCCCUUACAUGAUGUGUGAAACGACGCCGUUUGGAGUCUGAUCAGUGGCUCCAAAACGGCGUCGUAUUGAGCUCUGACCCGCGCGGUGACCCGACCCAGGGGAAGGAUCCGCGUGUUUUUUUCUUUAAAUGGGAUAUUUGUGCGCGUAGUCCCUCCGACUUUGUAGCGCGUUGCAAUUUGGUCCUGUUUCGCUAUUUCCUAUUUUUCAAUUUCGCCCCAGAAUUCUGUUUUUGUUCUAUUUUGACCCUCUGCUGCACUGCGUUUUGGGGCUUCGGGGUAUUUAUGAUUUUGGUCCCCCCCUUUUUCGCGCAUAUUACAUUUUGAUCCUUUAUUCCGUUUUAUUUUUUAUUUCAGCCCUGAGAUUUCGUUCCCGUUUUGAAUUAGUCCUAUUAUUAUUAUUAUUAUUAUUAUUACUACUACUAUUAUUAUUAUUACCUAUUUAUUUAUAUUAAUUUUAUUUAAACUUCUGGUACAUAUAUAUAUUUAUAUAUUUUACAACUUAUGUACCUAUCUAUAUAUCUAUAUACAUAUUUUCAUUUUCAUAAAUACAUACAUAUUUAUAUAUAAUCUUUAUAGUCUAAAAUACACCUUUUUUUAUAUUUUUUUAAAUCCGCAUAUACAUACACAUUUUCAAUAUAUUUUUAGUAUGUAUAUAAAUUAACGUAUUUAUUUGUAUACAUAUGUAUAUUUUCAUUAGUUUUAAACUUUAGUUUGUACAUAUAUACUUUUUCUUUUAUUUUACAAUAUAUAUAUACACUUACUUUUUAUAUGUAUUUCUUUAUCUUCGUAUUCCAUAGUUUUAUACACCUAUAUAUGUACAUAUUUUUUUAUACAUACGCGUAUUUAUUUAUUUUAUAUAAAAUAUACUUUAUAUAUUUUGUUAAUUCAUGUAUACACAUAUUUUAGUUCAUGUCUAUAUAUAUCUUUUUAUACUUAAUUGUAUUUGCUAUUUAUUUAUUUCAUUUUGUUAUUAUUUUGAAUGAAUGAUUUAACUUUAUUCGUUUUUUUUAUUUUGUUAUUUUGUAUGUUGUAAGUUUGAUCGUUCAUAUUGAUUGCUAUAGCUUGCAUCGUUUUUAUAUUUUCAUGUUCAUUAUGAUUUUGCCAUGCAUAAAUAAUGUAAUUUGCUUUCACUAUAAUUUUGUGCUUUAUUUUUACUCGAUAUAACAAAAUUUAUUUUUUUAAAAAUGGCAUUUCGUGUUUGGAUUCGAGAAAAUCGUGCCCUAACUUACUGGGUUUCGAUUUUCUCGAUAAAUCUAAAUGUACGAAUCUUUCUAAACUCAAAUUUUAGAUGACCUCGGGAUUGAAAAAAUCACGUUCUAACUUACUGGUCGUGAUCUCAUUUUUAAAUCCGAGAUGGCUAAAAUAUCUUUUAAAUAAGCAUUUUUCAUUCGCGUAUCGAGAAUUUGAGAUAUUGUAUUCUAACUUACUGGAUAUGAUUCUCUUCCUCGAUUAACGUGAAAUAUAUUUCUUUUUCCAAAAAUUUUCAUUUUAAUACAAGGAUCGUAUUUUUAAUUCUUUCAAGUUCUCAAUUUUCGACAUCGAGACAUUAGAUAAUCAACUAGGUACCAAUUUCUGGGCGUUACGAGGGUGCUAAUCCUUCCUCGUACGUAACCGACUCUCGAACCCAUUUUCUAAAUUUCGUAGACCAAAACCGUUGUUUUAAUAAAAUCAAAUUAUUUAUUAAAAACAACCUUUUUCCAAGGUGACCCAAUCACACCUCAAAAAGGAUUGGUGGCGACUCCCUUUUUCAUUUUCAAAACCCAAGUCGACCCCGUUUUUCAAUCAAAAAAAAUGGUGUCAACAAUACCCAUAGGUGAAAUGUAUUUAUUUUGAUGUUUUAUGGUAGAAUAUGAAGCUAGAAAUUAUGAUAAACAACUUUUGCUAGGUGAUUUUAAUUGAAAACGAGUAAAUUGACAUAAUCGGUAAAAAUACCUAAUGUUCAUAAGUACAUGUUAGAGUGAGAAUUUGAUGUUGUCAUAGAAGGGAAAAAUGUUCAGCAUGUUAUAAAACAUAAGAAUAAGAGAUGAAGUUUAAUUUUCGAGCCUUGGGGCAAAAAUGUAAUUAUGCAAAAGUUUAGGGGCAAAAUCAUAAUUUUGACAAAGUUAGACUCGAGGGCUGUUUUGAUAAAUGUGAGUAUUAAAUGAGUUAAAUUUUCUAAUUUAGAUCAAGAAGAACGGAACUCGAGGUUAGACAAAGGGAAGAAUAAAGUUGAAGGCUAAGUUGGUGAAUUUGGCUAUAAUUGGUAUCGAGGUAAGUUUACAGUAAAUAAAUGCAAUAUUUCAAUAAUUAUUAUUAAUGCUGCUAUUUUCCAGCAACUAUGAAUUUAUUUCAUGAAUUUAUUUGAUGAUGAUCCGAGCAUGAAAUGAUAAAGAAUUAAUAUUAAAAAGUCCCGUUGAUACAUAAGGAUGGUACUGGAUACGAAUGUCAUGACAUUUGGGUAAAGAGGUCCCAUGUAAGACCAUGUCUGGGACAUGGCAUUGGCACUGAGAUGAGAGGUCUCAUGUAAGACCAUGUUUGAGACAUGGCAUUGGCACCGAGACCAUGUCUGAGACAUGGCAUUGGCAUCGAGAUGAGAGGUCCCAUGUAAGACCAUGUCUGGGACAUGGCAUUGGCACUGAGAUGAGAGGUCCCCCGUAAGACCAUCUCUGGGACAUGGCAUGGGCACCGACAUGAGUACAUCCCAUGUAAGACCAUGUUUGGGAUAUGGCUUUGGCAUGUUAUUAUCAGAAGAGACCCGAGUAUCCUUAUUAUUCCAAUGUAGCUCAACGGGUUAGUAAACAACUCAUGUUCAUGAAAGUUCAGUUAUAAGCAUAAGUGGCAAGCUCAGGUAAGUUAUAAGAGUUAAGAACUUAUGAUAUUAUCAAUUAAUACUCAACGUUUCAGCAAGGGAAGAGUAAGUUAUAAUCACAAGGUAACUAAGUAGACAAGCAAGAGAAUGAGAAUGAGAUUAAUUAAAGAGUAAAUUAGAGAUCUUGACAUUUGAGUAUAAUCAUUUGUGUUAAAUGUUGUUAUUUAUUUGCUAGUAAACUUACUAAGCUUAAUGCUUACUUCUUUUAUUUUUCUUUCUCUUAUAGUAUUGCCAAGCUACUUCAAGGAUCCUAAAGAAGUCGGAGAUCGUCCACACUAUCAACCACAACUGCUCGGUAUUUUAUGAUGAAACACGUUUGAGUUAUGGCAUGUAUAGGGAUUUAGUUAUUUUGUAUGUUUGUAAUUAUGAUUUUGCUAUAGAAUGAUGCAUAAGUAUUUGAUGAUGAAUGGUUGUUUAAAUGGCCAAGGAGGAAGAUGUUUGUUGUUAUAAAAGUCUAGGUGAUAAAUUAUGCAUGGAAAUUAUGAAAGGGUAAAAUUUUGCAAAGAAACAGAAUUCAGGCAGCAACAGUGACGUGAAUUUGAAAAAUCACCUAGGAUGGUAUAAAAUGAAUUAGAGGGUGAAUGAUAUAUGGAGUUAAAGCUUGUUGAGUCUAUUUUCAAAUAAAAAUAACGGUUUAACAAAAUUAAUUUUAUAUUUUGAUAUAUGUGUAUUUUAGUGAGAAAGGGUCAGAUCUAUUUUUUUGACUCCCCUGUUAAGAGUUUAGAAAAUCAUUAAAAAUUGUAAAAAAAUGGUUAAGAGUUAUAGUUUAUAUGUAUAGAUUCCUUAUUGAGUCUAUUUUAUGUAGAAACAAGUAAGGACUUUAUAUGAAAAUCCUACAGUGAGAAAAAUUAUUUUUAGUGGCAAGAGGUCAGAACAGUCAGGUGGUGAAACAGGGGAGACUUUAACUAAUAAACUGUACUAAUUGGCUGAACCAAAAAUUCUAAAAAUUUUAUGGUAAGUAGAAAUGUGAGUCUAGUUUCAGGUAAAAUUUACAUAAUUAAAUUUUGAGUUUUUUAGCUCGAGUUAUACUUAAUUUAGUAACUGCUGCGCGAUUGGACAGAUUUGCUGUAAAUAGUGAAAUAAAUUUUCAAACCAAGUUUUUAUGCUCCGAAUUAGAAAGAUAAGCUAAGUAAUGCCUCGUGCUCGAUUCCGGCAACGGUCUUGGGUAACGGGUCUUACAAUGUCGCACUUGCAUCACCAGACACGGUGGUGCCGGUGGCUGCGACAGCGGCGUCUCAGUGGGCGAUGGCGAGUGGUUGUCGGUAGUUGAGCAGUGGAAGAGUUACACUCCUAUUGGGACUCUACCAGAGAAUUUAAUUUCAGAUUAACUAUUUUAAAAAUAAAAUUAUUUUAAUAGUUUAAUAUUUAAUUUAAUUUAAUACCUAUCUUAAUAGUAAUUUUUUUAAUUUAAUAUUAAAGUGAUUAAGUUUAAUCAUAGUUGAACUCUCUAAACUCUUCCUAUAUAAAGAGAGCCAUGGGUUAUUAUUUUCACAUACUUGAAUUUAAGGGAAAGUUGUAGAGAGAAAAUUCUCUGAAGAUAUUAUUCUAGAAAAUUUGUAGAGAGAAAUUUAUUUUUCGCUGCAUUUUCUAAACUCGUUUUUCCAACAUAACACUAAUAUAAGCAAUGUGCUUAUGAAAGAGCUUGGGUGGUAAACCUUUUGUGAGCGGAUCCUCUAUUAUAGAGUUUGUCUCAAUGCGUUCUAUGGAUAUUUGUCCACUUUGCACUCUCUCUUUCACAACUUAGAAAUUUAUGUCAAUUGACUUAGUUGAGCUCCUGUUGUUGUUGGAAUAUAGCACCCCUAACUUAUUGUCACAAAAUAAUUUGAGUGGUGUUUCUACAUUCUCCAAAAUGCACAGCUUAGUGACAAAGUUUUGCAACCAUAUUCCAUGGUUUGAUACCUCAUAACAUUCUACAAUUUGCUACCAUAAUGGAAGAAGCUACAAGUGUCUAUUUGACAUUUUUCCAAUAUAUAGCUCCUCCAGCUAACAGGUAAAUAUAGUCUGAUAUAGAUUUCUUGCUAUCUUAACACCCAACAAAAUUAGAACCAAAAUACCCUACGACCUCCAAAUGAUUUGAUCUCUUGUAAGUGAGCAUGUAAUCUUUUAUUCUCUAAAGAUACCUCAUAACCCUCUUGGUUGUUAUCCAAUGGUCCAUACCAAGGUUGCUUAAAUGUCUACCUAACAUCCUAACAAUGUACACAAUAUCUAGACGCGUACAUACUUGAGCAUACAUUAAACUCCCAACAACUAAUGCAUAGGGCAUCUUUUGCAUUUCCUUAAUUUCAAGGUUACUUUGUCUCUUUUAGCAACAUUGGUGUCAUUUGGUCUACAACCGUACAUGUCAAACCUUUUGAGUACUUUAUCAAUAUAGAUCUUUUGUGACAAUCCAAAAAUAGCACAAGAUCCGUCUCAAUGUAUUUGAAUUCUUAAAAUAAAAGAGGCGUCCCAGUAUCUUUCAUCUCAAAAUGCUUAGAUAAAAAACCUUUUGGUUCCAUGCAAUAAGCCUAUAUCAUUAGUGGCAAGCAAAAUGUCAUCGACAUAUAGAACCAGAAAUAUAUAAAUAUAUACUUACUCCCACUGAAUUUGUUAUACACAUAAUCAUCAACAAUAUUCAUUUCAAAACCAAACAAGACAAUUACUUGAUUAAACUUGUGGUACCCUUGACGGGAAGCUUGUUUGAGUCCAUAGAUGGAUUUUGUUAAUUUGCAAACCAUAUUCUUUGGGUCUCUCAACUCAAAGUUUUCUGGUUGCACCGUAUAAAUUGUUUCUUCAAUGUCGUCAUUGAGAAACGUAGUCUUAACAUAUAUCUGAUGUAAUUAUUUGUACUUCUGAAAUCUUCCCCCUACCACUAUUAAGCAUUCAUGUUUAAUUCUUACCUUUACUACCCUUCUUUCUUUCCCUUUUUAUACUUUUGAGAUACCUAUCACCCAUUCUGCAUUUAUCUGCCAACCUGAACUUAUCCACAAUACAUAAACUAUUUAUAACAUAAAGGACUAAGCCAGACAAAAGUAUCAUGCAUAUGGGGGCUAUUUCUCAAUUUUCAAUGUCUAUAGGACCAACUAAACUGUACUCUGAUACCACUAAAUUGAAACCCCUUACCUAACCAGUUCGCCGGGUCCAGUACUAGAUGUCACAAUUAAACCCAUCCAAUAUACACUACAAUAAACUUAACUAGCCAAGUUUUAUUUGAUAGAUAAAUAAAUUUUUUUUACUAUAUAAACACAUCAAAUAAAGAAACAUUUACAAAUACUUCAAUGUAAUUAUCUAUUAAAAAUAAUCCAAUAGUCACCAUAUGAGUUGUUGCUUAAUUGCUCACUAUAAAGAUUUACUUCAACUUUACUAUAUAACAAUUUAAUUAUACAUGACAUAUAUCAACUCAAGUUCUAUUAAUAUUUCAAACCCUCAAGCAGAACCUAUAAGGAUGCCCCCUAUAUGCACGACACCAUAACCUGCAUAUCCUCUUAGACUCCACAAGGUCCGACUUGGUCUCUUCCAUGCUUUCUAUGCAUUCCUUGGUCUUGCAUCCAAGGCAGGUGAUAACACUCUAGAAUAAUAUAUUUUUAUGUAUUAAUUAUGUAUUUAUUCUGAGUAUGAUCCUGCUAAUUUGAGCUAUUUAUGAUCUUUUAUCUCAUAGGGACUAAAUUUGAGGCAAAAGUGAAAUUAAGGGCCAAAAGCGUGAAUUUAGAGAUAAAAUUGGUCAAUGUGCGACACAAGGAAAAGUUGAUGCCAAAAGUGCAAGCAUGGAGGACACAAGGGUUGAAAUGCAAAAAGAAGAGAUUUUAUUCUAUUAAACUCUAUUAAUUAUAUUAGGAUAAUUAAUGUUGAGAUAAUUAUUAAAGAUUAUUUUUAGGAUUUUAUUUUAUCUUUAUUUAUCUUCAAUUAAAUGUAUUUUUCUUUUAGGAAUUUAAGUAGGAUUAGAAUAUCUCCCCUAGCACUAUAAAUAGGGGGUAAAGUGACUCAAAAGGGGAUUCAUCUUUUCUUCUUCUGUAAACACUCUGUCCCCAAAAGUCUAGGCUUUUGUUCUUUUCAUAUUUCCUUUCAAUAAAAUCUUUAUUUUUAUUUUAUUUAUUUUCUUUUCUACCACAACCAUGAGCCACUAAACCCAUCUAGCUGAAGGUUGUCAAAAAUCCCCAAAAGGGUUCAUGAGGCUUAGAAUCCGUACUUAGCCUCCUCGCUGAGUAUUCAUCGUUUCUCCGCACUACGGGGCUGACGCUUCCGUCCAAGUCCCUUAAGAAGUAAGUUUUUCAACGUACGCAAAGGCGGCCGCUUUGUAUGUUUUGGGAAGGUUGCACAGUCGGUUCGUUAGCUUACUGCGUCAGAGGUUGGCGAGCCCAAGAGACAAAAUGGCGUGGGAUUCGCCAUUGAGAAGCGUUGAUUUAGCAUAAGACGAUCCCAUAGAAGCGAUUGUUGGCUAGAGUCAGGUUCCACUAAAUUGUAAGUCUAAAUCCUUGGAGCUGGUGGUCGUAGGCGUCCUCUUCCACUAUAAUUGGCUUAUUAGGUUUGGGAAGGAUCAUUUAAAAGCCGAGGAUUGAACCCAAGGCGGAACGAGACAACUGGAGGCUGGAAUCUCCCAUAAGAAUUUUCUUUCUCUUAACUCUAUUUUUAAUUUCUCAAAUUUUCAAUUCAAUAUUCUUAAUUCUGUUUUUAUUUUAUUUUUCGUUUCUAAAUCCCAUAAUUUAAUUCUUCUAUUAUUUUUCUUUUUUUUAGGAACGCAGGUUGUCUUGGGCAAGACUCUGCUUGGGAUUUCACGGAACAAGAUAUUUUGCGAGUCCAGUCCCUGAGGAUUUGACCCUACUUCCAUUUUACUAUUAUUUUUCAUUAUUUAUUAGGGAUAGGAUAUUUUUGGUGCUUUCAACGACCGCAUCAGCAGGCCACUUAUAAGUUCAUGCGAACUUAGUGAGGUUCCAUAUGUUCAUCACUACAUAAAAGAAUCAAUAAAAAGAAUUCAUGUAUAUAAUUAAAACUCUCUAUUUUUCAUUUAGACUUUAGCAUCUGCUGUUGUGUUUGAUGUUUAUAUGUUUUCCCUUUACAACUUCUAACAGACACUUUACAACAAUACAACUUCUUAAUAGAUACUCCUUAGCGACUCAUACCAUAGUCUCAAGCUUCAUCUCAGAUUUUCCAUUCUUCUUGCUUGAUAUUCUAUUGGACAUUUCAUCUUUUGGAUGGAUGUUUAUAUAUUUACCCACCUAGAUAACUUGACGAAUUAUUAUAUAUUACAUUGAGAGUGCAAAUUUUUUUCAUCAUCUUUACCUUCAUGAAGAUCUUGAUGUAGGUAUACGAUCUUGUUAUCUUUUCACUUGUUUAUUGCCCCUUUGGAAAAUUUAGUGCAGUUGAAAAAUCCCAUGAAUGCUUGACCUUAUCAGUAGGCAGUUUAAGCCUAAAAUCUGGUAGACCAUCGAUAAUAAACCCCUUUUAUAGAUAGUCAUAUGAGAUAGUCCUUAUGGCAUUACAAUUCCGAGAUAAUCCUAGCAAACUUCAUUUUACUUCAAUAAUACACGACAGAGUUUUAGAACAGAUAGUCCUUAUGGACAUCCCACAAGAUAAUCCAUGGUGGACUUCUUUUUACUUUGAUAAUACACGACAGACUUCUAGAACAAAUAGUCCCUAUAACCGUCCCACAAGAUAGUCCAUGGCAGACUUUCCAGAUAUGAUAAUCUUGACAAAUAUUCCAAACUACUAGAUAGUCCAUCUGGACCUUUCCACCUAAACUAGGUUCUGAUAGAACUUUAAUUCAUUUAGUAGUUCUCGUGAACAGUCCUGUCUUUUGGCAAAUCUUUGACUAACUUUACCAAAUAAGAUAGUCCCCAACUAACCUUCCAUUUAAGAUAGUCCUUUUUGGUGAACCCUGAAUGGUGGAUACCUAGUUACAAAUACUCUAUAAAGAAAAACCCUCCUCCAUACAUAUCCACGUAUGCAACACUUUCAUAUAUCUUUCUUACCUUCAUAACUUGGCGAAGCCUUAUCUCAGCAAUUUCACCAAUGCUUCUAUAUUUGACAUAAUUAUCCUAACUAAUUUCCUUGUUCGUUGUCCUGAUGGACUUUAUAAUCACGCGAAUCAUUUCAUAGUUCUCCUGUAUAUGUCAUGUUUUCUAUCCUAGCGGACUUUAUAUGUUGUCACAGCCCAGCUAUGGUUUUACACUAUAUGAUGCCAUAAUUUAGCAAUGGUCUUACACUAUUACAGGCUUAAAGCCUCCGAUCGAUGCCAUGGCCUUACACAUCAUUAUUGUUGUCACCCAUCCAUUCCCCCUCAAAUCCUCCUUGUUAAUUCGAACACCUAAAUAUUCACUUACAAGGCCAGGAAAUCACCUAUUUCAGUUGCAACACAUGCCAAAACGAAUUACGAAAAAACUAACAAAAAUUCUAUUUCCUAAUCCAUUCGUUCAUUCCUCCACAAUGACAAUUCCUACUCCAACUAACCCGGCAAUCAAUUUGCUCCGUACUCCAUAAUUCAUGAACACACAUAACACACAACAAUACAUUCAAAAUAUAAUAUGGAAUACACCACACCCAUUUCACAGAUACAACACAUAACAUAUUCUUAGAAAACAUAUUUUCAUCCUUCAUGUAGUCAAAAAACUAACACAUACAUAACACAUCCAAUCAACAGAAAUCCUAUAUCAUCACUGAACUCAACAUAGAAUCACAUCAGUCAUACAACAUCCAGACCAACACCCAAAUAUGGAGUAUGGAAACCCACCUGAUGUCUCUCUACUUUGCCAACUUAGCUUUUGCAAAUGCCAAAACCUCCUUUCUCUUGGUAGCUACGUAUGACAACCAAAAACACAAAUUAAAUCGAAGCAUUUAUGCUUCCAAAACCCAGAAACCAAAAUUCUCAGAAUUCUUUCAAAAGUUAUAGAAAUCUAUAUAUUCUCUUUUUCUCAAAUCCACAAGCACAGGAAGACUAAGAGGCUUACCAGUACACUAGAUUAUCUAUUUUUCUGACUCAAAUCCCAUGACUAUCACUGCAUGCAGAGUUUUCUUUAGCUUUCUCUUCUUCAGUGUAACCGAAGAAGUUGAAGAAAAAAAAAAUAGAACGGAAGAACAAGAAGCAGAAUAGAGAAAAUCCUCCUCUACAGAACAACCCUUCUCACUAUAUAUAUAACCACUACAUGCUCGAUCACCAACUCCCAUAGACACCAUACAUUGGCAAUCUUUUGUCUCCCACUAAGUAACAAAUCGGUUUUGUUGCAACCAAACUAGAACUAGAACCAACUGCUUGCUAACCAACCACUGGAAUUUCCAAAUUCUCACAAUUGAGUCUGCUGAACUAGUAGUUUCUUACAGUUAACUCUCACAUUGUCCCAAUUCAGACCUUAAUAAAGACCGGGUGUGACAUGUUGGGGAGAGCUUAGUCACAAUACUGUAGUGGAAUGACUUCAUGACUAAAUAAGUUUAUAAUUAAUAGGCGAAAAGUUGGAACUUAAUUAUAAAUCACUUAAUCCUCAAUCGCAUAUGUCCAAUUGCUCCAUAUUUUAGCUCGUUGAAACUAGAAAUGAAUUGUAUGUUAAAUCAAAUUAAAAAGAGGAAUAAAAAUGGUGAAAAUGGAGAAAUGAGAAAUCAUUUGAAAAUGAAAAUAGAGAAAUUGAAACAUUUGGAAAUGAUUAUGGUUUUCUCCAAAAUGAAAAUGAAAAUGAAAAUGGAGAAAUAAAAUCAUUUAGAAAUUAAUGUGGUUUUCUCCAAAAUGAAAAUGAAAAAUUAAAAUGACCUGAAAAAUGAAUUUAUGUUUUUUGAAUUAAAUGAAGUUUGAAAAUAAAAAAUAAAUCAUUUGGUCAUAGUGAAUUGUUGAAUAUAAAAAAUUAAAUACAUUUUCUCAUAGAUUCUUUUACGGUAAAAUCGUCAUGAUUUUAAUAGAAUUAGAAUUAGGUUGAGAAGAUUAUUUAAUUGGAAAUAUAUUGAGAAGUUUAUUUUGGAAAAUAAAAAAAUAUCGGGUUGGAUCAAAUUAUAAAGUAUUGGGUUAAAAGUCCGGAAAGUACUUAUAAUUGGAUCCGAUAUGGGAGUGGCUUAAAAGCCCCUCAUGUUAAAGGGGUGGACACUAACUAGGGCUGUCGCCUCUUAUACUUCUAGUUAUACUAGGAGUUCAUUUUUCUAGUUGAAAUAAACUUUUACAAUUCAACAAGGGUUCUACCUUCUCUUUUUAUAAAGAGAUGACACUGGCAGGACUAUUGACACAACUUAAAAGUAUUAUUACUCUAUUCGAAAAUAGAGAGAAUUUAUUCUAAACUAUUAAAUCUAUUUUCUGGAUUAACAAUUAUGUCGGUCUCUAUUUGAGAAGAGAUUUUUUUUUGUUUUUACACUAAAAAAAAAAGAAAAUUGUUUUUAGUUUUGUGUUUGAUUCAAUUUGUCCAAGCCCACAUUCGAAGCAGUUCGUGGUACGAAAAUAGCAGAGAAUAUCGUUUGGUUGAAAGUCGAGAACGAAAAGAAUUCGUCUAUUCAAAAACACAAGUGCGAAUUCGGUCUAGGGUUUAUUGUUAUAAAUAUCACAAACCUGGUCGAUUUUCAAAAUUUUUAUUUUUCGCUGUGUGAAAAUCGUUUUUGAACCGGAUAUUUUCCAACACAGACUAUGAUGGGAAAUGAUGGGUUGAACGCUGCCACCUUUCAUCUGAUCAUCGAAGCAGUUCGUGGUACUAAAAUAGCGAAGAAUAUCGUUUGGUUGAAAAUCGGGAACGAAAAGAAUUCGUCUAUCUGAAAACACAAGUGCGAAUUCGGUCUAGGGUUUAUUGUUAUAAAUAUCACAAACCUGGUCGGUUUUCAAAAUUUUUAUUUUUCGUCGUGCAAGAAAACCGUUUUUGAAUCAGAUAUUUUCCAACACAGACUAUGAUGGGAAACGAUGGGUUGAACCAACCUUUCAUCUAAUCAUGAUCGUGUUGAAGAAGAAGAAGAUGGAGGAGGCAUGUCAAGUGGCAGAUUUCAUGAGAGUCGCCGGAGUUUUGCCCAAUGUGAUGGCAUAUAAUUUUUUUACUGACGGCGUGCUGUUAUGAGUGUAAGUUGAUGGAGGCGAGCACGGUGGAGAAAUAAAAGUUUGGGGGUUGGGUUUUUGUUUUAAAUUUACACAAAUUUUUAAAAAUUAAAUAUUUUCAUUCUGUAAAUGUUGAGGGUUAAAUUUUUUGAUUUUUUUAGAAUUUGAACUACAAUGACAAAUUUUGUAAACAUUGAGGGUUAAAUUUGUUGAAUUUUUAUUUUUAGGCUCAAAUUAAUAGAAUGUGUAAGCAUUAUAGGGCUAAAUUUGUUAUUAGACCAAUAAAAAAACCCACUUUAGCACUUCUGUCAAAUUUCAAACGAAUGCUAACGUUUAGUGACCAAAAAAAUUGAUUUCAAAUAGUUUAGUGACUAAAUAGAAAAAAUUAAAAGCUUAAAUAGUUUAGUGACUAAAUCGAAAAAAUUAAAAGCUUAGUAACCAAAAUAGAACACGACCAAUAGUUUAGUGACCAUUUCUAUACUUUACCUAUUUAAUUAAUCGUAAGGAUUUUCUUUGCUUUUAGCUUAGCAUGGAAGAUUCUAAGAUCAUAUAAUAAAAAAAUUGUGUUUCAUAGAUAAUUAAUAAAGAUGAGUUAUUUGAGUUGAUUAUAUUUUGGAAAUAUAAAAUAAAAUUUAAAAUUUUAGAAGAAAAUUAAAUAAAUUAUUUUUAAUAUUAUAGUAACAAAUUGGUUAACACUAUCAAGUGAUGAAUUUUUUUCAAUAAUUUAUUAAAUUGAUUUUGAUGUCUUGAAAUUUAAAAUUUCAAUAAAAAAGUUAGAACUUUCGACAAUAGGGUAAACAUGUGCAAUUUGAAAGCGGCCUAGAAGUUGGGUGAUCAAAAUGAAAGUGUAAACAUAAUGUGACAUGUACAAUUAAUCGUUGUUAGAAAUUUAACACUUAGAUGACUAAAAUGAAAGCAAUUUAAAAGUGGGGUGAUAAAAUUACAAAAAGUUUAUUUUUGAUGACCAAAAUUAAAACACCCUAAAAGUUGGGUGACUAACUAGAUAGCUUACCAACUCAAGGCAUUAUUCUUAUUAAAUUUUCUACAUCUCUCCAUACUAUUAUUUAAGUUCAUGACUGAGUUGGUGACGCGGUUGGUGUCACCCUCAACCGGGUCACCAACUCGGUUAGAGAAAUUACGGACAUGCUUUUUUGUAAUUAAAAUAAAUUAUACUACUUGGGGUAUUUUAAUAUUUUUAAUUUUAAAAAAACAAUAAAAAUAAGCAUAUUAAGGGGUUUGAACCCAAACCAAUUGUAUUAGUAAAACUUUAAUUUAUCAUGCAACUAGAGCAUUAUGUUAAUAUUUUUAUACAUUUUAAUUUUAUUAUGCACUAUUCAUUACUUCCAUCAUUUGUAUAUAUUAAUAAUGUAUUUAAUUGAGUUGGUGUUACAAGUUAACUCGACACUGACUCAAGAUUAAAGACAACACAAUGAUAAAUAAUUUAAUUUAAUUUUUUUAAUUUUAAUACUGUACAUAUUUCAAUAUGUGUUAUUAUUACUUAGUUAAAAAUCAUGCAUUAUAUUAUUUAUUACACAUUAUUUUUAAACAUACAUUUAUAGUUUCCACGCAUAACUGCGUAUGAUAAACUUUAUAAGAAAACAUAAUGUUUCUCCAUUUAAACAAAUUCACCAAGUUAUUACUUAAAAAAUGAUGAUAUUAUUAUCAUAUUUUUUUAAUAACUAAUACCAAGUUAGGUUUAAGUAAAAGAAACUCUUUUAAAAUUCAAGUAUUACUCUUUAAACACCUCUGAUCUUAGUGGCCUUUUUUCCUUUCUUUGCCUUGCCUUGGUAUAUAUAUAUAUAUUUUUUUUACAAAAGAGAGAUUAACUCUAAUUAAUAAAAAACGAAAUUACAUUACAUCAGGUAGAUCAUCAUGUAAAGACUGAAGGAUUUCAUCCGGGGGUUGCAUGAAUGUAACCUUGCCAAAAGGUGUUGAGAAAGCCAUUUGUGCCAAACCGUCCACUACCUUGUUGCCUUCUCUGAAAGCAUGUAUUAAGUGAAUUGUCGAAUUACGUUGGAGAAGCUCUUUGAUGUUACGGAUCACAAAAGAAUCAUAUUGCUCUUUUCCAUAUUCUUGAAUUUCUUGAAUUGCUUCUUUACUGUCUGUCUCAAGCACCAUUUUCUUCAACCCGAGACUCCACGCUAUUUGGAGCUCAUCAAGUAUACCUCAGAGCUCAGCCAUGAGUACCGAGCAACUCCCGAGAUUUCUUGUGAAGCUUGCAACCCAUACUCCAACCUGGUUACGGAUUAAUCCACCCACAGUAGCAGUCCCUGAAAGUUGACACAUAACACCAUAAGUAUUCACCUUCUUCCAUCUAGUGGUUUACGUCUUAUGGCUUUACAAGAAUCAGCAUUUAUACGCCUCAAUGUCUGGUUCAACCCAUGGUUUGCAUUAAGAAAAAUGUCUUUCAUCCAACAACUUUUUCCCAAAAACACUAUCGGUUUCCAUAAACUCAGCAUGAAAUACAUAAUUAUUUCUCCUAAUCCAAAGUUGCCAACAGAUACUACCAAACAGUGUUACCCAACCGCUAGGAAUACAGGCAAAAUAUUCACGAUCAGAUAGAUUUUUAACAAACCAUUCUUCCAAGCUGAGACUCAUGUCUCGUUUCCACCUUAGUAACAGAAAGCCAAGUUUCCACAGCUGGGGUACAAAAUCGCAGUACAUGGUCAGUAUUUUCCAACGCGCUUCCACAAACCAUAUAACUUGCAUCAGUAAUCAUUUUUCUUCUCACUCUGUUCUCAUUGGUUAGAAUUCUAUCUAAAAAAUGAAAACACACGCCUUUUGAGGAACUCGAAUGUGCCAAAUCCGAUGCCAAAUCCCAUCGUAUCUGCUCCUUUCCACCCCCACAAUUAGUAGCGUAGACAGAUCACACUGAAAACAAAUUCUUUUUAUCGUGAACCCAACUUGUAGAGUCAUCAACGUCGUGAUCUGAUGGAGGCUUAUAAGUUGAGAUGUUUAGGAUGACUGGACGUGGCAGAACCGAGUUAAGAAUAGACCAAUUCCAAUCCCCACUCGGCGUAACAAGCUCCUUCAUAGAGACAUGCUUCUUAGGAAUGCCUUCGGGUUGUGUACAACUGUUUACUAGGGAACCUUGUAUAACUUUAAUUAACUUUUAGAUAAAUACAAUUCUUUUAACAUCUACAGUAAAAAUUAAAUUUCCAGCUAAUAUCAUAUAGUUUGGUAAAUACAUCCAACAAAUAAAAAAUUAAUAUGGUGGAUGCGAAUAAUAUUAUAGUAAGAGGAUUUGGAGAGAGAUUUAAAAUUAUAUAAAGAAAAUUAAGACUAAACUUAGAUGAAGCUGAAUAUACCCUAAACGCUAAGCAAAUUAUAUAAAAACCAAGCCAUACAUUGUGUAAGUGAACAUGUCCGUGAUGCUCUUGAUCUCUGGGUUGUCCAUGAAGUGCAGCUGGCCACCUUUCGUCACUUUCAAUAAAUUUUAUUUGGAUCGACCCACUCUAUGUGAAGCAAUAUAGGAUAAUCUUCGAUUAAGGAUAUGAUGGAUCCAUAAUUUUACUUUGUUUAACAAAUAUUCUUAUUCUUGUUUCUUCCUCAUUUAUUUAUCCUAUAAUAUCACCCAUUCCAUGCACGGAUUUAAAAUUGUUGUUCCUCUUCCAUUUUCUUUCUUCUUUAAACAACCAAUGCAACUCUUACAAAUUACAUCCAUCAACAAAUAACAUAUUAUUCUAUUAGCAAUGUAUUUUGAAUUAUGAAUAAAUUAAUAAUUUUAACAACUUUAUUCUAUUAACAUAAAUGAUGCUUUUAACUAGAUUACAAAUAUUUAAUAUAUAUUAAAAAUAUUUGUCGAGAAAUUCUUUGAUUUGAAACUUUAAAGAGUACAAAUAUAUGCUAGUGUGAGUAAAGGCAUGGAGAAAGUCAAAAAUUAGUAUCAUUGAUGGGAAUGAAGGAUUUCCAUUAGAAAAGUAAAUGGAGAUACCAAACUUGGAUGGACUUGAAGUCCUCCAAAGACAAAUAUGGGGAUAAACUAGCAUAUGAUAGCACUAUAAAUAUACAUUUCAGAUGCAUCCAUUCUCCAUUUCAGUUUUCAUAGCUACCAACAUGAAGCUUGUAGCAGCCAUGGACGCCUUUGAUUCUUUCAUGCCAUACUUACUCCACUUGGUGCUUCUAUACGUCUCUGCCGGUCUCUUUUACUUUCUUUACAAAUACAAAUCUAGCGGCGGCGGCGGCCCCACCCCCAACCUCCCUCCUGGUAAAAAGGGUCUUCCAUACAUCGGUGAAACCUUGGAUUUUGUAUUGGCGUCCAGAAGGGGAACUCCAGAGAAAUUCGUGACUGAUAGAACUACCAAAUAUUCACCUGAUGUGUUUCGCACAUCACUGCUUGGAGAAGACAUGGCCGUCUUCUGUGGCUCCGCUGGUAAAAGUUCCUUUUCUCCGGCCAAAACAAAUAUGUCACUUCAUGGUGGCCGGAUUCUAUUAAGAAAGCUUUGACGGACCCAUCUAGUGUUGACUGUUGACAAUUCUUCCAAAGAAGAAUCCACUAAACUUCGAGCUUAUCUGCCUCCUUUUCUCAAGCCUGAGUCCCUGCAACAUUUCAUACCAGUCAUGGAUAUAAUGGCCAAAGAGCACCUAAAUCAACAUUGGUCGCCGUAUAAUGAAGUCCAAGUUUUCCCACUCUCCAAGAAGUACACGUUCGCACUGGCUUGUCGUCUUUUCAUGAGCGUCACGGAUUACGACGAGAUAGAGAACUUCGCGAAGCCAUUUGCUCUUGCCACUGCGGGUCUCAUGUCGGUUCCCAUAGAUCUUCCAGGUACAACUUUCAAUCGGGCAGUGAAGGCCGGCAGACUGAUUCGACAACGGCUUUUAGCCCUCAUUACCCAGAAGAAAAAUGAGAUAUUGGAGAAAGGGAAAACAGUAGCCUCAGACUUGGUUGACAGCAUGCUGAUGGAUGGUAUGACUGAGGUUGAGAUCGGCAAUAAGAUUGUGGGCUUCUUUAUUGCCAGCCAUGACACAACAAGCACUGCCAUCACCUUCAUUGUUAGCUAUCUUUCGGAUUAUCCUGAAGUAUAUAACAGGGUCCUUGAAGGUACGUGAUUUAGCUUGAUUUUAAGCACCCAUGACAUUGGAAUGGGACUAUUCAUGAAUAAAGUAAUGUUUUCAACUAAUUGCUGGGAAUAUGCAGAACAAAUGGAAGUAUUAAGAUGCAAGGAGGCAGGGGAGCCGUUGAGAUGGGAAGAUAUACAGAAGAUGAAGUAUACUUGGUGCGUGGCAUGCGAAGAAAUGAGGUUGGCUCCGCCUGCUAAUGGAUCUUUCAGAGAGGCCAUAACCGACUUCACUUACGCAGGUUAUACAAUCCCAAAGGGAUGGAAGGUAACUAAUACCUAUUUUUUUUAAAAAUAAAAUAAUGCAACCAUAUAUAAUAAAUAUUGAUUUAAUUGUACUAAAAUGGUCAGGCGUUUUGGAUGGUGCAUACAACGCACAAGAAUCCGAAAUACUUUACGGAUCCAGAGAGAUUUGAUCCAUCAAGGUUUGAAGGGAAUGGUCCUGCACCCUACUCCUUUGUACCAUUUGGGGGAGGUCCUCGAAUGUGCCCUGGCAAGGAGUAUGCUCGACUCGAAAUCCUCACUUUCAUCCGCAAUCUGCUUACCACUUUCAAAUGGGUUAAACUCAAUCCCAAUGAGAAGAUUUCCUACAUUCCAUCACCCAUUCCUAAGGAGGGUCUUCCCGUCAAAAUGCAACCCCUUCUAAAUUAAUUGUUCCUAUUUAAUAACUUUUCCACAAGUGAGUUAAAUGUCUCACUCUUAUUUUUAAUUAUCGAUAGGGUUUCAAAACUCUAUAAAUGCUUGAUGUAAUAAUAUCUUUUAGGGUAAACUACACCCAUGGUCACUUUUGUUUACCUUAGGUUACAUUUCAGUCACUUAUGUUUGAAAUGUUACGUUUUAGUCACUUACGUUAUUGUGUUGUAACAUUUUAGUCACUGAGCCGUUAAUUGUCGUUAAUGGUGUAAUGGUAAGCUGACGUGGCACGUUAAAUUAUCAUUUCAAACAAAAACUUUAGGUUAAAUUAUACAAUUGGUCCCCAUAAUUUUUCGUUUUGAGCAAUUUAAUUCUUUUAUGUUCUUUUAACUUUCUUUCUUUCUUUUCUUUAUUUUCCAUUCUCUUUUGCUUCUUCCUCUGUUUUCCUACCUUCUUUUUUUUCUUUUAACAUACCAGGAAGUCGAAUUGGUAGUGAAGAAAGAAGCAUGGUAUGGGUUUAUGGAUUUUGGUUAUAGGCAAAUGAUGACAGUCGACUUCCUACUUAUUUUUUCACUGCCAAUUCGACUUCCUAAUAUGUUAAAAGAAAUGGGAAAGAUAUGAAAACAGAGGGAGAAACAAAAGAGAAUGGAAAAAAAGAAGAAAGUUUAAAAAACAUAAAAGAAAAAAAUUAAAUUACUUAAAACGAAAAAAAUAUGGGGAUCAAUUGUAUAAUUUAAACUAAAAUUUUGUUUGGAAUGAUGAUUUAACGUGCCACGUCAGCUUACCGUUACACCAUUAACGACGAUUAAUGGCUCAAUGACUAAAAUGUUACAACAUGAUAACAUAAAUGACUAAAACAUAACAUUUCAAACAUAAGUGACUAAAACGUAACCUAAGGUAAACAAAAGUGACUAUGGGUGUAAUUUAUCCUAUCUUUUAAAUAAAUUAUACAAUCAGAAAUAAAUGGCCAGUGCCUCGUUUGGGAAAACUAUGGGUUACUAAUUUGUCUCUAGUCAGCUUUCAUCCCUUUGGAAACCCACAGGUAAAAUCCAAUUUACAGGCUUAGGUCUUAACUACUUUAUUGUUUCCUUGCAUUAUAACUCUGAUUAGGAUUAUGUUAUGUUAUACAAAAUGGACCAUAGUUUAUUGGGGUCAUUUUCUUAUUGUGUGCAAAUGGGAGUCGAACCUUAGGGCAUCUACUGCUACAAUUUCCUAUGUUGCAGUUUGGUUAAAAUUAGGAGUGAGCAAAAUUUGAUUUGAUUCGAAAAGCUCGAUAAAAAAUUCAAAAUUUAAAUUAAAUAGUUUGAGUUAUUUGAAUUAAUCGAGUUAUUCGGAUCAACAUGAAUAAGAAAUCAAAUUUUUCGGCUUAACUCGAAUAGGAAUUACAUAAUUCGAGUUAUCUGAAAAUCUGAAUAAGAAAAGGAAAAACUACGUCGUUUUGAUAAAUGUUUACCUUUUCUAAAGUUAAAAGUCAAAACCAUUAAGUCAAAAGGCAAAACUACGUCAUUUUGAUAAAUGUUUACCUAUUAAGUUAAAAGCAAAACCAUUAUAUUUUUUAUAUAGUUAAAUAAUAUUGUACGUUGUCUACUAGUUAAAUAAUUGGUCCAUGUAAAUGCAACAUUGAGUAUAAUUAAUAGGAUUCGUUAACUUGAUUUGACUUGGCCCGAAAAUUUUUGACUCGAUUUGAUUUGAUUCGAAACGAUUUCAAAUUGAGUUCAAUUGCUAAAAUAGAAUUCGUCAACUCGACUAACUAGAAAUUUUUUGACUCGAUUGACUCAACUCGAUCGAAUGUUCACCCCUAGUUAAGAUCACCAGAAUUACCAGUUCAAUACUUUGAUGUGGAUAUUUUAAGAAAAUUGGUAGAGGUAUUGGAUCUCCCCUAAGAGUUGAUAGUCACACACUUGCUAAAGAAAAGGAUAGAUAUGGUCAUUUAUACGUUCAACUAAAUCUCCGUAAACUUCUUCCUCGUUUUGUUACUAGCGAAGGAUAUAAACAAGCUAUUUUUAUGAAGGUUUGAAUUCUCUCUUGUUGGAAGAUCAACCACUCUAUCGAAAAAUUUCAUGCUUCUACUUCUCCAUUUGUUAAUGCUAUUAACCAUUUAGAUCCAUCGCACUUGGAUGUUCAUACCACUAGUCCCUCUACUUUUGAUGGCUACGGUCCGUGGCUCAUUAUUCAAAGGAAAAACAAGCCAAAGCCGAAAGUAAUUGAUCUCAAGCCUACAACUAUUGAUCAAUUGUGAAGAAAAAUAUCUUGAAUAAAAAAGUGAAGGGCAAGGGAAAAAUUAUCUCAAACUCACCCAACUAUAAAUAUCCUUAAUCCCACUUUGCUUCCCCCAACAAAGCAAAAAGCUAUUAGCUUCCCCUAUGACACCAACAUCAAUUUUGAAUGGUCUAGUGGGAUACUACUGGCGAUUUGUUAAAGGAUUCUCGAUGAUAGCUCUCCCAUUGACUAAGUUACUACAGAAGAAUAUCAAUUUUGAAUGGUCCAAGAAAUGUCAGAAAUGUUUUGAGAAGUUGAAGACAAUGUUAACUAAGGCACCAAUACUAACACUGUAACAUCUCAUACCUGACCCGAUCAUUAGAUCCAAACUAUAGAAUGUCACAUUCGUUGUCGGAGUAAUUAUGAUUAAUCACAUGAAAAUUUCAACUUUAAAUGCCCAAAUGCUAAAAUUUCAACUUUAAACACGAAAACUAACCAUUUUUGGGUCAAAUAUGAGCUUAAGAAAGCUCAAUACCAUCCAUAGGUUGAACUAGGACCAAACUAAAAAGCUUUUAAAAUAUUUCAAGUGGGUGUUGCGACUUCCAAAGCUUGGUGUCACGUCAUUGAAGACAAUAGCCAAGCUUCCCAAUUUGAGGACCAAAUUACAAUUUUUUUAAAAUAAAACAGAGUCGACAUCGCGACCUCAAGCAGGAGCUGCUACGAUGAGAUGGCCUGAGGUUGCGGCAUUCAGGAUGUGAAGUUGCAACAUUGCAAGCAGACCACUAGGUUCCUGUUUCAAAUGUUUUCUACCUAGCAUGUUUAACAUCAUUUUGCAUCAAAGCCCUAAUUUCAUACUAUUAAAACAUGUACAAAAUAUGGUUAUCAAUCUAUUAACAUCACCUUCAUGCUUGACUAUAACCAAAAUCACAAAUCACAACCUUUAUACAAGUAUUUUGGACCAUUUCUAACAUUUGAUAAUAAUAAUAAAAACCCUAGGUACAUGUCAGUAGUAACAUAAUGAAAAAGGGCUAUAAAAACUUAGGUUGAGUUGAUUAGUGUCGCGUGGAUGCGGACUUCACUUUCCUGGGGAUUUGAGAAUACUUGAACUUGCAUACAGAAUAAAUAAAUCGUAUGCUGAGCAAUGGGGCUCAGUGGUACUUUCAUGAUUCAAGAUAACAAAAACAUUCAUAAAUUUUUAUAUAUAACACAUUUACAUAAUGUAUUCAAGUCUCAUCUAUCAAACCAAAUAAUUCACAUAUUUGAUACAAAUAAGAACAUAGAUAUGCCAAGUAACCAAUCCAUUCAUCAAUAUAUGCAUGACAAAUGAACUAUGCAUACCAUUUGACAAAUCACUUAUAUCUUUCUAGCUAUCCUUAUCAACUAUGUGGUCACAUAUAUCUAUAUGCAAUUUACAUUAUGGCAUUCAUGUUUCAUAGUACUAUUAUUUUCUUACCAUUCAAACUCAUUUAUGGAUUCUAUCAACUCAUUCGUACUCGUUUUGGCCCCCAAGGCUCGUUCUCAAAUAAUUUGCUCAAUAGCUUACAUGAUCUUUCUAUCACAUUCCACAUAGGAAUACAAGUGAAACGAUUUCAUCAUACAAUAUUACUUAUCAAGUUUGUCAUUUAUAAAUCUAUUAACAUGACUUAGACUCGGAAAUAUACACGGAUCGUCCAUCCAACACACCAAACUGGCACCAAAGUACAUCGGAUAAGCCAAAGUAAGGUAAACUGGCAUGUAAGGUGCAUAUUGGCACAUAAAGUGCAUCUUGGCGCACAAAUCGCAUACUGGCACAUGAAGUGCAUCCUAGAAAACAAAGUGUAUAUCUGGCAUACGAGGUGCAUCCUAGAGCAUAAGCGUAUAAUCUCAUACACAAACCAAUCCCAUGACAUGCCAAUUAUAUCCAACACAGCCCGAACAACUAAUAGGGUACCAACAUUUAAUCUAUUUUUAUGAUUUAAAUCAUAUAACAUUCCUUAAUCGUAAUCAUAAUCCAAAUCAUUAUCAUUAUCAAACCCAUACAUUUCAUAUUAUAUAACAUAUUCUAUUUCAAUUUCCAUAUCAAAUAAUAUAAUUCAUGUUUUUCAUUUCAUUUUCCAUUUUAUUCAUUUUAGUCCUCUAUCCUGAUAAUCCCUACCAAACUUGAUCAAAACAUGACAUACUAUCAACAUAUACUCACCUCAAUUAUUCACCAAUCAAUAAACAUGCAUACGCAAGCAAAUAUUUUUAUCUCAAAUCAUAAAAGUACAAAUCGUGGUCUCGUGUCACUCAUCGACUACUCUCGCUUUCCCUUUCUCUCUCAAAGUUUCUACGUCAACGUUAGCUAUGAAUAGUCAUGAAACAUAACACACUAUCAAUUUCCCACCAAUCCAUAACAAAAUAUCAAUGUAUGCAUAUUUUUUAAUUUAUUCAAUUUAGUCCCUACAACUGGAACAAGCAUAACUUUCAAUCUAAAGUUUCGGAUUAAAAUUCGAUUUCACAUACAUUCAUUAGGAACCCUCUACUUUCUAUUCCUACUAAAAUUUCAUAAUAAUUUUUCAUUUUAUUCAAUUUAUUCCUUAAUGUGCGAAACUAAUAAUUAAACUUUACAAUUUAUUAUUCAAUUUAUUCCUUAAUGUGCGAAACUAAUAAUUAAACUUUACAAUUUACUCAUUUUCUUAAUCUAAGCUUAAUUUUUUAACAAUUCCACACCUAAUUUAUUCAAUUCUCAAUAAUGGCAACUUAUCAAAAUUUAACCAAUUGGUCAAAGUGAUCCAUGGGUUAGCUUGGUCAAGCUUCCAUGACAAAAAAAAUCUAUAAAAACCAAAGAAAAAUUACUAAGGACUUACUUGUAAUAUUGAUCGAAUAUCAAACUAGGUUUUAAGCUUUCUUCCUUCUUCAAAAAUGGUGGAUGGUGGUUCUUGAAAAGAAGAUGAUAACUUAAUCAUCUUUUUCCCACUUAUUUAACUUAUAUAGCAUGAUUAAUUUUAGUUAAACUUAAUUAAUUUGCUUAAUCAUGAUUAAUUAAACCUUAAUCCUUAAUUAACUUAAGUUAAUGAAAUUUAACAUCACAUCCCACUAUGAUCCAUAUAAAAUAGGUCUGUUGGCCAUUUUAUUCUCUUGGAUAAUUACUAUUUAAGUCCUCAAGCCUUAUCCUAAUAAAAAUCUAUAGUGAUUAAAAUUUUACAAUUUAGUCACUAGGUCUUAAUUAACCCCAUUUUUUUUUGCUAAAUUACCUAAACAAAUUUCAAUUCAUCAAUAUACUAACUUCAUAAAUAUCACUAUUUAAUAUUUACAAACUCGAUUUACGAUAACGAGGUUCUGAAAUUGCAUUUUCCAACACCACUAGAAAUUAGGUUGCUACAAACAUAACCUGAAUUAGGAAAGGAUUUUGUAAUAUUCAGUAAUGCAUCUCAUAAUGGUUACCGAUCAUAGGAGUUUGACGAAUUUUUUAGUGUUCAAUGACGCGUCUCAUAAAGGAUGUGGAUUGAUGCAAUAAGGCAAAGUAAUUACAUACGUUUCUCAACAACUCAAACCUCACAAGAAGAAUUAUCCUACUCACAAAUCUGAACUUGUAGCCAUAGUUUCUGUUUUAAGGAGAAAAUACCUUUACGGUAAGAGAUGUCAUGCCUUUAUCGAUCAAAAAAGUUUAAAGAAUUUGUUCACGCAAAAAUUAUUGAAAUAUCUCUGUAAUUCAAACUUUUAAUCCAACUAUUCGGUUACUUAGAGAGCUCUCAAGAAUUCUUAACACAUUAUUGAGAAAGGUGUCCAAUGGAUUAUAAAAUAUGGUUCCCGAAUUAGUUUCUGGCAUGAUAAUUAAACGAGCAUGGGUCCUAUUCUUUUUUUUUCAUUACCCCUUUCUACCCAAGGAAGAUUGUUUCUUGGUGAAAAACUUUUAUGUUGGCUCUUAUAACUCUUCCUUUGCUAUUUCAAACAACAUCAAUGAUUGUAUUCUUAUGCACCCCACUUCUUUUUUUUUUAAAAGAUGGUUUUGAUGUUUUGUGUUGGAAAGCCACUUCUAAAAUACUCUUUUUCAUGAAAUUACCUUAUCAUAUUGCCUCCAACCUUAUCAAUGCUCUUCUUGAUUCUAGUAAUUGGUUAUUGUCAGGGGCGAAUUUAGGGGGGCUGGUAAGGGCCUUGCCCCCCUAAAUUUGUAAAAUUUCAAUUGUGCAACACCCUAGACCCGGCUUAGAUGUCCAGUCCAAGUUUAGAGAGUUACAUUAUAAAUACUCAAAUACUACUCAAGCCAUAAUAAUACCAAACCAUGAUUCACAUAAAAAUUCAACACAAAGAUUAGUUAAAUAUAUAAUCUUCCGAAGUCAUACACUAUUAUAGUUUAAUGAAAAUCCUAUCAAAAUAUUUUAAAGAAAGCUAAUAGUUCGACUAAGCUCCCACGGCACCAACCCAUUCAAGUCUGUGAACGACCUGAAAUUCAAGCAAUAACAGAAUAAGUUGUGAAAUCAGUGCGUAAAAGAAAUUUAUUCAAUUAAUGCUCAUUUAAAAAGUAGUUCCAAAUUCAGAGAUUCAGUUCGAUAUAGAAGUAAUUUCAGUUUAGAUUCAGAGCAAAUCAGCUACAAAUGUACAUAUAUGCAAUUACAGGUCAUACACGAUACAAAUCAGAUUCAGAUGCAAUAUUCUCAUCCUCGCCCACUGCACACCAUCUUCGGCCAUCCCAAUACACCAUUAAGGAUAUUCAAUGCUCAGCCAACCCUAUACACCUUAAACUGUUCGUUGACACUUUUACAGAAAUGCAGCUUAGCUAUUAAUUCAAUAUUCGACAAGCGCCAGAAUCAGAUUUAUACACAUUGUGGCGUAGCCACGAUUUAGAACAGAUUUCUUCCUCCUUCACAAUAUCCCAGCCCAUGUCGGUGCAGAACACAAAUACCCAUAUGAUGUAUUCAGUCAUUCUAAUUCAUUUCACAAUCAAAUAAGAUAGUUCAACAUCAAAAUAAGCAUUCCAGUGUACUUAUAACUAAGUUGUUCACAGAUCAAUCUCAGGGUAUCAGACAGUUCUAAUAUAAUUAAUUUCAAUCAUUCGUAAAUCGAAGAGGCCAGUAUCAGUGUUAAGUAACAUUUUUAGCCUCGAAAAUAGAUUUUGGGCCUCAAUAACAUGCCACACGACCAAGUGGCACACCCAUGUGCCUUGCUCGUUUAUUUUCGAAGCAUAAACAAUGAAUUACAUGGUCUGGACACACACCUGUGUCCCUGGCCGUGUGGCUUUGUACCCAACACAGUGAGUUACACUGCCUGGGCACACGUUCGUGUCCCUGGCUGUGUGGUUUUGUACCAGAAAUAGUAAGUUACACGGCCUGGGCACACGCCUGUGUCCCUGGCCGUGUGGUCUUGUACCACAAACAGUAAGUUACACGGCGUGAGCACACGCUCGUGUCUCUGGCAGUGUGAGCUCUGCACUAAUAUGGCCAUACACGCUCUAGACACACGACCGUGUGCCUUGUAAAAUUAAGGUUUUCGGUACACACCUAAUUUUGCUUUGACGGAGAAACAACACGAAGACUAUCCGGAACCUAAUUAAUCACUCAAUAAUCAAUUACACCAUCGAUUUCAAAAUUUUAGCAAAAUCAACCUACCGCCAAGAUUAUGUCGAAAGUUUUGAUGCAAUCCCAAGUCAAUUUGUAUACUCACCUCGCACGAAAUAGAGGAAAUCAGACUAACACGGCGAAAUAACGUCUCUUGUAAUAUUCUCGCCUAAAAAGAUAACCAAUCAAAUGAUUAAACAGAAUGUUCAAGCAACCGAGAAAAAUCCCAUUUCAAUAGAAUAUUGUUAACACCACAAAACUUGCAAAAUGAGAGAAAAUUGACGACGAAACUUGCUAAAUACUCGCACAAUCAACCUUACAAGUAACAAAGAACUUCCAAUUAAUGCAGAAUUGAAUAAUUUAAAAGGAAAAAUAAAAGAACAGAAGAACCAGAAAAGAAAACAACUUUUAAAAAACAAAGAAGAAGGUACGAUAGAAUUUCUUUAGACUAUCUUAAGUUAACCACCAUCCCACAUUCUUGCAUUUGCAAAAAAUAUUUCCUAAUGCAUAUGAUGGGAUUCGAACUCACAACCAAACAGAAUAUAGACAGAUGCUUAACCAGUGAACUAGCAGGCUCAUUCUUGAUACCGAUUUACCCAGAAUUGGACUUAACUACGAAACACAUGGAUGAAGGUUGUUUUAAAAAUAAUAACAAAACUUUUAACGAUGCUACUGAAACUUCAGACCUUAAACACAGAAGCAUAGCACAGAACCACAUAUACGAAAAUUUAAUUACUGUAAUUUCUCACAAUUAAAUUCUUAAAAAUUUGGGGCAUUACAACUCUCCCCCUAAAAGAAAUUUCGGCCUCAAAAUUUUACCUAAGUCAAACAGAUACGAAUACAGUCAUCGGAUUGAUUCUUUCGAUUCCCACGUGGCUUCCUCAGUACCAGGGUUCCAUCAUAGGAUUUUCACUAGAAGAAUAGUUUUCUUCCUUAGCAUCUGAACAUCACAUUCUAAGAUCUAGACAGGUUCCUCUUUGAAUGCUAAGUUCGGCCGCAAUUUAAUCUUGUCGACAGUAACAAUAUGUGACGGAUCCAACCGAUACCGUCUCAGCAUCGAGACAUGAAACACAUCGUCAAUCUAAUUUAGCUUCGACGAUAAUUCUAACUGGUAUGCAACAAGUCCGACACGCUUUAAGAUACGGUAAGGCCUAUUGAACCUCGGGUUUAAUUUGCCAUUAUGUCCGAAACAGAGGACCUUUUUCCACAGUAAUACUCUCAAGAAGACUUAAUCACCAACAGAAAACUCGAUGUCUUUUCUUUUUAAAUUAAUAUAGGACUUUUGCUGAUCAGAUGUGGCUUUCAAACGGUCCCGAAUUACUCUCACAGUGUUCUCAGUUUUAGAAACCAGCUUAUGACCCCAUAUCUGACGUUCAUUUAAUUCUAUUUAACAUAGCGAAGUACAACACUUACGACCAUAUAAGGCCUCGUAGGGUGCCAUCUGAAUACUAAACUGAAAGUUGUUAUUAUAUGCAAACUCCGCCAACGGUAGGUAGUCCUCCCAACUACCCCAGAAAUCUAUCACACAAUCUCGAAACAUAUCCUCCAAGAUCUGAAUAACUCGCUCCGACUAUCCAUCGGUCUAAGGGUGAUACGCAAUACUGAAUUUAAGUCAGGUGCCUAAGGCCUCAUGGAGUUUCUUCUAGAAUCGAGAUGUAAAUCGUGGAUCCCUGUCAAAGAUGAUUGAGAUCGAAAUUUUGUCUAAUCUCACAAUUUAGGUGAUAUAUAGUUUAACUAACUUCUGUUAGGAGUAAUCUGUCCGAAUGGGUAUGAAGUGGGCUGAUUUGGUCAAUCGAUCCACCAUGACCAAAACCGUUAGUAGGGAUUAGAGGCAACCCACUAACAAAAUCAAUCGUUAUCUUCUCCCACUUCCACUAAGGAAUUUUAACUGGUUGAACUAACCCGGAUGGCAGCUAAUGUUCCGCCUUAACCUUUUGGCAUGUCAGACAGUGGGACACAAAAGCGACUACCUCUCAUUUCAGUUCGGGCCACCAGUAGAAUUCUCGAAGAUCCUGAUACAUUUUGUUCCCAGUAAAAUGCAUAGCAUAUGGACUACUAUGCGCCUCCUGAAGGAUCGAAUGCCUCGACUCUUUGUCAUUAGGUACACAAAUCUGACCUUUAAAGCACAACACGUUAUCGCUAUUCAAGCCAAAAUCGAAAGUCUCAUUCGAAUCAACAUGCUGCAGACGCUGAACUAAGGACUCAUCGCUCAAAUGUUUUGCUCUAAUCUACUCUACCAAAUCGAUAUUACCUGUAAUUUAGCCAACAGCCCUCCAUCCUCGACCAAACUCAGACGAGCUAACAUUGCUCUCAGAUCAGUCACCUCUCUACGGCUAAGGGCGUUAGCUACCACAUUAGCCUUACCUGGAUAGUACUCUAUCGUGCAAUCGUAAUAUUUAAGUAACUCAACCCAUCGACGCUAUCGAAGAUUUAAUUCUUUUUGGGUUAGUAAAUAUUUAAGACUCUUGUGAUUGGUAUAAAUAAUACACGUUUCACAAUAUAGAUAGUGUCUACAGAUUUUUAGAGCAAAUACAACCACAGCUAGCUCAAGAUCAUGCGUAGGGUAAUUACCCUUGUGUGUCUUAAGCUAUUGCGACGCAUAAGCGACCACUUUACCAUCUUGCAUAAGCACACACCCAAACCUAACAUGUAAAGAAUCACUGUACACCAUAAACUCUCGGGCUGAUAUUCGGUUGAACUAAGUCAAAAGCUUGUGUCAAAACGGACUUGAGUUUAUCGAAACUAAACUGUUGUGCCUCAGACCACACGAAUGGAGUAUUCUUAUGCAGCAAUUUCGUCAGAGGUGACGCAAUUAGAGAAAAUCUUUCGACAAACCUUCAGUAGUAACCGGCUAAUCCCAGAAGCUACGAAGUUCAGAUAUAUUUUUUGGUCUUUCCACUCAACAAUAGCUUCUAUCUUCUUAGGAUCAACUAGGAUCCCUUCCACCAUUACUACAUGACCCAAAAAAGUGACUUCUUGCAACCAAAACUUGCACUUAUUAAACUUGGCAUACAACUAUUUUUCUUGGAGUAUCUGAAGUACAAUACGAAGAUGAUCAUCAUGCUCAGCUUCAAUUUUAGAUUAGAUCAGGAUAUCAUUGAUAAAAACCAUUACGAAUGGAUUCAAGUACGGUUGGAACACCAGAUUCAUUAAAUUCAUAAAUGCCAUCGGGGCAUUCAUUAAACUGAAAUGCAUUACCAGAAACUUGUAAUAUCCGUAAUGAGUCCUAAAGGCAGUUUUGUAAACAUCAGUCUCUUUGACCUUGAGCUGAUGGUAAUAAGAGAAUAAAUCGAUUUUGGAGAAAACGGAUGCUCCUCGAAACUGGUUGAACAAGUCGUUAAUCCUCGGUAGCGGGUACUUAUUUGUUAACUUGGUUAACAGCUACUAAUCUAUGCACAUCCUCUUUGACCCAUCUUUCUUCUUAACAAACAACACCGGCACCCCCCAUGAAGACACACUCGGCCGAAUAAAUCAUCUAUUAAGGAGUUUCUGAAGCCGUGCUUUUAACUUGGUCAGCUUUUUUGGACACUAGAGCAAUACUUGAUAACAAAUCAAUUCCAAACUCCACCUCUCUAUCUAGAGGUACUCCAGUCAAUUCCUCAAGAAAGAUGUCUGAAAACUCCCUCAUUGUGCGGAUAUCUCCCACUAAAAGUUUCGCGAGAACAUAAUCGGAUACGUAAACAAGGUAUACCUUGCACCCCUUUUGAACUAACUUGUCUGCUACAAGAGCGAAGAUUAAAUUAGAGAGGUAAUUUCGACACUCACCAACCAUGACCACCUCGUCAUUCUCAUUUGACCUCAAAGUAACUCUCUUGGUUGCACAAUCUAGACUGACCCGAUACUCAAUGAGCCAAUCCAUUCCCAAAAUUAGAUCAAACUUAUUAAAGGGUAAUUCCAUUAGAUCAACUGAGAAUACCAUACCCUAGAGCUCUAGGGGUACCCAUCUGUAUACUGUAUCAACUCAAAUUGACUGACCCAAAAGACUAAUCAUAGAAAACUCUUUAGCAGUAUUCUCAGCGGUUAAACCUAGAUUUACAGAAACAUCACUAGCUAUAUAUGAAUGAGUAGAGCCAAUAUUAAUGAGAGCAUAAUACGGAACAGAAUGAAUAAAGAAGGUACCUACUAUGACAUCAGCAUCAUCGCUCUCCUCGCAGUGUCUCGCUUCAUAAAUUAAUACUGAUUGACGAGCCUCAGCCUGACCUGCACCUCUACACAGUAUUCUCUGUCCUCUCCUAGAUCCAUUACCACCGAUACCAGUACCCAACCUCUGAAUGGUAAUUGAACCUCUCUCGGAAGCCAAACAAAAUUUGGCCCCGGAGUCUAUACCGCAGUUAGCACUGAAUCUGGUCGUCGAGGGCAAUCCCUAACUCGAUGCUCCAUUGACCCGCAAAGGAGGCAUGCUCUUAACUUCCUCCUGCACUUGCCCGGACGACGCUUCCCAUAACGACUACACAGCUGAAUCUCAGUCGCAACAGUUAGUGUCUCAACUCUCAGAGGUCUGUCAAACCUCAUCCGCUUCUUAGGGCAUUGACCCGAACUAGAUGAGCCUAAAUCCCUCUUAAUCUUAUUAUGAUCCUUCUCAUGAUCACGUCACUCGCACUCAGUACACUUCACUUCUUCCAAUACAUUUGCUUUGUCAAAUAAGACCGCAAAAACCCGCUCCUUCUAAGGAGCUACCAGAACUUGCGGAUCAUAUCUCAAUCCCUCCUCAAAUCGCACACACUUGUCGUAGUCGGACGCUACCAAAGUCCAUAUAUACGUACUCAGUUGCAGAAACUCGACUUCAUAUUUAGCCACAGAUCGGUCACCCUGAACUAGGCUCAUAAACUUACGUUGGUAGCUUCAACAUAAUUCCCCCACAUACUUACCCUAGAAGGCGUUCUUGAAAUAAUCCCCAUUAACAUGUUCAGGAUGAGUACCUUGUUCAACUGUCAACCACCACCAAUAGGCUUCAUCCUAGAGUAGAGACGCAGCACCCUCAAUAUCUAAGUGGGAGUACAGUCGAGAUCAGUUAUUAUACGCUCAGUAGCCUCGAGCCAAUAUUCAACAACAGUAGGAGCGACUCCUAUGACACUCUUUAAUAAUUUAGGCUCAUUCUACGGCAGUCGUUUAGUGAUCAACCCUCGACCUCUCGAUCUCGAAUGCGUCUCUGUAACCCUCUCUAAUGCUCGAAUCAUGGCCUGAGACAGUCUGUCAUCCCUAGCCAUUAGAGUAUGGGACUCCGUUUCAGUAGUAGGUGAACCAACCGUCUCGCUGGUCUCUAGAUUGGUCAUACUACCCAUAGAGGAUGACUCUACUCGAGCUCCUCCUCAAAAUCCUUAACGCUCCGGCAUACCACGUCCAUGACUACCACGCAAACUCAUUAUGGUAAUCUAGCUAGAAUAUCAGAAUACACAGAUCAAUUCACACAUCCAGCAGGAUGAUUUCACCAAUUCAUAUCAAAACAUUUUACCCAUAACAGUUUAAGUAUUAUAAUCUUUAUAACAGAAUGGAAAUACUUAUAGGGUCAGUGUCGGAAGCUCGGCCAUUCACUAAAAUGUCAGUGUUUCUAUAUUAGUUCAGAUACUAAAUUAUCACUAAGCUACUUUUCUCAUACAUUAUGAGCCCAAACACAAUUCGAGUGUUGACAUGUUGAUGCAGAACACAAAUACCCAAAUCAUGUAUUCAGUCAUUCUAAUUCAUUUCACAAUCAAAUAAGAUAGUUUAACAUCAGAAUAAGCAUUAUAGUGAACUUAUUAUAACUAAGUUGUUCACCAAUCAAUCUCAGAGUACCAAACAGUUCUAAUAUAAUCAAUUUCAAUCAUUUUUACUUCGAAAAGGCUAGUAUAAGUGUUAAGUAACAUUUUCAGCCUUAAAAAUAUAUUUUGGGCCCUAAUAACAUACCACAUGGCCAGGUCACAUGCCCAUGUACCUUGCCCGUGUGGUUCCAAAGCAUAAACAGUGAGUUACACGAUCUGGACACACGCCUGCAUCCCUACCCGUGUGACUCACACGGGCUGGGUACACGUCUGUGUAGCUUUGUACCCUAAACAGUAAGUUACACAGCUUGGGCACACGCUCGUGUCCCUGGUCGUAUUGUCUUGUACCACAAAUAGUGAGUUACACAGCUUAGGCACACGCUUGUGUCCCUAGCCGUAUGGUCUUGUACCACAACUAGUGAGUUACACGGCCUAGGCACACGCACGUGUGCCUAGAUGUAUGAACUUUGCACUAAUAUGGCCACACACGGCCUAGACACAUAAUGGUGUGCCUUGCCUAUGUGGCCCUAAAUCGAAUGAACAGUGAGUUAUAUGACCAACCACACGACCUGGGCACACGCCCUUAUGCCUGGCCGUGUAGCACCGACAACCACCAUUUUUGGUGACCUGAAACUUGCAAAAUUAAGGUUUCCGGUACGCACCUGAUUUUGCUUUGACGGAGAAACAACACGGAGACUACCCGAAACCUAAUUAAUCACUCAACAAUCAAUUACACCAUCGAUUUCAAUAUUUUAUCAAAAUCAACCUACCGCCAAGAUUAUGUCGAAAGUUUUGAUGUAAUCCCAACUUAAUUCACAUACUCACAUCACACGAAAUAGAGGGAAUCAGACUAACACAACAGAAUAACAUUUCUUACAAUAUCCUCACCUAAAAAGGUAACUAGUUGAAUGAUUAAACAGAACGUUCAAGCAACUGAGCAAAAUCUUGUUUCAAUAGAAUAUAGUUAACACCACGAAACUCACAAAACGAGAGAAAAAUAACGAUGAAACUUGCUUAAUACUAGCACAAUCGACCUUACAAGUAAAAAAGAACUUCCAAUUAACACAGAAUUGAAUACCAUAAAAGGAAAAAUAAAAGAACAGAAAGAGAACCGAAAAAGAAAAUAACUUUUGAAAAACAAAGAAGAUGGUACGAUAGGAUUUCUUCAGACUAUUUUAAGUUAACCACCAUCCCACUUUCUGGCAUUUGCAAAAAAAUAUUUCCUAACGCAUACGAUAGGAUUCAAACUUGGAAGCAAACAGAAUAUAGACAGAUGCUUAACCAGUGAACCAGCAAGCUCAUUUUUAAUACUGAUUUAUCCAGAAUUGGACUUAACUAUGAAACACAUAGAUGAAGGUUGUUUUAAAAACAAUAAUAAAACUUUCAACGAUGCCACUCAAACUCCAAACCUUAAACACAGAAGCAAAGCAUAGAACCACAAAUACGAAAAUUUAAUUACUACAAUUUCUCACAAUUAAAUUCUUAAAAAUUUGGGGCGUUACAAAUUGAGUCCUUUUGAAUUUCAAAAGAUUUUUUAUUUUGACCUUAUAACUAGUACUUAAAAUAAGAUAAAUUAUUUUGGCCCCCAAGUUUUUUCAUUGUUUCUUUUAAUUUGAUUUAUUUUAUAUAAUCUAUAAAUUUUUAUGAUAAAUUUAGUAACACUUUUAGUUUAAUUUGAUAAAUUAAUAUAAAGUAGUGUUUAAAUAUUUAUUUGCUAAAAUAGUCACAUAAUUUCAAUAUCUAAUCAUAAAAUAGUAUCUAAAUAUUAAUUAGGUAAAAAAAUAAACUUAAAUAAUUAUAAUAUUUCAUACAAAUUGAGUAUUUAACUUAAUUUGUUUUUUUCUAAAUGUUAAUUUUGGUGAUCAAGAUUAUCUAAAAUUUAAAAAUACAUUGUUUUAUGGGCCAAGCUUACUUUCAACAUGUCUAUUUUAUAUAAAUACUUCGCCUCCCUCAUUAUCAAUAUUUCUGGCUUCGCCCCUAGUUGUAGGUUUGGAACCUCAAACUUCCACUUACACUCUCCUUUUCUCAUUUUGGAAAUUGUGGCCCUCUUCUCCCAAUUUGAUCUUUUCUUUGUUUUAAAGGUCUUGACAUCUCUGUUGUAUGCACUUUCUGCAACUCUUACCCUGGGACAAUUGAACAUGUACUUCGAGAUUGUUCAUUCACUUAUCAUCUCUAGAGCCUUUUUUCCUUAUCCCCCUUCAACUAUAGGUAUGUUCUCCCUUCCUUUAAUGGAUUGGCUCAAUGCUAAUUUGACAUUUAAAUCCUCCUUUCCCCAUCAUCUCAUUCAUUAGCCAACCAUGUUUGCUUUCUUCCUUAAUGGGUUUUGGAUUGCUAGAAAUGCAAUCAUCUUUGACAAACCCAUAAGUGAAAAUGAUAUUCGAUCUAAAUUUAUCACUCUUGCUAUAGAGUACUUUGUUAUUUUACAUAAACCAAAUUUCGAGUAUAUUCUACCUCACUUCACGUCAAAUGGAACCUUCCUUUAAAUGGAUGGUUUAAAGUUAAUUAUGAUGGUUCCUCAUUAGGAAAUCCUGAAACUGUUGGUUUGGAGCCAUUAUUCGUGAUCAUAAUAGUAAUUGGAUUGUCGAUUUUCAUUGUUAUCCGAGCAUGACUACUAAUAUUAUGGCUUACCUUUGGGCUCUUAGUGAUGGCCUUGUGCUUGCUCACAAUGUAACAGCCCAAUUUCAGUAAUGUCGAAAAUGGUGGUUUUGAGACCACAACUCUGACAAGUGAGUUGUUAUUUUGAUAUAUAUUUAAUGUUUAUAGGGUUAGUUUAAGGUAUUAUUAAAUUUUUGUCAAGAAAUUUUGAAGAUUAAAUGGUUAAUUAAGUAAAAAGGACCAAAUUGUGAAAGACACAAAAGUUGGUCUUUAAUAGGUAAAUGGAUUAAAUGGCUUUUGAAAUGCAAAUUAAAGGACAUAGAUGGUAUUUAUACCAUAUGAAAGUUAAUAGACAAUUAUGGGUUUAUUUUUGUCAUUUUGUAAACUAAUAAACUAAGGAUAAAUUAAAUUAGUAAUUAAUAAACAAAUCUUAAACUAAAUUAAGCAAAUAGUGUCAUCUUCCUAAAAUUCUUCUCUUUCACCGAAAUUGAAGAAAUAAAACACCAUUUUUAUGGCUUUAAGGUUCGGCCAACAUAGGAGUAUUUCAUGGUAAGAUUUUGUGACUCGUUUUUAGUAAUUUUUAUAUUUUUGAGCUCGUUUCAACUUAAUCUACCUAGCCCAGGGGUUAAUUUGCAAAGUUGUUAAAUGUUGAGGAACCUGCAAAGUUGAUAGAUUAUUAAUUUUUAUUGUUAAAUUAACAUGAUUUGUUAAGUGAAUUUAGGAUUUAGCGAUUAAAUAGCUUAAAUGGUAAAUUCUAUGAAUUUUGAGUGAAAUGAGUAAAAAUGUGGAUUGAUAUAAGUAUAGGGAAGAAUCAGAUAACAUGUUUUGGGUUAGGAAAAUGGUGAAUUUUCAAGUUAUGGGCUUAAGGACUAAGUUAUAUAAAAGUUAAACUAUUAGGGGUAAUUUUGUAAUUUUAGAUUAAUAUGAAUUAUAGGUUGAAUUGAAUACUUGAGAUUAAUUGAAGUACUUAGUUGAAUUAAAUUAGUUAAUUGAAGUACUUAGUUGAAUUAAAUUAUCUUAGAUCAGGAUAAACAACAAUCGGACUUAAAUUGAGGAAAGGCAAAAGCUUUGGAUUAAUCUCCAACUCUACUUUUGUGACUAUGGUUAUCGAGGUAAGUUUGUAUGAACUAUAAUCUUAUUAAUGAUAGUUGAUUGAUUAUAUACUAUAUUAUGUUGGUUAUAAAUUGACUUGAAUAUAUAAAUAGAUUGACGUUUUGAGUAAUUGAUGGAUAAAUAAUAUCGUUUGAACCUUAAGAAUUCUUAAGAUACGAAUGACAUGUCAUUAGGGAUUUCAUGUUUCAAGUGUUGGUCUUAAAUGUCCUACUGAUGGUUGAGGUCCUGCAUUUGUUGCAGAUUCUCCACAGCUCGUGUGAGCAGCAUCGUGUAGCUAACAUUCUGACCUACAACUCGUGUGAGUACUAUUGAAAAGGAAAGGUUACGGUUAUAUGGAAAGGCACACUAUGUGUGAGCAUUCCCAAGUAUCCAAUGUAAUUCUAGAUGGUUCAAUGGGUAAGCAAAGGUUAAUGGCAAUGUAUGUAUACAAUUGUAUAAUGGUACAUAAUCUUAUGAAAAGGUUAAUGUAAUAAAUGGUGUGUACAUGUAAAUCUACUUAUGAUAUGGUUGAACUUAUAUAUAUCAUGUAUGAACUUACUAACUUGUAAAUUUGGUGGUGCUUAUAUAGGAUUUUACUAAGCUUAUGAACAUGGUAAUGUUGUUAUGUAUAAUUUACAAAUUGAGCUUAAGAAUGGUAAGUUAUGUUUGAGUUUAUACGAGCUUACUAAGGACUAGUUGUUUACGUAGUUAUUUUCCUUUGUUUCAUAUAUUAUCAGAAGCUCGAUCGAUUGGAAGCUUCUCAGAGAUUUAUCACACUAUCCAGCAAUCACUUUGGUAGUUUUUGAGUUAUUUUGGCUAAGGUUAUAAAUGGCAUGCAUAGGACCUUUUUAUAAUGAAUGUCUUUGAGUAUGUUAAUGAAAAUUUUGGUAUGAGUAUGUCUUUUAUGUAUUCACUUUGUUUGUGUGGACUUAUAAUGUUUUAGCAAAUUUUAUACCCUUAGGUAUUUUGUAAUAUAUGGUGUGGGUGGUUGUUUAUAUAUUAAAGCCAUAUGAUUAUGGUCAUUUUAGUAUGUUUUAAUGAAAGGUGAAUGGUUUGACAAUUGAUGUCAUUAGGUAGCUUAUUUGACUAUGUUUUUGUGUUUGAGGUAUGGUAUUAUAGCCUUUUUUUGAUUGAAGUUGUUUUUGUACAAAUGUGGUGCUUUUGAAUGGCAUAUUAGUUAGGUGAAAUAGGUUGAUUGAAUUUGUAACAACCCGAUUCUAGGCCUAGUCGGAACAGUGGUUUCGGGACCACAAAUCCGACAAGGGAAAAUAUGAUUAUUAUUAUAUUUUUAUGGUCUACAAUUUCACAGAAAAUUUUCGUAAAAAUUUCGUUCAAAAAUUUCGACGUUUGGGCACUUAAUUUAGUCAAAAGGACUAAAUUGUAAAAAGUGCAAAAGUUGAGUUCUACAUCUUAGAGGUGUCUAAUUGUUAUGAAAUUUUAAAUUGGAGGUCUUUAUAUGGUAAUUAGACCAUUAGUUAGUUGAUGGACAAAAAUGGGCAUAGAAUUAGUGAAAUAGAUUUUUUUUAAAGUAAGGGCAUUUUAGUCAUUUGGUUAUUAAAUAGAAUUAAAUGGGAAAAAGAUGGAAAAAUAUGCUCAUCUUCUUCAUGGUGAACGAAAUCAGCAAGGGGGAAGCCAUAUUUAGGGUUUUUAAGCUUUCAAGCUCCAUAGUAAGUGAUUCCAAGCCCCGUUUUUAAUGUUCUUUACGUUUUUAGAGUCUCUGUAACUUGGUUUAGCUUAUUCCACCAUUAAUUCGUGUUAGGGUUUAUAUUUGGAAAAAUACCCAUAGGUGAAAUGUGUUUAUUUUGAUGUUUAAUGGUAGAAUAUGAAGCUAAAAAUUAUGUUAAACAAUUUUUGCUAAGCGAUUUUAAACGAAAACUGGUAAAUUGACAUAAUCGGUAAAAAUACCUAAUGUUCAAAAGUGUGUGUUAGAGUGAGAAUUUGAUGUUGUCAUAGAAGGGAAAAAUGUUCAGCAUGUCAUAAAACAUAAGAAUAAGAGAUGAAUUUUAAUUUUCGAGCUUAGGGACAAAAGUGUAAAUAUGUAAAAGUUUGGGGGUAAAAUUUUAAUUUUUCAAAAAGUUGGGUGGAGGACUAUUUUAUUAAAUGUGAACAUUUAAUGAGUUAAAUUUGCUAUUAUAGAUCAAGAAAGACGAGAAGACUACCUCAAACGGGGAAAAAAGAAGAUAGUGGAGUAAAUUACAAAAUUACGAUAUUUUGCACCAAGGUAAGUAAACAUGUGAUUUAAUGCAUUAUUUUGACAUCAUUCAAUAUAUGUUGGGAUUUAAUAGAACAUAGAAUAAAUAUUCGGCAAGAUUCUAAAAAUGUGGUUAAGUUGGGAAAGGUGGUAAAAUGUUGAAAAUAUGGGUUCCGGUUGAACACUCGGAAUAAGCCGAAGUAUUUUAAAUGUGAAGGGGGUUGCUAAGUGCUGAUUCCCCCAACGGGUUGCUAAGUGCUGAUUCCCCGACUCAUUGGUGGUUGCUAAGUGCUGAUUCCACCGUAUCUUGAAUAUAAAGGGGGUUGCUAAGUGCUGAUCCCCCCAAGGGGUUGCUAUGUGAUGAUUCCCCGAAUCAUUGGUGGUUGCUAAGUGCUGAUUCCACCAUAUCUUUGAAUGUGAAAGGGGUUGCUAAGUGCUGAUUCCCCGAAUCACUGGUGGUUGCUAAGUGCUGAAUCCACCGAUAAUGGUUAAUAUUCCGAGUGUCCAACGAGUAAACUGGGAAGGUGAAUAUUUAUAUGUGGUGGACAAGCUUAUAGGAGGAAUAUUGGGUUUGAUACUUAAUCGACCAUGUAUAAGGUGGGAUGAAAUAUCAAAAAUACAACAGGAACAAUUUAAUUACAAAACUGUUUUGAACAACAGCAGUUGGGCAACUUUGAAAAAUCACCAUAAAUGGUGGAAAAUGAAUUAGAGGUUGAAUAAUAUAUGUAAUUGAAGCUGAAUGAGUCUAUUUUCAUACGAAAGAAACAUAGCAAGCAAAAGAGUUGUAUAUUUGGGGAUAUUUGAAUUUAUUUGAGACAGGGUUGGAUUGAUUCGAAAUCCCCUGUUCCAACUUUGGAAAAUCACUAAAAAUUGUAAAAAAAUAAUUUUGGCCUGAAAUUUAUAUGCCUGGAUUCUUUAAUGAGUCUAUUUUUAAUAUAAACAAACAAAAACAUUUUUCGAAUUUUUUACAGGGAGUUAAUUAAAGUUUAAUAAAGGGAUGUCAGAACCGUCAGGCAGUGAAACAUGAGAAUCUUUAAAGAAUAAACUGUACUAAUUGGAUAAAUAAAAAAUUCUGAAAAUUUUAUGGUGGAAAGGUAUAUGAGUCUAGUUUCGGGGAAAAUUUACGGAAUCCAAUUUGGAGCCCUGUAGCUGCAGAUAAAAAUAAAUUGGUGACUGUGACUCAGAAAAACAGCUUGCUGGAAAUUGAACAGUUGAUGAAAUUUAAGUGUGAUUAAAAUUAUGUUACUAUGUAAUCAUGUGAGGAAAUUAUUUAUUUGUCAUAUGUUUACUUACUAAGCUAUAUGCUUACUCGUUUUUAUUUUCCCUUGAUUAUAGUGACAUCAAUCAGCUCGGAACUUGAACGACGUCAGAUAAUCAUCCACACUAUCAUCAAUUUUUUGGGUGUUUUGCAACUAAUACUUUGGAAACAUGGCAUGUAUAGAUGACUUUAUGUAUUGCGGUUUAAAUAUGUAUAUAUAUAUAGUAUGGUUCGGUUUAAAAUGUUGGUGUUUGUUAAUGGAUAAAUUGUGUUUGAACAUACAACUGUAUUUGGUUGGAAUAUUGAAUAUGUUUGGGAUUGUGUUCGAAAAUUUGCAGGGGAUUUUAUGUAAAAAUAAGCAGAAAUGCUGCCGAAAAUUAAAAAAAAAAUAGUAAUAUCUCAUACUCAGUUCCGUUAAGGAAUACGGGUAAGGGGUGUUACAGAAUUGGUAUGUUUAUGUGUAUUUGAAAGAUGUUUUGGUCUAUUGAAUGUAUGCAUAAAUGGAGUGGGUGAUUGGGUAAAUUUUGGUCUUAAAAUGGCUUGUUUAGGGUCAAAUUAUGGAGCAUACUGCCUGGGACACGAGUUGUCACACAGCCUGGCUACGCGGUCGUGUGUCACUUAUUAUUUAAAUUCAAGACUCUGUUAAGCAUAUUCCUAAGUAGUCAGCUUCAACAUACCUACAAGGAGGGUACUUGUUGCACUAAUGCUUUGGCUAAUGCUAGAAUUCAUGUUAAUCCUAACCUUUUUGUCUCAUGUUAAUACCUCUAAUGACUUUUAUGUUGUGUAUUUUGAAAUCCCAGACUUUAUGCGUACUCUUGUGAAUGCCAACUUAGUUGGCACACCUUUAUAUCAUACUCUUUAUAACUAAAUAAAACUCUCCUUUUAUAACAAAAAAGAAAAGGACAGAAAGUGGAUAAAAAAAGAAAGAAAGGAAAAACGAAAAGGAGCGGAGAGGGUUGAGGAAAUAGCUGACUGAAUGUUGGUAGGCUUUUAUCUAGCAUGAUAAUCCAUUAUUCGAAAGGAGGGCAUUCAGGAGAGAGGGGAGGAGAUGAAAGAAAAAGAGAAUAAAAACGGGAUGAAGAGGGAGAAAAGAUGAGGAAGAGCUUAGCCAUCUACUAUCUAGUUGUCCUAAAGCAAAACUGCCACUUGUUUGUCUUAUCUAAUUGGGCUAUGGUUGAUUAUAGACUUGUCUAAUGACUAGGCCACUUAAAGGAAGAGGAAAAAAAACACUUUUUGUAAUAUUUGGAAAAACGAGUUUAGGGGGGGGAGAGAGAGAAUGUCCAUUUAGAAAAUGGUUUGAACUUGGAUUUCAAUAUUCAAUGCCCAAGCACAACCCAUUUUCUAACUUUAUAAUAUAAUAUAUUAACUUUAUUUUAUUGUUAUAUACUACGUAAUAAGAAUUAAAUAUAUAAUACUAUAAUGAAUAUAUAUUUUUAAAAGAAAAGUAAAAAAGAAUAGGUCUAAACAAGCUUGAAUUAGCUAUUUAUAAAUAUAAGUAAGUUUGGACAAAAUUUUAAGUUCAUAUUUCGGACCGAGUCAAACUUGUCCAAAUAUUUAUGAUAUUAUUAACAUGCAUAAAUUUGACUUGACUUAACCCAAGAGCACAUCUAAUUGAGCACAACCUCUCCUCCUUUCUUUUACUAUUUUUUUAUAGUUUAAAAUCUAAAAAAAAUCAUAAUAUUUUUUUAGCAAAAAAAUUAGAAUUUCUUUUUUUGAAUUCCUAUAUAAUUUUUUUAAAAAAAUUUCAAUAUACAUUAAACUUUUAAUAUUAUGCUUUUAAAUCUAUAAUAUUUUAUAACUUUACAAUAUGUUUGGGUAAAUAAUUAUAAAAUAUGUUUGAAUCUAUAUGUUUACUGCAAUAUGGUUAUUAAGAGGUUGAGUACUGCUUUAUCUCGUAGAAGAAGGAUUUGUACUAGAUGAUCAUAGGUUGGGUCAAUGUAAAAAUUUUAAAUUUGUUUUUCAGGUCCGGACUCGGCUUAACUAAACAAAUGGGCCUAAAAUUUUAUUUAAGUUCAACCCAGAUAAAAAAUACUAAAUCUGGACCCGUAUUAAAUUUUUUAGAUUUUUUAUAUAAAAAUAAAUUUAAAAAAUAUAAUACAUCAAAUACUCUAAACACAUUAAAAUAAAUAUUUCUCAACAAAUUGAAAAUAUAUUUUAAAAAAAUUCUUUAUAUUUAAAUAACACUAACAUAGUUAUAACUUAGCAAACAAAUGUUUCUAAAAUAAUUGAAAAAUUAAAAAUAAAAUAAGAGUUAUACAAUAUCUAAAUAAUAGUAGUAAAAUAGUAAUAAUAUAAUAGUGAAACAGUAGCAAAAUAACAACAUAACAGCAAAAAAAUAACAACAUAAAAUCAGUAAACAGCAGCAAAAAAAUAAUUAAAUUCGAGUAAGGUCCAAACUAAAAAAAAUCUUGUCUGAGGCUCAGCCCAUUUAAAACGCGAAUCUUAUUUUUUUCGAAGUUUAUUUUUUGGGUUUAUGUUAUUACCUAAACUCUUUGUGUUUUGAAUGGACUUUGUAAUUCGACUCAUGAUCAAGUCUACUUUAUAAUAAACGCUAUAUAUGAUUGGAAAGAUGGUUUGAUAGGGUACUAAAAUUAAAUGAAAAAUCAUUUAAAAACAAAUUAAAUAUUCAAACAUUAAAUAUAUAUUUUAUAUAUAAUUGGUUUGAACUAAAUUAACAAAUACUUUGAUAAUUUUCAGAAAAUUCCUGUAACGAGAGAAUUAGUCACUGUUGCUAGCGGUUAAUAUCUUUGAUUUCAAUUAAAAAAAUUAUCAAAAUACUUUUUUGAAUAUGAUUUAGUGCAAGUUGCACAAGUAGUUUAAAAUUUGAAGACAUUAUUACUAUUUAAGAUGUAAAUAUAUUUUUUAAAUUGAAACAUUUAAUAUACUUUAUUAUUUUCUAUUUUUUUUUUAAAAAUGAACUAAAUUAAAAAAUGUGCAACAAACUAAAUAGUUAGAAGUUUUAAAUUUAAAUCAAAUUUGAAAUAUAUGAUCUACAUGAAUAUACCAUAAAAUAUAAUGAUUGUAUCAUUAAAAUAUUAAUCAUAUAAAUAGUUACGGAAGUGUGUAAAAUUACUUUAAUUUUUACAUUGUGUAAGUAGAUCAUUCCCCUUAAUAUUAAUAAAUUUUCAUUUUGUUAUAACAUAAUAUUUAAAAUAUGAAUUAAGAUUAAAAAAUAAAUUAUAAAUAUGAAUAUAAAUAGGGUGAGGAAUUAAUACCUUUUUUUAUUCCACAAAUAACUUUAAAAAUUGACAUGUCUCUCUUUCCUUUAAAUAUUUUAUUAUACCAUUAUAAAACACUUGUCAAUCUCUUGGUACUGUUAGUGGAGUCUAAAAACUCCAUUGGCAGUGAACUAAAUGAUUUCUCAUAACUUAUUAUUGAAGUUAUUAAAUUCCACAAGUAAAGUCAAGAGGUUGAUAAAUACCUUUUAAAAGUAUAAUAAAAUAUUUUAAAAAUUAAAUAUUUUAAUAUUGCUUGUAGAAUAAAUAAAUAAAACAGUAUAAUUUUGAAUUAGUUGAAAAUAAUUUAAAUAAUAAUUAGAAAACUAUUUUUUAAAAGAUGUGUUGUAAAAUUUAUUCAAAGUGUAAAACACAAAUUAUUCCUUCAAUGCUUUGCAAAAAAAAAAAAAAAUUUCCUUCAAAAAAAGAUAAUUAUUAAAAAAUAUAGUUAGAUAUAUGUCUAUAUUAAUAAAAGAUUAUCUAUUAACAAAAUUACUUUACUUUAAUUGUCAUAAAGUAAAACAUUAAUCUCAUAUUUAUAUUUUUAAGAUUAUGCAAAUGAGUUCUUUUUAAAAAAAUAUAUAAGAUAAUUCAAGUUUUGGUCUUUGUUGUCGCUGUGGUUACUCAGUUUGCUCUCUCAAUGGAGUUUGUUAUUGCCAUCGUUGGCUCUAUUGUCGCUAAAGCUGUAGAGUAUACGAUCUCUCCUAUCAAAAACCAUGUCAAAUACCUUUCCAAUCAUCAGCAAUAUGUUGAGACCCUCAAGGACCGAGCUGAGAGGCUGAAAGAUGCAAGGGUCAGAGUGCAGCAUUCUGUUGAUGCAGCUAAACGAAACGGUGAGGAGAUCGAAGGUGAAGUUGACAAAUGGCUGUCUGCAGUCGACAACAAGAUCCUUGAACAAGUAGAGAAAGUGAUGCAAGAUGAAGAAAAAGCAAAGAAAAAGUGUUCCAUUGGUUUGUGUCCUAAUUUCAGGACUCGUUACAAGCUUAGCCUGAGAGCUGAAGAGGAGGCAAAGGCUGUUGCCGAGUUACUUGAACAUGGUAAGUUUGAAAGGGUUUCCUAUCGUGCAGCUCCGCAAGGUAUCGUGGUUGCACCAGUUAAAGGUUAUGAGGAAUUCGAGUCAAGAACGUCGAUUUUGAACGGAAUAAUGGAGGCACUAAAAGAUGAUAGCGUCAGCGUUGUUGGGGUGCAUGGUACGGGUGGGAUUGGAAAAACAACGCUGGUCAAAGAAAUCGCUAGAUAGUUCAAGGACAAGUUGUUUGAUUCGGUUGUCAUAGCAACCGUAACUCAAGUCAUCGAUGUUGAGAAGAUUCAGAACCAAAUUGCAGACUUCUUGGGCUUGAAAUUUGAGGAACAGAGUAUGGUUGGAAAGGCAAUUCGACUACGAGAAAGAUUGAAGAAAGAGAAGAGUAUUCUGGUUGUCUUGGAUGACAUUUGGGAAAAGGUUGAUAUUGAGGAAGUAGGGAUUCCUUUGGGAGAUGAACACAAGCGCUGCAAAUUACUAUUAACUUCUAGAGAGCUCAAUGUUUUAUCAAAUGAGAUGGAUGCUCAGAAAAUUUUCCCGUUGGGUUUUUAAAGGAAAAGGAAGCCUGGGACCUGUUCAAGAAGAUGGCUGGCAACUGUGAUGAACGUUGCGAUUUGAAGCCUAUAGCUAUGAAGGUGCAGGACUGCCGAUAGCCAUUGCGACAGUUGCAGGGGCUUUGAGAAACAAAAGAUUGUUUGAAUGGAAGAAUGCUUUACGAGAACUGGGGAGGCCUUCGUCAAGCAACUUCACGGGGAUAACUGCGGCAUAUUCAGCUAUAGAGUGGAGUUUUAAUUAUUUAGAAAGCAAGGAAGUUAAGCUGACUUUCUUGCUUUGCAGUGUAAUAGGCCAUAAUGGUCUCGUUGAGGACUUGGUAAGAUAUACUCUAGGUUUGGGUUUAUUUGAUGGUGUCCACACUAUGGAAGAAGCUAGAAAUAAAGUAUUGACGGUUGUGGCUAAUCUCAAAGCGUCUGCCUUGUUGCUUGAUGGUUAUAAUGAUAAGCGCUUUGAUAUCCAUGAUGUUGUUUGGGAUGCUGCUAUUGCUAUUGCAUUGAAGGACUACCGUAUGCUUGUUUUGAGAGAUCAUGCUCCAAAGGAGUGGUCCGAUAAGGAGAAAAUGAAGACGUGGAAUGUGAUCAGCUUACGUUGUCCUCAUAUUAUAGCUAACCUUCCUAAGGAGAUGGAGUGUUCAGGACUUUCCUUUUUCCAUAUGGCCUAUGAUGGCGCGGUUAAAAUUCCUCUCAAUUUCUUCAAACAAACCGAAGGCCUCAAAGCCUUAGAUUUGGUCGGAAUGCAGUUUCAAUCCCUCCGUAAAUCAAUUAUUCACCUUGCAGACCUUCGCAUGUUGUGUCUGAAAAAAUGUGCAGUUGAUGACAUAACCAUCCUUGGAGAGCUCAAGAGUUUACAAGUACUCAACCUUUCUCAGUCAGGUAUCAAAGAACUACCUAAGGAGAUGGCACAAUUGACUCAAUUAAGGUUGUUAGAUUUGAGUUGGUGUAGAGAACUCAAAAUCAUCCCACCGAAUGUCUUAUCAGGUUUGUCUAAAUUAGAAGAAUUAUAUAUGGAUGAAAGCUUUGUUGAAUGGGAAAAGGGAGGAGUAGUUGAAAAUGAGAGGAAAAAUGCAAGCCUUGAUGAAUUAGAACAAUUUGCCUUGUCUAACUACUUUAUAUGUUCAUAUUCUUGAUCUCCAAAUGAUACCAAAACACUGGUUUGUUGAAACAUUGGACAGAUUCAGGAUUUUCGUGGGUAAUUAUGGAAUAUUUGAUUGUUGCCUUAAUUAUGAAUCUCCGAAAGCAUUGAAGCUCAAGUUAUAUACAAACAUUGAUUUGGACAAUGGGAUGAAAAAGUUGUUGAUAAAGACAGAAGAUUUGUGCCUAGAGGGACUUAAAGGCGUCAAGAAUGUACUUGUGAAGUUAAAUAAUAGGAAAGAUCUUCUAAAUUUAAAGAGACUUCAUGUCAAAAAUGGUAGGCAUGUCCAAUAUAUUAAAACGAACAAAAUUGGAUUUUCUGAAUUAUGCUUCAUCACACUUGAAAAUCUACCGCAACUCGUUAGCUUUUGCUCUCCAGACGAAAGGUGUUCCACUAUGCCCUUCCUACUUUUCAAUAAACAGGUAUUUGUUUGGCUUUACUUAUAUUUCCUUAUACAACUUUUAUUUAUAUGCCCAUUAAUACUUCUAAUAAUAGAAAUAAAUAAUAUUGUCUAAUGGUUUUUCCGAGCUCAAAAAUAAAUUUCAAAUCCAAAACAAAUGAAAAUUUAAUUUUUAAUCCAAACCGAUUGAAAGUACAAAGUCAAUUCAAUAAUCUAAAUUUAAACCUAACAUUUUUUUUUAAUUCUGAAAAUGAAAUUUGAGCCCACAAAUCGAGCUAAAAUUAUCUUUAAAAUCGAAAAUCAUAUUUUCAAAUUAUGUUACAUACUAUCUUUCCCUAUCGAAAAAGAAUUGUGUGUAAAUAUGUGCAAUUUAUUUUCCCUCACUUGGAAAGCUUGUAAUUGUGUUCCAUUAACACCAAAAUAAUAUGGCACAACCAGACAUGUCAUUGGGUUACGAAUUUGAGGAGCUUGAUCAUCAAAGGAUGCGGCAAGUUGGAGCAUCUGUUAUCACUUUCUCUCGCUAGAAGUCUGGUGCAGCUCCAAUGCUUUGAGAUAAAGGAUUGCAACUGCUUAAGGGACAUAAUACUUACAGAGGAAAUUGAAGAAGAAAGGAAAGAUGUGAUUUGUUUCCCUCGAUUAAACUCCCUGCAUAUAGUGGGUCUUCCAAACCUCAUCUUCUUCAACUCAGGAAACCACAAUAUUGAGUUCCCAUUGUUGAAAGUGCUAAAGAUUGAGCGUUGCCCCAAUUUUAUAGAAUUCAUUAGUCAGAGUAGUAAUCAGUCUGGCAUGCACGCUCUCUUCAGUGAGAAGGUGAUUUAUUUCAGUAGUCUUACACUCUUGCAUAAAUCUGUUGAUUUGUCCUUGUUAUUUUGUCUGGCAUUAUAUGAGCUAACUUUUGUACUGGCACGAAUUUUAAAUAGGUUGCAUUUCCUAGGUUGGAAAAGAUGACAAUCAAAAAGUUGAGAAAUGUGAAAAUGAUGUUUCAUAAUAACUUUGCACCAGGUUCUUUUCAAAAUCUACGAGUAAUAAGAGUUGAGGGAUGUGGGAGUCUGAAAAAUCUAUUUCCAGUGUCAAUAGCCAAAGAUCUUCCACAACUUGAAGAUUUAUGCAUCACUAAUUGUGGAGUGGAGGAGAUUGUAUCGAAAGGGGAAGGAGUGGAGGAGCAGCCUGUGAGGUUUGAGUUUCCGCAAGUGUCUUCCCUUGAGGUUACAUCCCUAAAAGAGCUCAAAUGUUUCUAUGAAGGGCAACAUACAAUAGUCUGGCCCCUGUUGAAAAAAUUGAAAACAGAUUGUUCUGCUUUGCUAAAGAUAGUGGCUUCGGAACAUCUUAGAUUAAUCCAAGGAAAUGAGCAGCCAGUUUUGUUGGUUGAAGAGGUAUGUAUAUCAUUACAACUAUAUUUCUUUUUAUGAUUUAAGCCACCGUCACAUCCAUCUCUUGUUGAUAUAUAUAUUAUUUGAAACGGUGGUUGCUUAUCCAUUUUAAUUCGGAUUUUUUAUGCACUUCUUUCAGCUUAUUUUUAUCAUUUUUUUAUUUCUAAGGUAUUGUGCUUUCUUAAAACAAAAUAUUCAUCUAUUUUGGAUUGGUUUGAUUUAAUAUUGAUUUUGUUGAGAUUUAAUCAUCGAUAUCAAACACCAAAAUUGUAGAUCUUAUGUUCUUUUUAAGCAUAUAGAUCAACAUUGUGCCUAACUUGUUUAUGUUUAAAUGGUUUCAAGGUCAUUCCCAAUUUAGAGGAACUUGAGUUAUUAAAUUGGGUAAACUACACCCAUGAUCACUUUUGUUUACCUUAGGUUACGUUUUAGUCACUUUUGUUUGAAAUGUUACGUUUUAGUCAUUUACGUUAUCAUGUUGUAACAUUUUAGUCACUGAGCCAUUAAUCGUCGUUAAUGGUGUAACGGUAAGCUGACGUGGCACGUUAAAUCAUCAUUUCAAACAAAAUUUUAGGUUAAAUUAUACAAUUGAUCCCCAUAUUUUUUUCGUUUUAAGUAAUUUAAUUUUUUUUCUUUUAUGUUCUUUAAACUUUCCUCUUUUUUUCCAUUCUCUUUUGUUUCUCCCUCUGUUUUCAUACAUUUCUCAUUUCUUUUAACAUAUUAGGAAGUCGAAUUGGCAAUGAAAAAGAAGUAGGAAGUCGACUGUCAUUAUUUGCCUAUAACCAAAACCCAUAAACCCAUACAAUGCUUCUUUCUUUACUACCAAUUCGACUUCCUGGUAUGUUAAAAGAAAUAAAAAAGGUAGAAAAACAGAAGAAGAAGAAGAAGAGAAUGGAAAAGAAAAAAGAAAAAAAGAAAGAGAAAGUUAAAAGAACAUAAAAGAAUUAAAUUGCUCAAAAUGAAUAAUUAUGGGGACCAAUUGUAUAAUUUAACUUAAAGUUUUUGUUUGAAAUGAUGAUUUAACGUGCCACGUCAGCUUACCAUUACACCAUUAAUGACAAUUAACGGCUCAGUGACUAAAAUGUUACAACACGAUAACAUAAGUGACUAAAACGUAACAUUUCAAACAUAAAUGACUGAAAUGUAACUUAAGAUAAACAAAAGUGACCAUGGGUGUAGUUUACCCUAUUAAAUUUUGGUGAUAUGGACCAGUUUCCACCAGCCUUGUUUCAAGAUAUUAAAGUUUUUGUUGUGUGUGGUGGCUCUCGAUCUUCUAUAUUUCCUUUCGUCCGAAGAUUUUACAAUUUGGAUAGUUUUUGGCUUUUUGGUUUUGAUUUCAAAUACGUAGUCCCUUGUAAAGGAGACGUUGGGACUCUCACACCAAUUAGAAAUCUGAUGCUGGAUCGUGCAAUGAAUCUUUAUCAUAUAUGGAGGAAAGAUUUGGAGUUUGACCAUAUUCUUUCUAAUCUCCAAAAACUCGAAGUUUGGGAAUGUGAUGAUUUGAUAAAUAUUACAGUCUCCUCCUCAUCUUUGCAAAAUCUCACAACUUUGGAUGUGUCAUUUUGUCAAAUGAUGACAAACUUAGUUACACCCUUAGUGGUUAAGAAUCUUGUGCAAUUAACGAGAAUGAGUGUGGCGGGGUGCAGUAAAAUGACAGAAAUAGUGGGAAAUGGGGGAGACUGCCAUCAGACAAUAGUUGUGAGUAAAUUGAAAUGUUUAGAACUAAGCUAUUUAGAGAGCCUCACAAGCUUUUGUUCAAGGAAUUACACCUUCAACUUCCCUUGUUUGGAAGAAUUAGUUGUGGAACGCUGUCCUAGAUUAAAGACCUUUACUGAAGGAGUUUUAAGCACCCCACAGUUACAAAGAGUAAUACAGUCGCGUUACCCUGAGAAAUGGAGUUGGGCAAGUGACUUAAAUACCACCAUACAACAGCUCUACACGGAAAAGGUACUAAAUUAAUAAGUUCAUAAAACUAGUUAGCUUCUUCCUGUCCUAAUAAAAUUAAUUUUAUUAAUACUUCAUUAAUCAUUGAAGAGUGUUUAUCGUUAUUUUGUUAUUGUUUGCAUUUUCUAUUUGUGAUUGCUAUCUAGUGGAAUAAUAUUAUAAAUUUUUUUUUAGGAUGGAUUCUAUGACGGAUACAAUUUGGACAUCUCUGACACAAUUCCCAAGUCAAUAGAAAUAUGGAUUAGAAACCCUCAAGAAAUUUUGGGCUUCAAAAACCUUGUUUCGUUGCAUUUUUAUAAAUGUAGUAGCUUGAAGUACGUAUUUACUUCGUCUAUGCUUUUGAGCCUCAAUCAACUACAAUGGAUAAAAGUAAAAGAAUGCAGUUCAAUGGAACAAGUGAUUAGGGAGGAAGCAAUGACAGAUAAAUUCACAUUUCUUGCACUCUUCUCCAUAAGAAUUGAGUUGUGUUCCAACUUGACAAAUUUCUAUUUGGGAAGUCAAGCUCUUGAAUUUCCAGAGUUGUAUGAAAUCGCAAUAUUUGAGUGUCCAAAAAUGACUACAUUUUCUUCCUCGGUUUCAAGAGGAGGUGGUGAUGCAAGUGAAAACGUGGUUGGCGAGGGGGGCGUCUAUGAUAACCCUGCAAUUUUUUUCAGCAAUAAGGUAAGUUUAGUAUUCAAUAUUUAUCUGCACAACUUAUUUCACAUUUUCCUUUUAUUUGAUUAAUUUAUAUGAGUGUGUCUGGUCUAUAUAUAUAUAUAUAUAUUAGUGUUAAUGUCACGUGAUACGUGUUGAAAAAAAUUAAUAUAAUAAAAUCCAUAAAAAUAUUAAUAAAUAAGAUAAUGUUUUUUAAUUUGAAGUUUAAAGUAUAAAUAAAUAUAUAAAAUAAGAAUAAAGGAAAAACUUGAAAGUGAAAUACUAAUAAACAAUAAGAAUUUAAGAGAAGUUUUAAAGUUAAUACUAAUGGACAAUAAAUAAUAAAAUAAUAAUAGAAAAUAAAAUAAAAAACUAAUCUUCAUCUAUUUUAAUUUGAAGAAUAUUUGAUGUAUUGGUGGUACACAAGUUUCAUGUAUCAUCGGUGAAUAAAAACAUACAAUUAUCAUUAAAUACCACAAAAAUAUAGUAAAGGGUUAUAAAUAAAUACUAAUAAAUUUAUGUAAACAUAAUUAAAUAAAAAUUAAUUAUAAUUAAAUGUUAAAACCCUAAAUCCUAAACUUGAAAUUCUAAGCCCUUAAACAUAAGAUCUUAAAUCCGAAAGUUAUUAAUAUUUAUUUAUAAUAGCUACGACUAGUGUUAAAUAAAUUUUUCAUCUUUUUUAACUUUUGAACUUGCAUUUUUGUCAAAUCACCUUAAAAUGAAUGAAAAAGUUUAUGUUUGUUAACUUCGCUUAUGUGGCAAUCCAUGUGUAUGCAAAAUUAGCAAUUAAUUAAUUUUAAAAUAUUUUAUAUAUUUUUAAAUAUUUUUAUAAAAUUUUCAAAAUAAAAUAAAAAUUAAUUGUUGACAUGUCAUCUACGGGCAAUCCAAUGUAUAUAACAUCAGCAAAGUUAACAAAUGUCAAUUUUUUUUCUCUGCUUUGAAUGAUUUGACAAAUAACACAAGUUCAAAGGAUAAAAGAAAUAAAAAUUAAAAUAGAGAGCUAAAAUGAAAUUUUUUUAGAAAGUUGGAGGGUUAAAUAAAUUAUCUAUGCCUAACUCUUAAAAAAGGUAACUCAUUAAAUAACUUAAGUAAUUAAUGUAAAUCGUUAAUGGAAACUACAUAAAUAUGUGAGUCCAACUUAAUUAGAAACAAGCAUAUUCCCCUGUCGAAUUGCAUCAAUAAUAAUCAUUCAACAAUCAUUAUAGUAUAUAUGAAAGCUCUAAGUUGUAUAGAAAAAGGCUUCUUUCUUUAAAAAGAAAAAAAAACAAGUUUUGCUUUAGGUUAGAUUUAUGCUGCUGAACAUUUUAUCUAAAUAAAAAAGGUCCACGUCUGCUAGCUAUAUUUAUCAGUUUAUAAAUCUUCAUACUCAUCUACUCUUUUUGAUUGUGUUUGUAAGUAAAGAAGGAAGAGUUAUGGUGUUAUCUUAUAAUGAAAUUUAUGUCAACAGGUUGUCAUUCCUUGUUUGCAGCAUCUGGAAUUGUCCUUCGUUAACAUUCAUGAGAUAUGGCACCACCCAUCCUCCCCAUCCAUCAGAUUCCUAAAUUCCUUGCAAGUGAAGAGGUGUCACAAUUUGAAAUACCUGUUCCCAUCUUUCUUGGUAAAAGAUCUUGUGCAACUCCGACGCCUUGAAAUUUUGGACUGUAAUAUGAUGGAACAAGUAAUAUUCACGGAUGGAUUGGUUGAAGAACAUCAAGGGAGGAAUCAGAUGUUUUUCUCUGAACUAGAAUUGCUGUGGCUAAAAGACCUUCCCAAACUCACAAGUUUCUGCUUUGAGAAUUACUUUGAAUUCCAAUGUUUGACAGAUUUAGAACUAACAAAUUGUCCAUUGCUAAAAACAUU
rnacentral:lncRNA from 1 species